CCAUUAUAAAGCUUCAUUGUCAAGCUUGAAUUGAUUAACACACAACAUGAGACCUAUAAACAUAAUGCAUGGGCUGGCUUCAUUAUUAAGCUUUGGCUUUUGAGUUGAUUGUAUGUUUCUAUCAUAGGAUGUAUUAUUGAGCCCUCACCUACAAUUUGAGGCUUUGGAUUGAUGGGUUGUCCAAUGUGUCAUCAAAGUCCCUUUACUUGAUAAUCUUUCAGUUUAUGGCAACCCAUUUCUUAAUUACUAUUCUUUGUAAUUAAAAUUUUAGUGCACAGCCACAGGAUUCUAAGUGAACAUGUGACUCGUUCAUUGAAUAACUCAUGCAAUUGCUAGUAGCUCUAUAAAGUUAGAUGAAGCAAAUCAUGCUCCUAGAGAUUUUAGGAGUACUUAUUUUAGGAAGAAACAUAAAUAUAGGAACUAACGAUUUUGCUAAGUUAGGAUCCUAUUUUAAUUAGAGUUAAGAUUCUUGUUUAUUCCUAAUUAGUUAGGAUAAUGUUCCUAAUUUGAUUAGGUUUGGAUGCUCUAUAAAGGGGCUAGCUUAUUAUUAUUUCAGCAGAUUUUGUUAUGGAUAUUUUGAAAUAAUGCAAUUUGAGAAUUAGUUUCUGGUUUUAAAAAUUCAUCUCUUGUUGGUUUGGUUUACAUUGUUAACCGAAAGGAACAGAGAUUUUUUGGUCCCUUUAAUAAACAAAUGAAAAUGUAUACACUGAAACCCAAUUAUAUUCAUGAAUAAGUGUGUUUGUAUUUGUUUUACAACUAAGCUUGAUAUGAUGCUUUUUUUUAUUUCCAAAAGCGGGCAUGCAGGAAAAUAUUUCCAACAAAAGUAUAAGAAAAAAUUAUUUUCCCAAUAAGGGUGAAUUUGACCCGUCAAUUAUCAAUCAUGAUUCAAAAACACAUUAUAGAAUAUGGAUAAAAUUUUAAAGCUCAUGUGAGCAAGUUGUGAAAAAAGAUUAUGAUUUGUACAACUCGAGAAAAAGAAUUACGACUUGAGCAAGUCGUAAUAGGCCAACAAUAUUAGUUGUGAGCCAAGCUCAUGACUUGAGCCAUCUUAUACUUUUCACUAUUUUAUUUAUUUUCUACUUGCAAAAAUCAAUUUUAAAUAGUUAAACACUAUGUAUUUGUUCUCCUUACUGCAUUAUUGAUUUUUCUAAUGCAAAAGUUUUAUUUUUGAUGCAGAAAUAAUUUAGAUUUCAAAAUAUUAUGUUAUUGUAUUGAUUUUCCAUAAUUUUCUAAAAUGUCUAGCUAUUUAAAAUGGAUUUUUAAAUGUAGAAAAAACUAAAAAGAUGGCCAAUUUGUGGGCUUCACUUACUUCUAGUCAUUUGCCAAGUCAGCAAGUCACAUUUUAUUUCACGACUUGUACAAGUUAUACCUUUCGUUAUCACCUUACGAAAAAUUGUGAAGUAUGAAUAUGUUAGAUACUCGAUUCAUUUAAUUCAUACACUUCUCUAAAUCUAAAUAACUUGAUUUUUUUUUUUUAAUUUUCAUUUUGAAAGAUUGUUUAUCAUUUCUUUUCAGCUCAUUAUGCUUUAAAAUUUUGCUUCUCUUCUUACUCCUGUUUUUGAACCACGACUUGGCUUUGACUGAUACUAUGUGGCCAAAAUACCGCUAUUAGAGAAAUAAAUUUUUUGGUCAUCCCUUUUCUGAAAAUGCUUUUUUUAUUUGCACCAUUAGGGAAAAGAGCUCCUUCAUAUGAGUCGAUACAUAAAUUAUUUUAACCUACAAUCUUUCGUCUAGUAGAAAAGUAAUCUAAAGUUAAAGUAUGUUUUGAGACCUUUGCUGUAGUAGUCAUGUGAAUAAAAUAAAAAAAUUAAACUAUAACAUAUUGAAUUUGGAAUAUAAGUAAUUGAGCUAUGAAAGAAAAGUUAAUUAGAGGAACAUGGAUACAAGUUAUGUAAGGGGGGCAUCACCUCCUCUUUAUGAGGAGGCCUCAAUUUCAUUGGAAAUUUGAGACCAUUUGGCCCUUCUGGAUGAAUCUACUGCUGUGGAGUCUUUAAUUUUUUAGUGGUAAUUUCAUGAAAAGUGACAUGUGGUUUUGCACUUUAUAACUCAAGGGACAAAAGUUUGUCUUUCAUAAAAAAGGUACCAAGUAGUUAAGCGCCAUUAUUCUAUCCCUCCUCCUGUUAAUGGCUUGCUGAUGUAGUACUUAAUUUAAUAUGGAGGUUUAAUGGCAUUAUAUGGCAGCAAGGGAUAAAGUAAAGGUGAAAAAUCAUAGGGUACUUGUUUGAUGAAAAACCAAACUUGAGUGACAAAGUGUGAAAGUUGUAGAAAGAUUAUUUGAGCACUGUUAAAAAAAAAGUUUCUUCCUUAACCCUUGAUCAUAGUACUAAGCUUGGCAUCUUCUAUUCAAAACAAGAUUGAACAGUGAAAUUUGAACUUAGUUUGUGCUUGAGUUAACUUAGAAUAGGACAAAUUAGCUUGAAUACUAAUCAUACUCAGCUCGGCUUAGCUCAUUUGCACCCUUAUGCACAUUAAAGUAGCAACAUCCAAGCCUAAAAUGAAGACUAAUUAUGUAUUGUAGUUGAAAUGAGGAUUUAUCAUGUCAACUGGCUGUCACUAGUUACUAGAUAGAAGCUUAAUGAACUUCCAAAUUAUAGUCAAAGCAUGUUGGUUAUGUUAUUCCUGCAUUUUAUUUUUAUGUAACAUUAUCUCAUGCAUUUUCCUUGGCCUUAUCAGGAGUCUCAGAAACUGUAAUUUGCAAGGUCCAAUCCCUGAUCUGAGUAGGAUAACAAACCUUGGAUAUAUGUAAGUAUAUAUCUUGAGUUUUCCUUUAUGAAACAUUAAUUGAAAAUUAUGGGCUUUCCAAUUGGAAGUUGGAAUGCAUAGACUGGAUAAGCUUUUAUUUAUUCCUAUUUUGAGAUCUGUGCUGGUUCAUCUUUUCACUAUUUUGAUUUAAUUUUCAGAGACCUUAGUUCAAACCAGCUAAAUGGAUCCAUACCUACUGAAAGGCUUUCUGAGAAUAUUACAAACAUGUAAGAUUACACUAUCUUGCACUUGUAGCACUAUUUGCACUUUGUAGAAUUGGUUUGAAUAAAAUGUAUGGGUAUUUUCUUAAAACAAUCCCAAAGUGUCUUUGAAAUCCUGAAGGUUAUGCUGUUGUUAAUUUUUCUUCAGUGCUGAUGUUCACUAGCUAACCAAUAUUUACAGUGAUUUAUCUAACAAUGAUCUUACUGGAAGUAUUCCUGCCAACUUUUCGAGCUUGCCUAAUCUUCAAAGAUUGUGAGCAUUUUCUUAACUCUCAUUUCUUAAUUGUUACAAUAGGUUUUGCUGAGCAAAAUUCUUGUCUCUAUUAAAGCAGUAAGGUUUUGAUUCUAAUAAAUGCAUAUGGAAAAAGAAAAAUGAACUCUGUUCUCUGUAGUAAAAUAAAUGGCUUAACCUUCUUCCAUGACAGGUCAGUUGCAAACAAUUCAUUGAGUGGCUCCAUUCCAUCUACCCUUUGGCAAAGUCAGACUUUGAAUGCAUCUGAAAGGCUUAUCUUGUAAGAGCCAAAAUGAAAAUGUCAUUUUUUUUUCUUGGUAAAACUGCAGUCAGAGUUUAAAGGCCAACACAAAUUCCAGUUUGUGAACUCUCUUGAACAUCUAUUAUUGGUUUCUAAGAUAAAGAUUUUAUAUGUCAACAUGUGAUAGAGUGAGAAGCAAUUAAGAAUGUAUACAACAAGGACAAGUGUUAAUAUUACUUAAAAAGAACCUCCUCAGAGGAUACAAUAAGAAUUUUAGGAGUAAUCUCCUGUCUAGCUCAAGCUAGCCAAAGCAGUAAUGCAUUUUAGAAAAGAAAAUAAGAAGACAAGUAAUAAGAAGACAAGUCAUACACUUCACUGUGACUACCCUUUUAUUUAUUGUUGACCAACAUAAAAGAGUUCCUAAUUAGGAGGAUUCAGGUAUUUGAGAUCCUAAUUAGGUUUGAUUAUAGAGCUUGAUUAUAUGAAUUUUAUUCUUAUUGUAAAUAUUUCUAAUUUAGGUUGAUUCUUUGUGUAUAAAUAUUCAAACCUUGUAAAAAUCAAUUCAAUUAUAAUAGAAUAAAAAAUUCCUUCCAAAAUUCUUCAGUUCCUCCCAAAAUUCUUCAUGGUAUCAAAACUUUUUCCUGAUUUUAGGGUUUAAAUUUAAUUUUUUCUCUUUAAGGUUUCAAAACCCUAGAUCUACCUUUUUGAUACUACCUAUUUAGAGACCUUUUCACACCUCACCAUCGGCACCAAGAGGAUUGCCGGACCGUCGCUAGCCAGACCGCCCAGCUGCAAUGCUGCAAAGUCAUGUGCGUGAGGCUCGCGCUGCCACAGCUUCUGCGUCUCCUUCCACGCGCUGGCGCGUGAGCUUUCCUCUGGUGUCCUUUCCCGUCGGUGCUCCUUUUCGGGCCCUCUUUCCUGCAUGUCGCCCUUUUGACUUGCCCUGUUCGUGAUCAAAUUCUCUUUUGGGUUGUUUAAGGUGUUUUAACAGUAACUUGAUCGUUUCUGCCUCUUUGUAUUGCUAGCGCUUUUUUACCUUUAAAAUAUUAGAUAAGAAAGGCACUAAUGGAGGUGAUGUAUGUGUUUUUUAUACUAUUUGGAUUAUUGAUUCUGGUGCAAAUAGGUACAUGACGGGUUCCUCUAAAAAUUUUCUUAAUUACCUUCACAAUGUCUACAAAAGGACAAAGUCAGAGUAACCGAUAGCUCUUUUAUUCUUGUCUCUAGAACCGGAUCGAUUGUUUGUACUUCUAAUAUUAAGCUAUUCUCUGUUCUCUAUAUUUCUCGUUUUCUUAUUAAUCUUUUAUCUGUCAGUGCUCUUACCGAAACCUUUAAUAAUUGAGUUUUUUUUCUGAUCAUUGUGUUAUUGAGGGCCUUCAAACUGGGAAGAGGAUUGACUAUAGUAGACUGUUUGAUGGCUUAUAUAUAUUAAAAGGAAAUCUAGGUUUGAAUUCACCUCGGACUCUUUUUGGAAGAAAUCAGGAUGUCAACUAGGAAAUCAUACAGUGGCAUCGACGGUUAGGAUAUCCACAGAAAUCAGGAUGUCAACUAGAAAAAUCAUACAAUGGCAUCGAUAGUUAGAACAUCUAUCCUUCUUUGAUUUAGAGAAACUUUAUCCUAAUUUAUUUUUCAGGCCUCAAUGUGAUUCUUUAGUUUGUGAUGCUUGUGAGUAUGCUAUGUAUACAAGAACCUCUUAUCCCUCCAGUAACAAUAGGAGUACGAUGCCUUUUGUGACCAUCCAUUCCGACGUUUGGGGACCUACUCAAAUGGUCUCACUAUCUAGUAAUCGUUAGUUUAUUACUUUUAUUUAUUGCUUCACUCAUAUGACUUGGGUUUAUCUGAUAAAGGCAAAAAGUGAUGUGUUUUAUUGCUUUCAAUCUUUUCACAAGAUAGUUUAUACUCAAUUUGAUACUUAGAGAAAAGUUUUGAGAACUGAUAAUGGCACAGAGUACAUGGAUAGACCUUUUUUUGCUUAUCUGGAGUCUAAUGGAAUACUGCAUUAAACUAGUUGUCUUUACACUAGUCCCAAAAUGGUGUUGUUGGAAGAAAAAAUAGACACCUGUUGGAAGUAGCUCGAUUUCUCCUUUUCACUAUGAACCUUCUAAAAACCUAUUGGGAAGAUGUAGUUUUAGCUGCAGUUUAUCUCGUUAACAGAAUGCCUCUCAAAACACUUGCCUUAAAAGCCCUUUAGAGGUGCUACAAGGGAAAAAUGCUUAUACUGUUCCACUAAAGGUGUUUGGAUGCACAUGUUUUGUUCAUACUAGGACAGGUGGAAAGCUCGAUUAGAGGGCUCUUAAAUUUGUGUUUGUUGGGUACUCUCCUAUUUAGAAGGGUUACAAAUGUUACCACCCUCCAUCUCAAAAAAAUAUUUUAUCAAUAUGAAUGUUACGUCUAGAGAAAUUGAACCUUACUUCAGUACUAUUCAAUCACCUUUUCAGGGGGAGAACAAUGAGAGAGAAGAGGUGAUUCUUAGUCCUAUAACUCUAGAGUGUUUUAAUUUAGAGGAGACUACUAUACAAGGGAGACUAACGGUGACUAGGAAAAGAUAAUGAUUGGGCAUUUGGAUAAAUAAGAUUUAAGGAGAUACUCAAGAAGAGACACAACAGAAGCAAAAAAAGCCAUUGUACAGUCUACUUAGUGUCAUGAAUCUUCCUCUUCUCCAUCUGGUGAGUCAUCCCUAAACCUUAAACCCAUCGAUGAUCUGGAUAAACUAAUUGCUCAAAGAAAAGGAGUUAGGUCUUGUACAAAGCACUCUCUUUCUAACUUUCUCUCUUAUGAUUCUCUAUCUCCAUCCUAUAGAGUUUUUGUUUUGUCUAUUUUCUAUGUGUCUAUCACAUAGGAUUGGAAGAAGCUCUUAAAGAUUCUAAUUAGAAGGGAGCAAUUAUUGAAGAAAUGAAAGCCUUGACUAAAAAUAAGACAUAGAAGUUGAUGUUUCUUCCACCUGGAAAAAAACCAGUUGGCUGUAAAUGUUGUUCACCGUAAAAUACAAAGCAGAUGGAUAUAUUGAAAGAUUCAAGGCCAGACUAAUUGCCAAAGGAUACACUCAAACCUAUGGAGUGGAUUACCAGGAGAUAUUUGUCCUUGUUGCCAAAAUGAAUUCAAUCAGAGUAUUGCUAUCUUGCGCUGCCAAUCUUGACUAGGACCUAUAACAAUUUGAUAUGAAAAAUGCAUUCCUCCACAGAGACUUGGAGGAAGUGUAUAUGAAAAUUGCUCCUAGAUUUGCUGAUGAAAAAACACAAGAAAAGUUGUGUAGGCUAAAGAAGGUUUUGUAUGGGUUAAAACAGUCACCCAGAGCUUGGUUUGAUCAAUUCAGCAAAACUAUAAUUUUCUUUGGUUAUCAACAGAGCAAUGCUGACCAUACUCUAUUUAUCAGACAUCAUAAGAGUAAAAUUACUCUUCUCAUAAUCUAUGUUGAUGAUAUAAUAAUGAUAGAGAAUGACAUUGAAGAGAUAACUCGACUGAAAAAACAUUUGGCUCAAAAGUUUAAAAUUAAAGAUUUAGGAAAAAUUUUAAGAUUUCCUAGAAAUCGAGGUUGUCAGAUCAAAGAAGGGAAUUUUUAUUUCUCAGGAAAGAUACAUUCUGGAACUUUUGAAAAAAAUUGGUAUGUUAGGCUGUAAACCAGUAGAAACUCUCAUUGAGAGCAAUCACAAGCUACAAAUAGGAAUUGGUGAAUCGGUGGAUAUUGUCAGAUAUUAGAAGUUAGUAGGCAGACUGAUUUAUUUUUUACAUAUUCGAUCAGACAUAACAUAUGCAGUCAGCUUAAUCAGUCAGUUUAUACAUGAUUCUCGUAAGUCUGACAUGCAAGCUGUUUUUCACAUUUUGCGAUACUUAAAGUUUGUUUCUGGAAAAGGUUUCUUAUUCUCUAAACACGAUCAUCUCCGCAUACACACAUUCAAGAUGCAAUUUGGGCUGGAUCCCAUGAUGAUAGGAGGUCGACUAGUGGUUGCUGCACACUUGUAGGAGGAAAUCUUGUCACUUGGAGAAACAAAAAGCAAAGUGAUGUUACUCGAUCAAGUGCCAGGGUGGAGUAUAAAGCGAUGAUACAAGGUGUCUGUGAACUCUUAUAGUUGCAGAGAUUAUUGGAGGAAUUGAAACUAUUGGAGAGAGACAAACUCCUCUUAUACUGUGACAACAAAACUGCCAUCAAUAUAGCCCACAAUCUGGUUCAAUAUGACUGAAUAAAACACGUAGAGAUUGAUCGACACUUUAUUAAAGAGAAGUUAAUAAAUGAUAUUUUGAUAUUAAAUCAUGUGACUUUUAAUGAACAGAUAGCUGAUGUGUUUACCAAAAGACUCAACAACAAAAUCUAUCACAUCUUAAUUUGCAAGUUGGUCAUGUGUGAUAUCUAUGCACCAAUUUGAAAGGUAGUGUUGACCAGCACAACAGGUUUCCUAAUUAGGAGGAUUCAGAUCUUUGGAAUUCUAAUUAGACUUGAUUAUAGGAAUUUUAUUCUUAUUAUAAAUAUUUCUAAUUUAAGUUACUUCUUUGUGUAUAAAUACUCAAACCUUGUAAAAAUCAAUUCAAUUAGAAUAGAAUAAAAAAUUCCUCCCAAAAUUUUUCAGUUCCUCCCAAAAUUCUUCAUUUAUUUAUACCCUUAUCCCAAGCAGCAAUCAUUUCCAAGUGAUUGUCAUCCAUGAUUCCCGCUAAUUGUAUUAUCCCCUUUUGUCUGCAUUCUCAGCUGUCCCGAUUCUCCCUUUUUCCUGGACUGAUCUCCUAUGUCUCUCUUCCUUCGCCUAUAGUAGACCCUCAAAGGUUUUGGAUUGCUAACAACAUAACUUUUAAGAAUGAACAUUUAAUCUCUAGGAUCUGCUAUAAUUUUGUAGUAUCUCACAUCCCUUUUUCUAAUGAAUGGUUUUUCCACUCUUUGAUAUUGCAGGGAUUUUGAGAACAAUAGACUGACAAACAUUUCCGGUGAUGGCACUAUCAGUCUCCCUCAGAAUGUUUCACUAUGGUUUGCUUAUCUUUUCAUAUAACUUUGUGUCUUUAUGUUCAUGAUGUACAUGUUUACCAAUACACUUCCUAAUAGUCCUGAAUAAUGUUCAGGCUACAAGGCAAUCCUGUAUGCUCAACUUCCAACCUGGUUCAAUUUUGUGGAUCUCAAAAUGACAAUGUAGACAACCAGGGUUCGGCAAACACUACUGAGGAUUGUCCCCUUCAAGCCUGUCCUUAUACAUAUUCCCCAACAUCUCCUGUGCGUUGUUUUUGUGCUGCCCCUCUGACUGUUGGAUAUCGAUUGAAAAGUCCUGGAUUCUACGAUUUUUUAGAAUACAAAGAGCUGUUUGAAGUGUAUUUGACCACUGGUCUGAACUUGGAGGUUUAUCAGCUAUACCUUGAGAACGUCCAAUGGGAAGAUGGACAUAGAUUGGAAAUGCAACUUCAGCUAUUUCCUCUCUAUGAUGCUAGCAACAAGAGUUCUCAUGUCUUUAAUGCAAGCGAGGUUCUCCGUAUCAGGAGCAAGUUCACCGACUGGACUAUACCUGAUAGUGUUAUAUUUGGACCUUAUGAGCUUCUGAACUUCCCCCUGUUGGACCCUUAUAAUGGUUUGUCUUAAACAAAAAUAGUGCCUAUUUUAAUUCAGCCUUCUUAUAUCUUAUCUGGUAGAACAUGUGAAAUAAUUUGAACUUGGUGUCACGUUUUUAUGCACUUUUCAAGUGAUUAAAUAGUAAUUCUGGAUUGCCUUAUUUUAUUUUUUUUUCAGCUCAAGGAUUGUGAAAAGUUACCAUACUUCAUCUAUUAGCAAUAAGAUGAACUUUAACUUAGUUCUUUUGCAUGCAUUUAACAAUAUUGAGGAGCAGUUAAGCUGUAUUCACUUAUUUCUUGCAUAAACAUGUCCUCUAAUGUGCAUUUGUAAUGCCAGGAAGUACUUUAUGCUUGCUGAAUAAUCAUAGGAAGAAUUCGCUAUACUUAACAUAUAAUUUUGUGAUAAUCUUGGUUGUUGCAUAUUUGAAGCUUGCCUGUACUUAUCGAUGUGGAGAGGUGUUAUUCAGUUUUGUGCAAUAUAUUGUGUCAAGGGUAAAGCACCUCUUGUUGGUGUCAUUUGGACUUCAUCAUGUCCAUGCAUGUCAUGCCUUUGCUAUAACCUAUAAUGAAACUGAAUGAUCAUAAAGCUUAAUUUAAUAUGAAUUUUGAUGUGCUGACGAACAAAAUCGUAAGUUAUGCAUCUAGCUUAGUUUCUCCUACACAAGGAUGUGACAGAGUUGCUGCAUAAAUUUGAUGAUGUUUUGCUUAUGGUUCUCAUGAUGUUGCAGUGUUUAUAACCUCACCAUCAUCAUCUGGUAUCAGCAAGGGUGCCUUGGCUGGCAUAGUAUUGGGUGCAAUUGCUGGUACAGUUACAUUAUCUGCAAUUGUUUCACUUAUUAUCCUGAGGAGAUAUAUGAGAGGCUACCGUGCAAUUUCAAAAAGACGUCAUGGUAAGUAUUUCCUAUUACUAGAUUGCAAAUGCUUAUAAAUUAUGUUUGUCCAUGAUGCCUUCUCAAGUUUUGGGCUAUAACAACGCAUAUUCUGAUGCCAUGUCUGUAUCGUUUAAAAUUUAAACAUAGUGUAAUAAGAUAUACUAUUUUAUUAUGUUAUUUUAAGAGAUUGAUGGGUAAUGCUGUUCAAGUGUUUGAAAGUAAGAUCUGUUGGUCAAAAUAGUUCCAUGUCUAACGUUUGCCUCUGUUUGUGCAUAGCAUCUAAAGCCUUUCUAAAAAUUGAUGGCGUGAAGGACUUUAGUUAUGCUGAAAUGGCCUUGGCUACAAAUAAUUUUAAUAGCUCCGCUCAAGUUGGUCAAGGAGGAUAUGGAAAAGUUUAUAAAGGCAUUCUUGCUGAUGGCACGGUUGUGGCCAUCAAACGUGCUCAGGAGCAUUCUUUGCAAGGUGAGAAGGAAUUCUUAACAGAAAUAGAAUUGUUGUCGAGGCUACAUCACAGGAAUCUCGUUUCUUUGGUUGGAUACUGUGAUGAAGAAGGUGAACAGGUACCUUCCUAAUAUAUUUCCCAAAUGUUUAAAUUCAUCUUUAUUGUCUUCACAUUUUCGUUAAAUUAAUCAAAUCCUGCCUGUGUUUUUUCAUCCAUUUAGGGAGUCAAGUGAAAUCCCUGACUAGAGUAAUCGUAGGCAUAGAGUAAGCUGUAGGCAUAAGUCUCUGUUCUCUCCUGCAAUGUUGCAAGCCUCACAGUCGAAGCAUAUGUGCUCUCACCGUGUGUGAGGAAAGCCUUAAAAACUAGGCCACAACUUUGGGACAAUUGUUCCGACUUUGACAUACGUGGAAGGCUUAUAUUUUAUUGUUCUGAUUGCUGAAUAAUUUCAAGAAAAAUAAAGAAACAAUUCAAUCUAGAAAUGAUAUUUAGGAGCCGCAGGAAUUGUUCUAUUUUUUCUACAUUUCCUUUCAAGUGAUUCCACCGACAAGGAAAACUUUGGCAUUCUAUGCCAGAUAUAUAACUCUUUUGUUCUUUUUAUUUAUCCUGUGAUGUCAAAAAUUAUCAUUUGAGAAAAGCUUAUCAUGUAUUCCAUUAUGCCUGCAGAUGUUGGUUUAUGAGUUUAUGUCAAAUGGCACCCUUAGAGAUCAUCUUUCUGGUACAAAUAAUUUUCUACUUGGGGUUCCUUUUUAUUAUUAUUUGUCAUUCAGUAAGCAAGAACCAGCUAAAGUAGAUAUCUCUUUUCUUUCUAUAUAAAAUCGUCAAUUUAAUUAUAAUUUUCUAUAUACUUGUGUAUUGAGUAUUGUAGCUGAUUCAUCUUGUCUGUGGGUGGUAUCACAGCCAAGUCUAAAGAACCCCUGAGUUUUGCAUUGAGAUUGAGAAUUGCCUUGGCUUCAGCAAAGGGCAUCCUCUACCUACAUAAAGACGCAGAUCCCCCAAUUUUCCACCGAGAUAUCAAGGCAAGCAACAUAUUACUCGACUCUAAUUAUAAUGCAAAGGUUGCUGAUUUUGGACUUUCAAGGCUGGCUCCAGUUCCUGAUAUUGAAGGUUCGAUCCCAGCUCAUGUGUCCACAGUAGUAAAGGGUACUCCUGUAAGUUUAUUUUCUCUGGAAAGACUAUCAAAAUUUCCAAGUUUCCCUUCUUCAGUUAGUUGACGUUGUUCGUCUUUGUUCCUCUUUUUUUUACCAUUAGCACCCAUUUUGUAGUGUGUCCACAUUUGGACAUCUUUGAUACGAUUAAUGAAUUUCAUCACAGUUUAUUAACCUGCAAAUGGGUAGGAGAAACAACAUUUGAAUCUUAUCUGUUCAGUUCAUUCUCCAAAAUCCACAAGGAAAAAGCUAGUUAAAUUUGUGAUAUCCUGAUGUCUCAAAUAUUAUUUUGAUUUUGCAGGGUUACCUUGAUCCAGAAUACUUUUUAACACAUAAACUGACAGACAAGAGUGAUGUUUAUAGCCUUGGUGUUGUAUUUCUGGAGCUGUUGACAGGGAUGCAACCAAUCUCGCAUGGAAAAAACAUUGUCCGAGAGGUAAUAGCUUACCACCAAAAUGAAGUUCAAGUCUGUCUUACACGUAGUAAACAUUGGAAUAAAUUAGAUCUACAUGACAUCUCUUCAUUUUCAAAGAAUUCGAUGAAAAUGUAGAAACAAAUGUUUGAUAUUUAAGGCUCCGUUUGUUUCAUAGAAAUUUUUUUUUUGAGGAAAAUAUUUUCCGUAUUUUCUGGUGUUUGGGAUCCUUAAAAAAUUUAGUCAAUCAAAAAUAUUUUUUUGAUAAAAAAAAAAUAAACAAUUUUAAGGAAAAUGACUUCUUCCUUUCAAAAAAGGAAGUUAUUUUUCUUAAAUUAAUUUUUUUUUCACUAAGAAAAUAUUUUUCGUUGAUUAAAUUUUCUCAGUGUCCCAAACGCCAAAAAAUAUAGAAAAUAUUUUACAUGCACAAAUGAGCUUAUAUGUGGUGGGUUGCAUAAAGGCUGGAUAGUGUUCUACUUUUGUGAAUAUUACUAAAUUAAGUUUUUUAGGUAAUUUUCUUAAAUUAAUAUUAACUUGGAUUAAGUACCUGGGCCAAGUCUGUUGACAUAGUUUGUUAAAUUAAUAUUUUAUGGAUUUUAUGUACAUCAGGUCAAUAUUUCAUACCAAUCUGGUAUGAUAUUCUCUGUGAUUGAUGGACGUAUGGGUUCUUAUCCUUCCAACUCUGUGGAGAAAUUCUUGAAUUUAGCAAUCAAGUGCUGUGAGGAGGAUACAGAUUCAAGACCUUCAAUGGCAGAUGUGGUCCGAGAACUUGAAACUAUAUGGCUGAUGGUCCCAGAGUCUGACAAGAAAACAACAGAUACAGUUAUCAGUGAUCCUGAAAAGUUAGAAAGUUCAUCACCAUCUUCAUCAUCAAUGGUGAAGCAUCCUUUCAUGUCGUCUGAUAUUUCCGGUAGCGAUCUCGUGAGUGGAUUUAUUCCUAGCAUCACUCCCAGAUGAAUGGCACUGUGGGAACAUUUAAUAAGAACUGCUGACUAUGAAGUGCCUUGGUGUACUUUGUUUGUAAAGGUAAUAGAUAGACUUGAUGUUAAAUAUCUGAAGUGAUACACUCAACCAAUAGUAUUACAAAAAUUAAAACUUAAAAUUAUCUUAAAUUGCCACGUAAGUUGUAAGUGGUUAGUUUUAAAUUAUAUGAUAAUUUUGUGAUUGUGUUGGUUGGCUGCAUAAUUGUGGAAUCGAGAUACGAAAUUUUUGUUUUAUAAAUUGAAAAUUAAAUAUGUUAAAAUUUUUAAAAAUUAAUUAAAAAUAAUAUAUAUUCUAAAAAUAAGUAAAUAAUAUCAUAAUAAUAUAUUUUGAUAAGCACAGAAUUAUCAUUUAUUUAAUUAUAAAUAUUCUUCAUAAUAAAAUAAUAUAUAUGUAUUAUGUUAUAAAUUAUGAAAUUUAAAAUUAUUGACAAUAAUUAUCACCAUAUAUAUAUACACCGAAACUUUCAUUUAAAUUUAAUUAAAUAAAGUAUAUUAAAAUUAAUAUAAAUUAUCUUAAAUAACUAUAAUUAGUUAAAUAAAUUAACUAGAAAAAAAUUUAAAAAAAAAUUUAUAUACACUUUUUAUAGCGAAAAUGAGUAAAGAUUUUAAAUUUUAAAAAUAUUAAAUCUAGCAAACGUUUUAUAAGUAAUUAAUUGAAAUAGGUGAAAAUUCGAUUAAUUCAUAUUGAUUCACCUUAUUCACUAUUAAUUUUUUUUAUUUAAUCAUAAUUCAUAUAUCUUAUAGAUUUUUGAUUCACCUUAUUCACUAUUAAUUUUUUUUAUUUAAUUAUAAUUCAUAUAUCUUGUAGAUUUAAAUCGUUAGGAUAUAGAAUUUAAUCAAGAAUCUUAAGACUCAAACUAAAAAUCGUAAGAUUCAGGUACAUUUAAGAUUUACUCUCUAAAUUCAAAACGAUUUGUUGGAAAAUAGAUUUAAAUUGUAAAAUUCUAACAAUAAUGGUUAGGUGUACUAUCUCAAUACGAUAAGAUGAAAUAGUACGUUGAUUGUGUAUAUUUUGAAUUUUCUGUAUAUAUUCCUUUGAAAAUAAUAUAAUAUUUAUAUAUAAGAUAUUCUAUAAUUAUGUAUUCUAACUUAGGAAAGUAUCCCUAAAAUUAUGCUAAUUUUUAUUAUAUAGUUGACUUACUGUAACACUCUACCUUAAAUUGGAGCAUAUAUAUUUAUCAUAUUCAAUUUAUUAUUAAUGUAAUCAAUUCUAAUUCUAUUUAGACCCUUUAUGAAAAUAUCACUUAAUUGUUCUCCAGUCUUAACAUGUCCAGUUGAGAUGACCCGUUGUUGAAUCUCCUCAAGAUUGAAGUGAUAAUCAAUUUCAAUAUACUUGGUUUGUUCAUGAAACACUGGAUUAGAAGUGAUAUGAAGAGUUGCUUGGUUAUCACACCACAACUUAGUAGGUGAUCAGAUUUUAAGACCGACUUCAUCCAAUAAUUAGUAUAUCCAUAUUUUUUAUGACUUAUUUGAAAUAGAUUUAUUCCACAUUGAGAGCAAUGUGAGUUAAGUAUAGAGGAAGAGUUUAGAGGGAAUAUUCUAAUGUCCAUUGAUAUCUAUUUGCUUUAUAUUUCUUUAGUUUAUUUCUUUUCUUUUAGCUUUAUUUUCUUUAGUUUUAUUGUUUUAUUUUUAUUUGUUUUACGUACUAUUUUGUUUAUUUUAUUUUAUUUUCUUUCUAUAUUAAAAAUAAAGAGUUAUGACUUUUAAAGUUAUAUUGAAUUUCAUCAUGUGGCUAGUACAGAUGGCUUUCUCUUAUGUUUUUAUACAAAUCAUGAGUAAUUUCAACAUUUACCUUUACUAAUAGGAAUGUGCGAACUCCUAUUUAAAUGAAGUGAAAUUGCCUAUUAAAAGAUCUAUUAAUGCAUUCUAAAACUUUGAUUUAACUUGUUUUGGUGAGUCUCAUUUAAGAACAAUGUCCCAAGAAACUUAGAAUGUUCAAAACUAAAAAGAAAAAUAAAUAAAUAAAUAAGUGAUUCACCAAGAUCGGCUAAUUUAGGUGGUACGACACUUGUUUCCUUAAGCAAAGGAUGUCCCUUGUGGAUGGACCCAUAGAGACCGUCAAUAGUUCAAAAUACACUACUAACAAGAUAGUUUAUCAUCACUAGUUGGUUUUUGUGGUUUGGACCUAUUCUCCUUGAGGGAUGUCCCUUGUUAAUGGAAAGAACUAGUAUUGAGAGAGUACACCGUCAUAGGAUUUUUUGACUUUGAGGACCAUGUUGAAAUUUCUUUUAUGCCUUGAAUACAUUGAUGAGAUCUUGCUACUGAAUGCUAGUUGUUUAAUGUACUUUAGUUUAACUCUUUGAGCCAUAAAAAUUUUAACGGUUGAGUAGAUGGAUGUAAAUUUUUAGACAUAGAAAGAUUGGUGGGUUUUGCUUUUUGGACAUAGAAAGAUUGGUGGGUUUUGCUUGAGGACAAGUAUGAUCUAAAUGUGGAGGAAUUAAUAAUCUGCAUAUUUUGUGUUAUCUUUAUUUUAAAUACUUAAAUUUUGAGUUAAAGUAUACUUAAACAUGCUUAUUUAUUUGAGUAUUCAUAUUUUGAUAUGAUAAGUAAAAAUUAGAGAAAAAGAGGGCAAAAAUUAUAUUUGAUUUGGAUAUUGAAGCUGAAAGAGUCAUGGGCAUAACUUGGCACAUGAGGAAAUAGAGUCCAUCUCAAACUUUGACUCUCGGAUCAAUAAAUACAUUUUUCCAUGGGUUAAGUUAUGAGCAUAACCAACCCCACGAAAAAAUGACAUAAACCUAAUUGGGAAGAACUUCUCAAACAUGUGAUUGAAAAAGAGUCCUCCACCUAACCAAUUAGAAUUCAUCUCAUUUUUGGAAGCAAAUACAUAAGAUAUGAAGAGGAAUUUUAGAUAGAUCAAACACAUAUUUUCUAUUUGUUUAGUACUUCUAGUAAUUAAGGAUUUAUUAUUAGUAUUUAAAGUAUAGUAUUUUAUAAACAACAUUAUCUUCUACUUUUGAAUACUUCUACUUAUUGUGUCUCACCUAUGAACAUUUGUGGCUAAAUUCUCUUUUCAAUUGAAAGAUAAUUGAAGUUUCAGUUCAAUUGGUUAGGAGAUUUAAUUAUUUUAAUUAUUUUUUUAUUUUCUUUUGGUAUUUAUAUGUUCUUGUGACUAUUGUUUAUUAUUAUUGUAUUAAUUGUUGCAAUAAGAAUCGAUUAGUAGUUGCUAGAACAAUACAUUGAUAUUCAGAUUGAUUAAAUCUGUAAUUAUUUAAUUUAAUAGGAAACAAGUGGUAAAUUAAGUUGCGUAAGGCUUUCAUAAAAAUAAUAUAAUAUAAUUUAAAUGAACCGAGUGCCUCACAUUUAUUAGCUAGAAUCAAGUUCUUUUAAUUUUUAAUAUAGUAAUUAGAUUAAAUUUUAGAAGUAUAGUUAUCCAAAAGUUAUAACUAGUUAACCAGUAUCCCUUAACUAAUUUAAAAAUUAAGGUGGUAUUUGGUAUUUAAAACAUUUUUAAUAUUUAUAAUUGGUUUAUCAAGAACUAAUUUAGAAUUAUCUUGAUAUUUAUUAUUAAUCAAUAAAACUAAAACUGAGAUUAAUCCUUUAGCUCAAUUCAUCUCAAGUGAUUUUCUUUUCUAAAUUUAAUUAGUUUAUUUUUUUUAAAUUUAUUUAAUUUAUUUUUUUAUUAAAUUAAUUUUUAUUUACUUGCAUUGAAAAUCGUUCAUUUUAUUUUUAUUUUUAUAUUUUCUAUCUUUUAAUUAAAUUAAAUUUCUCACUUUUUUUGAUCAAUCUUACUCACCAUUAUUAUAAUUUAUUUUAUUUUAAAAAAAUAAAAAUUUAUUUUUAUGAUUUUGACACUCAUAAAAAAUAUUAUUUCACUAUCAUAUUUAUUAUGUUUUAUUUAUCUCUACUUUUAUACUUUCACAGUAUAAUAUACAUAAAAGUGGAAAGAGAGAAAAUAUUGUGAUUAGUUAAUAUACUUUUAGUUAGAUUAGAUAAUUACAAUUUUUUUUUUUAUUUUGAUUGGUUUAAAAAAUAACAUAAUAAUGUAUUAUUAUUUUAAAAUCUUUAAUUUAAAUGGUGAAGUGAGUUUUUUUUUAAUUUAAAUUUUAUUUAAUUAAUCGAUAAGAUUUUAUUAUGUUUAUUUUAAAUUUAAAUUAUGAACUUUAAAAUAUUUAUUUUAAUUAAAUGGAUUUCCUAUACAAUUUCAAAUUCUAAAUUUCGUGAUGGAUAUAAUUUUGUUAUUAUUUUUACAAAUAAAGUUAUACUUAAAUUAUUUUUUUAAUUUUUUAUUAUAAUUCAAAUUAUAAAAAAUAAAAUAAAAUCGUCUAAGAAGAAAAUUUUUAAUUUUUUUAAACUUCUCAAAUUAAAUACUCAACUUAUGUAAACUUAAGCCGUUUAUGAAAAACUAAAUGUUAUCAUUAAAUUGAGUAAUAUAUAUAUAAUAGAAAAAAUUACUAAUUAGUUUUAUGGUAGGGAAAUUUUUUUUUUGAAAGCAAAACUCCUGAUUGUAUUAAUAAAAUUCUAUCAAACAAAGAGAGAUAUCAUCCCAAAUAGAUAAACGAUUAUACCUAAUAGAUUUUCUAGUCAAAGUAUGUGCAGUUAGAGUAGCAUUACGACGAAUCCAUCUAACAGAAAUAUCAGUUCUAGGGUCUAACAAAGAUUUACAAUCAUUCAAAAUCAAACUCCUGCAUAAGAUAAUUUGGCAAACAUGCUCUUCUUUCUUUCUCAUCUCUCGAGCAUAAAUCAUUAAAAUCUCCCGAAUAAAGCUGCGGAUGAGAACUUCUAUGAGAUAAAGCUCGAAUAAGGUUCCAAGACUGACGUCAUCGUUGCGAUUCCGGAAAUCAAUAAUAACUAGUAAACCUCUAUUUAACAUUACCUUCCGAAACAACCGAAUCAAUAAAAUUUGAAGAAAAGCCAACCACAGAAACAGACACAUGACUCUUCCAUAUUAACGAAAAGUCACAUCUUAGUCCUUGUCUAUUGACUAAGAAGCAACCAUCAAAAUAUAAAAAACUACGAAAAAAUUCCAUACGAGAACUAAGACCUUUUGUUUCCAUAAAAAAUAAAAUGUCCGGUUUGUAACUAGUAACCAAAUCUUUCAAUGCAUUAACUGUCCGAGGAUUGCCGAGUCCUCGGCAGUUCAUACAGGACGAUCAUUGCUUUCGACUAUCCCGACCUUUGACGGGAUGAGCCGCUUUACUGUUGCCUGUCAAAUUAACCUCGGCAGUUCCAAUACAGGACGAUCAUUGCUUUCGACUAUCCCGACCUUUGACGGGAUGAGCCGCUUUACUGUUGCCUGUCAAAUUAACAUUCCCUAUAUUCUCAAAAUCAACAUUAUUAAAAAACUGAAACAGAUAUCUUUUUGCCUCUAAUUGCAUAAUAGAUACCUCCUCUAAAGGAUGCCAUAAAUCUGCUAAAGAGGUUUGCAUAUUCUGAAAAUUGAUUGGAUUAUAUGUGAGAAACAUCCCCACCAUACAAAAAUCAUAAGUGAUGAUCGGAAUAUCUCUGAAGCACUUAAUAGGGACAACAACUUCUUCUUCUUCAUCGAUAGUCAAUUGACGCAGAUUGUCAUCCAUGGGGAAAGGGAAAGAAGAAGUUAGGUUUAAAGAAGAGGAAAGGCGAGAGUAUCGAGUCACAAAGGGACCAGAGGGAAACUUGUGUCGAAAGUAUGUGUGGAGAUGAAUUUAAUUUUUUUUUUUAAAUUUAGUUAAAAUGUUUCUGAUAUUUUAAAAAAUCUAAUAGAACUUACAUUAAUUUUAACGGUUAAUUAUUGCAAAAAAAUCUAAAAUAUCUCUGAUACGGAGAGACUAAAUAAUAGAUUUUUUAAAAAUUUGAGGGUCUAAUUAAUAAAUUUUUUAAAAUUAUAAAGAUUAAAUAAUAAAAUAUUUAAUGACUAAAAUUAAUGAAAUAAUCAAUAAGUAGAUUUUUUAAAAUAUCAAUGAUAUUUUAAUAAAUUUUUCAAAACCAAAGAAUCAAUUAUUGAUUUUUCUGCAUAUAAGAGAGAUUAAAUAAUAAUUUUCUCUUUAUAAUAUUUAAGAUUAAAAUUUUAUAAUAUAUUAAAUUUAUAACUACCAUUAAAGGAUAAAUUUAAUAAGAGAUAAUCAUUACCUAUCUGAAUCUAAUUAAGUUCUCACAAAAUAUAGUAAUCGAUAAAGUUUAAUUAGGAUAUGAAUUCAUGAUUUUGUGGACAUGCAUAUUAUAAAUACAUCAACUACUCAACAAAAUUAAAAUAACAUCAUACUACAUUAUUUAUAUCAUACAAUAGAAAAAAAAAAUAGUAAUCAUUAUAAAAAAUAAGGUCGAUAUUGCUUCAAAAAAAAAAAAAAGGUUGAUAUUUAUUUGGAAGACACUGUACGUGUGCAUGCAAUUAUUCAUAUUCUCUAAUCCUAUUAAAUUUGCACCAUAAACUCUUCAAGUUUCAAGCAUACACUCAACCUUUCAGAUUUCAUCUACACUAUCAGCUUCUCAUGUCCUAAGAGUGUCAUACACUCACUUUAUCUCCAAUUUGUAUGUAACCUCAGUUAAUUUAAAUUUAUGUUGAGCUUGAACUUCUGUAGAUUUACUGGUUCCUCUUACUUUAGUUUAGUAUUAUAUAAUUUUUAAUAUACAUAUAUAUAUUGUUGUUAUUUAUUUGAAACAUUUGUUUAAAUAAAAUUUAAAAGUUUAGCAAUUGUAUCUUUAAUUUUAUAAUUUUUAUACUUUAUGUUGAUUUUAUUUUUAUAAGGAAAAAUAUCUAUCAAGGAACAUACAAAUUAUUUACAUUGAUUUUCUAUAAUACUUCCCCUUGUGGUUGAGCAUAGAUGUUAAUCAUACCUAACUUGUUAUAUAUGUAAUUAAACUGAGCCUCAUUAUUGCUUUAGUGGAAAUAUUCCCUAAUUAUUCUCUAGUUUUGACAUGUCUUGUCGAGAUCAUCUUCUGUUGAAUCUUUUCGAGCAUAAAGUGAUAGUCAAUUUUGAUAUGUUUGGUCCUCUCACAAAAUAUUGGAUUAGAGACAAUGUGGAUUGCCGCUUGGUUAUCACGCCGUAAUUUAGCAGGCAAUGAGUUCCUCUUCUAGUAGUUGAUAUAUCAAUAAUACUUCAUAUACAGUUUGUCAUAAUUCGAUAUUUUAAUUCACUACUAGAAUGAGAGAUCACAUUGUUUCUUACUUCUCCAUGAUAUUAGGUUGCCUUCCAUAAAAAUACAAUAUCCUGUUAUUGACCUCCUGCCAAUUUUUAAACUUGCCUAGUCUAUAUCAAAAAAAUAUUCAAUAUUUGAAUUUCCAUGAUUACCAUAGUAGAGGCCACGCUUUGGAGCUCCUUCCAAGUGAUACAAAAUUUAUCCCAAAGCUUCCCAGUGAGUAGCUGUAAGAGAGGACAUGAACUAACUCAUUACACUAACUAAAUAUGCAAUGUCUAGUCGAGUCACCAUCAAAUAAUUCACUUUGCCAACCAAUCUUCUUGAUAAGGUGUUUAUUAUGCCUAAUUAAUACAUUUUCUUACUUGUGAAUUUGGAGUUGAUUAUGCUGAAUUAUACACAUUUCUUUCAUUUUUGCAAUAUUGACAGAUUCUAUACUCUUUAGAAAGAAAAGCCUUAAUUGAAAGAUUUAGCAGAAAAUCAGAGGAAGAAUCAUGAAGACAGAUUUCGAGUAAAGCCGACCUCUUGCAAGUGGACCUCAACAGACCUAAUCAGACCUCUCACGAAGCCGACCUCUUACAAGGCAGACUUUGUGCAUAAGACUGUGGGUACGAGUUAUGAAAUAUUACAGGAUUUUCAGGCAUGAUUGAAGAUUGUCAACUUGGAAAGGAAUGAUUUCAAAAAGAUCAUGAUUUUAGGGAUAUUUAUUUUCUUCCUCUUUAAUUUAUAAUUUUUCCCUUUUAAAAGGGGGAAGCUUCUCUGUAAUUAGGGCAUUCAGAGUUUUAUUUAGAGUUUCAGAGUUCUGUCAUGAGCUCCAAUAGCUAAGCUCUUUUAUCUAGUUAGGGAAGUUUCAAGGUGUAAUUCGUACGGAUUGUGAGAUCAAUCGAGGUUAAACCUUUCCUUCUCAUUUCUAGUUUCAAUGUUAUUCCUUUUAUUCUUAAGAUUAUUAUUUGUUUGACUGAUGCAGUCUAGCCAAUUGUUCAAUUGAAUGAAUAGUAUACAGUCAUUCAGAUUCAUUAAGUCUAUAAUCAUUUGUGAGUUUAAUAUUUGCGACAAAUAAUAUUUUAUUGUAAAAUAAUGUAUUCUGAUUUCAUAGUCGUGCUGAGUGAGCUUCUUGCUAAUGUUGUUAUCAAAUUGAAAUCUCAUUGAGCUGAUCAUGUAGUUUAUUUGAUGAUUAGGGGGGAUUACAUAGCUAAUCCUCUUCAGUCUUUUAUCUAAGGGAAGAUUAGGUUGUUAGACUAUGUCAACAACUAUAACUGGCUAGUCAGAAGUUGAAGUCGAACAUCCUUGCAUCUAUGAUCAAUCCAAAUAAUUCACACUGAGAUACUCCCGAAGCUAGAUGUUUUCUUACUCUUUUUAAUCUCUUUUAAUUAUUCAUUCUUUAUUAGUUUACUUUUUAGAUCUUCUCAAUCAAAACUCCUUUUUAUAUUUAUAGUUUAAUUUGUUUGUUUUGAAGCCGAGAAAGAGGUUGGAUAGUCAGACUCUUGAUAGGUUGAUGACUGGGUUCUUAAAAUGUGUAGUCAAUAGAUCAAAAGUCAUGACUUCAAGCCAACACGUAAGACAUCAGGCCUUCAAGACAUCGAGUCAUGCACUCAAUAGGUCGUCAUGACAGUGAAGCCAUCAAGAGGUCAAACAAUCGAAUUUCUACAAGAUUGUAGGUAGGUCUUCAGUUCAGCCAUUAGGUCGGAAGUCAGUCGGCCACCCAGUCAGGUCAGACAUCUUAUCGUAAGGGCAUAAGUACAUCAGGACGUCGGUCCAACAGUGUGGGAAGGUCGGUGACCAAGAGGUUGGUCAUCAAGUCGAUAGGUCGAAAGGUCAAAAUUCAACUCAUUGAGUCAUAUAGUCGUCAAUUGGUUAGUCGAGGAUAGGUCGAUCAUCUGGACUUAAUUUGAUAGUCACCCAGUCAGUCAGCAGGUCUUCUUGCGUCUUCUCCUGCAUCUAUUCUCAUGAGUAAAAUUAUAGUUAACCCUUUCACUGUGGAUUCAACCCUACUUACCAUAUCUACAAAUCAUAAUUGCAGGAAAGAGUAGGAUUUAUUUUUGGCAGAUUUGACACCCACCACUUAUAUACAUUUUAGGGUCUGUAAAUGGCACACUAUUAUCUACGAUAAGUUGUAGAUUCGGAAGCAUGAUGCACUAUAAAGCUUAAUACCCAAUUUUUCUAUUUUUGCCAACAAAUCAAAGAUAUAUUUCCUUUGAGAUAAGAAAAUAUAUUUCUUACAUUCAGUAACUUCAGUGUCCAAAAAAUACUUCAAGGAGCUCAAAUCUUUUGUAUGAAAUUAUGACUUGAGGAAAGAUUUUAGAGAUGUAAUGCUUAUAACAUCACUACCCAUGAUAAUAAUAUCAUCCAUAUGCAUUGCUGAUAGGAUUAAUCUACCAUCAAAAUACUUUUAAAAGACUAAGUGAUCAUAUUUGCUCUUUUGCAUGCCAAACUAUUGUAUUGAUUCGCUAAAUCUCCCAAACCAAACUUAGGUUGUCUAUUUCAAGCUAUAGAGAUUUACAAAGUAUGCAAACCUUGUCUAACUUCCUCUUAGCAACAAAACUAGGUGGUUGCUCAAUAUAAACUUCUUCUUGAAUAUCACCAUAAAGAAAAACAUUCUUUUUGUCUAGCUAGUGUAAGGAUUAAAAGAAAAAGUACAAAAGUUAGAAAAUAAUUCUGAACGAAUUUUCAUUAAAAAUAACUAUGUAGUUUUGGAGAAGUUAUCAAUAAAGAUAACAAAAUACUUAAAAUCAGACUUAAAAACAAUAAAACAAUGAUCCUAAACAUCUAAAUGCACUAACUCAAAAGGAGACGAAAUCCAUUUAUUGACUAAGAUAUUAUAGAUAAAUAAUGAUACUUGGUAGACUGACACGGCUCAUAAUUUAAAGCAGACAAUGACUCGAUGUAACACUCUAAUUUUUUUUAGAGAAAAUAAUAAUAAUUAUUACUAUAAAAAAAAUGAAAAGACAAUUUAUAAAAACUUUUGGAAAAAGGUUUAUUUAGUUUCAAAUUUAGACAUAAAAGUGAAGAUAUAGAAUUUUUUAUUAGAAAAUUUGAGUUAUAAAAUAAUAAUAAAUAAGGAAUAAAAUGAAAUUAUUCUAAAUGGUAGGUGGCUGCCAUGUUUCAAAUUGUAGUGCCACGUUUCUCUUCUCUAAUAAUUCUAUUUAUAAAUAUAUAUAAAAAAGAAAUAAAAGGAAAAUUACAAAAGAAGUUGGCUGCCAUCUAAUAAUUCUAUUUGAAUUUUUAAUUAUACAUUUAAACUUUAAUUAUGAAAAGUUGACUAUGGACGUAAGAUGAAAGGGUGUUGAAAUUCAUGAUUGUCCAUACAUAAUAAUUAAGGAAAUGAAUAUGCAGUCUUGCUAUAUAACUAUAUUAUGUAUAGUAAAAAGGAGUUGAGGAUUUAGAAUUGAUAUAAUCAAAUUUUAUAUAUAUAAGCAUUAAAUUAGUAUAAUUUUAUAUUUUUAUUAAUUAUAAAAGUUGCGUGAAUUUAAUCUUUUAUUUAAAAUACGUAGGCAGUCUUGCAUGUAGUGCAAAGAAAGUAAAUUUUAUUUUCUUAAUUUUUAUUUUAUUUUUUUUCUCAAUUUGUUUUAUUACUCAUCUUUUGUAAGCAUAUAAAUUGUAAUACCCGGCUGGAGUCCGGCAUCGGAAUUCUGCUUUCCAGUGAGAUCCGGGAUGUCGGAAGUCUCUAGAAGGGUUCGAUUUAUGUUUUUCUUAAAUGUUUUGAUAUGUUCAUCGGUUUCAUGCAUAAGGAAAUGAGUUUUUGAGUGAAAUGAACCAAGGCAGAAAAGUCAGGUUCGGCCGCCGAAGUUGAGGUUCGGCCGCCGAACAUGCAUGGCUUUCGGUUUCACGUGUGGCCGCCGAAGGUGGUCUAGCCAGCCACCUAUAAAUGGCCCUCAGUCUGUUGAAGCGGUAAGAGCACCGUUUCUUUCACUUGCUGAGGUGAAACUCUGUCCUUUGUGAGUAUUCUUUCAUGUUUUCAUUAAAUCAUGCAAAGAUUUGAUUAGUUUUCAUGAUUAUUUGAAGGUUUUAAGCUAAAAACUCAAAGUUUGGAAGUUUGGUGAGUUUUGCUCCAAAACUCCACGUUAGGAUCCUUCAUCUACUUGUUUUCACGAGGUACGUGAAGAUCCUGAGCUUGUUUUUAUGUUUUCUGAAGGUUUUAUGGGGUUUGUGGAGAGAGUUGCAUGAAUAGGGUUAUUUGUGAGGUUUUGAUGAUUGUGUGAGUAAAGCUUGUUUCUUUGUUGUUUUUGUUGUAUGUUUGGGGUUUUAAGGUAGUUUUUGACCCCUUUGAGCAUAUACAUGAGUGUAUGCAAGUGGAAGUAUUGAGGUGUUUGAAGUGGAGUGAGUUUUGUGCAUUUGGCGAGAGGCAGGGCAAGUUUCUGCCCUGCUGAUGAACUCAGGUUCGGCAGCCGAAGGUACAUUCGGCCGCCGAACCCCUGAGGAGAAGAGAGGAGGUGGCUUCGGCUGCCUAAGCUUGCCCCCGAGCUUUUGGACUUUCGGCUCUGGAGGAGAGUUCGGCCGCCGAAGGUGCCGCCGAAGGUUAGAGACUUUCGUCUCUGGAGUGCCUUUUGGCCUCCGAAACUUGCCCCCGAAAGGGUUCGGCAGCCGAAAGUGGAAGUUCGGCCGCCGAAGGUGCUUGAGUUUCGUCUCUGGAGAGGACUUUCGACCGCCGAACCUGCCGCCGAAAGUGUUCUGUCCAGCUUUCCUUUGCAUGUUUUGCAAGGAUGAUAGAGUGCGUUUAAGGGGAUUCUUGGGAAGUUUAAUAGAGUUGUUCAUAAGCUAGUUUGGUCCCUCAUUUGCGUCCAUCUGUAUAGGUACAGACCAGAGGAACCAGAGAGAGCAGCAGUGAGUACUGCUCUGAGUUGUCAGAGCCUGCAGAGUCAGUCCAGAUAGCCAGGGGUGAGUGGAACUAAACUUAAUGCUUUUAAUUGACUAAUGGAAUGUUCUAGCAUAUCUCAUGCAUCAUGAUUAUGCCAUAGGUUGAUUGCAUUAGUAUCCACGAAUAUGUUGCAUUGCAUAGUGAAUUGUUGGUGUGGGUGAAUGCUGAAUGAUCCAAUAGUCUCAGACAGGAAGUCCAGGAGCCUUUGACUACGCCCUGGCAGGUAUAGUAAAGACCAGGAGCCUUUGACUACGCCCUGGCAGUUAUAGUAAAGACCAGGAGCCUUUGACUACGCCCUGGCAAUGGUAAGUACAGAGGUGUUAUAUACAUAUAUACAUAUAUGACAGGAAGACCAGGUGCUCGAUUCUACGCCCUGGCACAGAGUUACUGGGACUAUGUGGUGACAGGUUUACUCUUGAUAUGGUUUGUCUGUGGUAUGAUGCAUUCCAUGAGAUCAUGUUUUACUGAGAUGUUUUACUGUUCUACUCACUAGGCUAUAGAGCUCAUCCCACUCCCUUAACCCCAGUUUUGCAGGUUCAGUAUACAGUAUAGAGAGGAGAUCAGCAGAGUACAGCAAGAGAAAAGAGAAUUGUAAUAGUGUAGAGUGGACAUGUACUAUUACAGAGAUGUACUAGUUAUGUUAUUAGUUACAGAUGUGCUUGACUUAGUAGGUUGUGUUGUAAAUCUGUUGGUAUGUACAUGAUCUGUAUAUGUAUACAUGUUUUGUAUGUGAAAAACCAGGCUUAACAGGUAUGAGUUAACCCAUCUAGAGCAAGCUCUAGUCAGGGGUACAGAGUACAGAGUACAGAGUACAGAGUACAGAGAUAGUGCAUGCACAGGUUAAGCCUUGAUUCAGAAAAGAGUUUUUAUUGUCACAGAAAAUGUAUGAUCAUGUAUGAGUUUUACAGGUACAGAGAGUAUAGCAGGCUUGCUACGGGUUCUGGCGGCCUUAAGCCGACCUGAAUCCUAGCGCCGAUGACGGUCCAUUUUGGGGUCGUUACAUAAAUAGUUUGUGGUAUUUUUAUUUUAUAGCAAAUACAUGGAUCAUUAAUAUAAUGUUGCUUAUUAAAAUAGCAUUAUAAUUUAUUUUCAAUAAUUACUAUAGGAUUAAUAUUUUGUUAUGAUAAAUAGUUUCUUAUAAUUGCUAUUUUGUAGUUUAUAUAUAUAUAUAUAUAUAUAUUUUGGUUGCUAGAUCUUAAAAUUGAAUUCUAUCCUAGAGAAUAAUGUCUAAACGACUCUUACAAUAUAAUUGGUUUCUAUAAAUUCAUUAUACAAAGAAAUGUUCAUGUUUUUUAAAAUAAUUUCUCUCGUUUAGUAGUAUCAUAGCAAAGAUAUAGAUUCUAUAAACCCAUAUAGAUGUUUAAUCUUUAAGUUAAUAUAGAUGUGGGUAAAUAAGGUAUUCAGAGUCUUUUUAUUAAUAAAGCGUUAUGAUUUUAUUCUUUAGUAAUAGUUAAAAAGCUAAAAUUAUGCUUAGUAAUAUAGUGUUAUAGAAUUUAAGUGAUAAGUUUAUCUAAUUAUGUGCAAGUUAUGAAUUCACUUUUGAUAGAUGGAUACACUAUGAUCCUAAUUGAGAAUCGAAACUUUUGAAAUAUAUACGGAGAACUAGUCUAAGAAAAACAAAGUUUAGAAUAGAAAACUUGACAAAUAUGAAGAUAUGUUAUAAGUACAUGAAUAUGUAUGAGAAAGAGUUAGAAUUUGAAAAAAUAGAAAUAGGAACAAAUAGAGAAUGGAAUUAUAGAGUUUGGGUAUCGAAACUAUAAAAAAUAAUCUAUCCAAAUCCAAUAAGAAAAAGUUAUUUAUGGGGUGAAUAAGAUCAUAUCCAUAUAGAAUGGAUACUAAAAAUCUCCCAUCAAUAACCAGGAAAAUAAACAAUAAAAAUAAAGAGAGGGUUUGAUUAAGAGUAAAACUAAAAUAAAAAAUCAAGACAGUUAAAGAAAACAAUAAUCAAGUUAAAAUCAAAUAAUAAAUUUAGAAGAAAAUCAAUGCAAACAAUUUCCUGUUGAAAAAUAGGAUCCAUUUCAGUUAUGAGAAUUUAUCAUUGAAAUAAAAAUAUAUUUAUUCAUUCUAAUAAAUUAGGAGAGACACUCCUCACAACCAAUCUCUUCUUAAGUAUAAAUAAAUUAGAAAACAUUUACUAAUUGAUCUUAGUCAAUAAAUAAUUGUAAUACCCGGCUAGACCCCGACACCGGAAUUCCUACCUUCCGGCGGACUCUCCGUUGGAAUCCGGAAUUUCUCGGAUGUCGGAGCCUUUUAGAAGGGUAAAAUAAAGGUUUUCUAAAAUGUUUUUAUGUGUUUUUAUGGUUUUAAUGAAGAAAGAAAUUGAGUUUUGAAAGAAAAGACCAAGGAGGAAAAGUCCAGGUUCGGCCGCCGAACAUGGUGCUCUUGCGGAAGCACCUUUGGCCCCUGAAGGUGGUCUGGCCAGCCACUUAUAAAAGGCCCUACGUCCGAAAAUGGCCGAGUUUUCUCUCUCUAUUUUCGGGCGUAGGUGAGAUUUUGCCCUCCUUUGGUUGAUUUUGUGUUUUCCUUCAAUCUCUUCAAGUUUUUGAUGAGUUUUACGUUGUUUUGAAGAUUUUUGAGCUAAGAUUAAAGUUUUGAGGAUUGGAGACCCCCGGUGCUCGAUUUCUCCCAAUCUCCAAGUUUGGAUCACCUCUCCUCUCGAUCUUCAAGAGGUAAGUGUAGAUCCUAUCUUCUCUUAUGUUUUUAAGUAAGUUUUAUGAAGGGUUAAGGGGUUUUGAUGCAUGUUUAGGCUAGGGGUAAAAUGUUAGGGUUUAUGUACCCUUUAUGUUAAAUGUUUGCUAAAUGUGAUGUUUGUUGGGGUAUAGGUUAGUUUUAUGCCCCUUUAUGCUUGAGUAAGUGUUUAUACAUGUUUUAGAAUAAUUGAAUGCAUGUUGGGUUGUUGUGGGUGGCUGGAUAUACAAGGCAGAAUCAGGAUUCUGCCCUUUGGGAGAGCCCAGGUUCGGCCGCCGAACCUGCUUGUAGAGGCAGUUUUUGUAACAGCCCGGAAUCCGAUACCCCUCUGUAACGGCCCGGACCGCUACCGGCGCUAGGAUCCAGAUCGGCUUAAGGCCACCGGGACCCGUAGCAAGCCUAUCCUAAACUCUAUGUACCUGAUAAAUCCCAUACAUGACCAAACAUAAACACUACAAACUGAAAACUUUCCUUUCCCUUACCAAGCUUGACCUGCAUGCACUAUGUCUGACAACAUAGAACCCACUCUCAUAGGGUUAACAUAUCACAAAUCAGCCUUAGUGCAACGCAUUUCUUAACAAGAAACAUAAAACAUUCUAUAAGGAUCAUGCAUAACAAGGGAUUAAUCAUACACUAGGGCAAAGCACAACUCUAUCCAUUACAUGACAUUAUAUCUCUAUACAUUACAUUACAUACUAAUCCUUUAAUUUACAUCAUGUCCACUACUCUAGUACAUAACGAACUCAUACUCAUAACUCUGCUGACCCUGACUUCCCAUAGCUAGCUCUGGCCCUGCAAAACUAGGGUUAGGGGAGAGGGGUGAGCUAAAAAGCCCAGUGAGUAGAAGCAAUGAAAAUAGUUCAUUAAUAUCAUGCUUUCAUGAAAUGCGUCACAGCAUAAAUAUUUCACAUCUCGGAUCGGACAUGACCUCAAAACUCCCUCUGUCAGCGCCCGGCCCCCCUUGGGAGCUCACACAGGCCUUUCCUUACUUAACAUAUCGUGGGCUAUUGAGGUCACCUUAGUCCAUCCACAUCAUCAAUAAAUAAUGCAAUGCAUCAUAUUCGUGACUACUAAUGCAAUCAACCUAUUGCAUACUCAUGGUGCAUGAAACAUGCUAAAAGCAUUUAACUUUUCAUAUUAAAAAACAUUAAGUUUAGUUCUACUCACCUCUGGCAGACGCUGGACUGACUCUGCAACAGCUAACACUGAUGGCCUCCUCGGUCCCUCGGGUCCGAUCCUACACAGGUAGACUCGAAUGAGGUGCCAAACACACUCUACACAACUCAUAAACAACUCCCCAAAAACCCCCUAAAACCUCCUUAAGCAUGCAUGAAAAACAAGCAAAGAAAAGCUAGACAGGGCAGCUUCGGCGGCACCUUCGGCGGCCGAACCCUCUCUCCAGAGACGAAAUUCGGGUACUUUCGGCGGUCAAACCUUCCUUCGGCGGCCGAAAGUCUGCUUUCAAGCCAAAACUCAACUUUCGGAGGCAAGGUUAGGCGGCCAUCACAGCCUUCCUAAGGGAUUCGGCGGCCGAAUCUUGCUUCGGCGGCCGAACCUGAGUUCAUCCAGAACUCAGCUUCAUGCACAACCAAGCCUCCCAAACCGACCAAACACCAAAACAUGCAUACCACAAAUCCACAACCUGCAUAUACUCAAGUAUAGGCACAAAGGGGUCCAAAACUAACUUACAACCCCAACAAACAACACAUCUAAACACAUCAGCUUGCUUUGACCACAAAUCAACCAAAAACCCACUUUACCCUAAACAUGCAUCUCUACCCAUAAACCUCCAUAAAACUCACGUAAAACUUCAUAAAAACUAAGGAUCUACACUUACCUCUUGAAGAACAAGAGUUGGUGUGACCCCAAACGUGAAGAGCAUGAACCUCCCUUUGCACGAAAAGAGAGUGAAAUACACUCCAUUUUCGGUCAACGGGGCUUUUAUAGGUGGCCAAAUCGCCUUUCCUUCGGCGGCCGAACUUCAACUUCGGCGAGCGAAACCAUGCAAUGUUCGGCGGCCGAACUUAUCCUUCGGCGGCCGAACCUGCAAUUUGUCCCCUUGGUCUUUUCCUUUUCAAAACCCAAUUCCUUUGCAUUCAAAACCAAUAAACACUUAAAAACAUUUUGAAAACCUCUUUUUAAACCCUUCUAGAAGGCUCCGACAUCCUCACAUUCCAGAUUCCAACGAAAAUUCCGCCGGAAAGUCAGAAUUUCGAUGCCGGCGUCGAGCCGGGUAUUACAGUUUUGGCCGCCAAACCUUGCCCUCGAAAGUUGGACUUUCGGCUCUGGAGGGAGGUUUCGGCCGCCGAACUUGCCCCCGAAGGUUGGUGACUUUCGGCUCUGGAAGCACCUUCGACCGCUGAACCUUGCCCCCGAAAGUGCUUGACUUUCGGCUCUGGAGGGACUUUCGGCCGCCGAACCUGCCGCCGAAAGUGCCCUAUUCAGCCUUCCUUUGCAUGUUUUCUAUGAAUGUUUCAUGAUGUUUUAGAGGGUUUUUGAGGAGAAGUUUAGAGUUUGUUUGGUCCCUCAUUUGAGUCCACCUAUGUAGGUUCGGACCCGAGGAACUGAGGAGGCCAGCAGUGUUAGCCGUUUCAGAGUCAGCCAAAGGUGAGUAAAAUAGAACUACUUAUACUUUAAAAGUAAUUAAACUUCUAAGCAUGUUCAUGCAUCACGAUUACCAUGUUUAUAGGUUGUUGUAUUAGAAUUCACGAAUAUGAUGCAUUGCAUAAUUUGUUGUUGAUGUGGAUGGAUGUUGGAUGAUCCAUUAGCCCUCGAUAUGAUAUGCUAUGUUAUGAUGUGGAAGACCAGGUGUGGCCUGCACUACGCCCCUGGCAUUAUGUAAGAGAAAGUCCGGGUGUGGCCUGCACUACGCCCCCGGCACGAUUGGAUUUGUUAUGAUAUGUAUAUGUAAGAGAAAGACCAGGUGUGGCCUGCACUACGCCCCUGGCACAAUUGGACUAUGUAGAGGGUUAUUGGUGAUAAAUCCAUUCGUGAUGUGAAUCGUUUGUGAUGUGAUGCAUUUCAUGAUGGCAUAUGUUUAUAAACUGUUUUAUUGUUCUGCUCACUGGGCUCUUGUAGCUCAUCCUUUUCCCCUAACCCCCAGGUUUGCAGGUUCAGGAUAGACCGGGAAGUCGUCAAGGGUAAAAGCUAUGUAUAUGUAAUAGAUUAGUAGUGGACAUGAUAUGUAAAAUGAUGUAAUGUAAUGUAAGGUAUUGUCCAGUGAUGUAUUGAGGAUUAGUAUUGUGCUUGGCCCUAAUGUAUGGUAAAUCCCCUUUUGUACAUGAUCUUAUGAAAUAUUUUAAUGAUGAGUUAUGUUGAACCAGGCUUGACAUAUGAUAUAUUACCCCGCUAGAGCAUUUGAUGAGGGCUCUAGUGUGGGGUUUUAUGUUUACAGUUAUGGUGCAUGCACAGGUCAAGCUUGGUGUAUAAAAAGUUUAAAGUUUUUAUAAGAAUGUAUGAUCAUGUAUGGGAUUUUAUCAAGUGUACAAGAUGUAUAGUAGGCUUGCUACGGGUCCUGGCGACCUUAAGUCAAUCUGGAUCCUAGCGGCGGUAGCGAUCCGAUCUCCGGGUCGUUACAAUAAUCCAAAGCACAUCUAUUGGAUUUAAUCUAUUCGUUGUCUUAAAAAUUAGAGAGAUUCAAUUCUAACUAACAAACCAAAUCCCAUGAUAAGUUUAAGGUAGAUUAUGUAAUUCCUCAAUGGAUUACUCUAAUUGUUACCAAUUGUUGAAUAACUGAAGCAAGUACAAACUCAAGUGUUUAAACUAAUAAUAUAUUUGAAAAUAAAACAAUAAUAAAGUAAUAAUAAUAAUAAUAACUAAAAUUUCAUAAAUAUUAGAAGAAACAAAGUUAAUAAUUAAUUUUAGAUUUCACAAUACUUAGGAAAAAUGAAACUUCAACCUAUCUUCAAUUAGAACUAACAAUUAGCCACUCAUAGCUGUUGAAAGCACAAAAAGUAUAAAGAAAAUUUGGUCAAAAUAAAGGAUAUUAUGCGGUUAUAAAAAAAAAAGAUAGUUUUAUACAAAAAUCCUAGAGUAAUCCUAGCCCAAAAACUCUUCCUAAAGAGUUAUCUAUGUAUCUUCGGUAAACUAUCUUUCUAAUUUGUUCCUAGAGGGAGCAAUUGCUUCCUGAUCUUCAGAAGGGCAAUCCCACGAAAUUUGACUCGAUUUUGCUUUUUAAAAGAGAGAAUCUUGACUUGGCCACAUUAGAUACGCUUCUGUUACUAUUUGGCACCCUAUCUAAGGUUUUGGGAAAAGCUUUCCUUUUGUCAUUUUAACUCAACAAACAGACUUGCCCUAGGCCUUAGGCAAAGCUUUGGGCAAGUCUCAUUCUUUGGUUACACAAGGUUCGCAAAUAGAUUUGCCCAAAUCUCUAGUCAAGGCUCUCCUCAGCAGUUUUCUCAAGCUUGAGCACAUUUACUCACACAAGCACACAAAUUUUAUUUGGCAUUCUACAUAGUGAUCACUAGGCCUUGCCCUUGCCUUUUCAUGGUUAGUUCAAAACUGAUUUCCCCCUUUAGAGGCCACAGUUAAUGAGCACAGGUUCAUCGUAAUGGCUAUUGAUUACUUCUCCAAGUGGAUAGAGAUUGAGUCUUACAAGACAGUGGGGGCAAAAUAAAUAUCCAAUUUCAUUAGGAAGAAUAUAAUUUAUUGGUAUGAGAUACCUUCCAAGGUAGUCUCUGAAAAUAACAAGCAAUUUAAAGGUAAAUUUUAGGAUCUAGUUAAGGAAUACCAUAUUCAGCAUCACAAGUCUUCUCUCCACAGACUAUAGACUAAUCAGCAAGUUGAAGCAGCCAAUAAGAAUAUAAAUACCAUUCUUAAAAAGACUUUGAAAACUUAUAAGGAUUGGCAAAAAAAAAUCCUUAUGCUCUUUAGGAGGACAUAAUGACAGCUAAAACAUCUACUGGUGCCAUGCCUUUCUCUUUAGUUUAUUGAACUGAAGCGGUCUUAUCGAUCAACCUAGAAGUAAAGUUUCUGAGAGUUGUGCUAGAAGUUGGGAUCCAAAAAUACUUUGAGCUCUACACCACAUGCAUGCUUAUUAGAAGAAGAUAGUUUGAGCCUUCAAUAGAAAGGUAAAGACUUCUGCAAGAAAUGAAAAAUUGACUUAAGGUUCAAUUUAGCCUAUCAGCCCCAGACAAUGGCAUGACAAAGGUCACAAACAGGACCAUCUUACAGGGGCUAAAGAAAAGGCUUGAACAAGCCAAAGACUACUAGCCCAAAGAGUUACCUCAAUACUAUGGGCAUACAAGACUACUCCCAGAACAACUACGGGAAAAACUCCCUUUUCCCUCAUGUAUAAGGCCAAGGUAGUCAUUCCUAUGGAAAUCCAAGUAAGCAACUUUAGAACACAACACCCAAAGAUCUCAGAAAAUCUAGAAGAAAUGCAAUUCAAUUUGGACCAAGUCGAGUUCUUACGAGAAAAGGCCGCAAUCAAAAUGGCGGCUUAUAAAAAUAAAAUGUCUAGAAUGUUUAACAAUAAGGUCAAGCCACGAGCUUUUAGUGUGGGGGACCUAGUCCUCAAGAGAAUAGAAAUAGCAAGUGGCAAUGUCGAGCCUAGUAAGUUGGGUGAAAACUAGAAAGGACUGUUUAGGGUCUCGAAGGCUAUUUGUCCAAGGUCAUAUAAGAUGGCCAAGCUAGAUGGACAAGUCAUUCCCCAUGCCUGGAAUAUUUGUAACUUGAGAAAGUUUUAUCAAUAACAAGUUAACGAAGUAUUUCUUUUACAUGUUAUGUUCUUCAGCAAAAAGGAACAAUAUGAUUGCCUUCCUCAAGAGAUUUGAGAAGACAAAAUAAGGCCACAAGGCAAUUUUCGCUAGGCCAGGUCACAAAGCGGAUUCCGCCAACCAUUCGGAUGUUGGUCCCACUAAAUAAGGCCACAAGACAUUUUUCGCCAGACUAGGUCAUAAGGCAAGUUUCGCCAGACCAUUCGAACGUUGGUCCCACUAAACAAUGUCACAAGACAAUUUUCGCUAGGCCAGGCUACAAGGCAAGUUUCGCCAAACCAUUCGAGCAUUGGUCCCACUAAAUAAGGCCACAAGGUAGUUUUCGCUAGGGUAGGUCACAAGGCAAGUUUUGCCAGACUAUUUGGGUUUUGGUCCCACUAAACAAAGCCACAAGACAAUUUUUUUCAGGUCAGGUCAUAAGACAGGUUCUGCUAAACAAUUUAGGGUUUGUCCUGCUAAAUAAGGCCACGACUAGGUUAGGUCACAAGGUGGGUUCCACCAGGCCAUUUGGGCGUUGGUCCUACUAAACAAGGCCACAAGGUAGUUUCUGCUAGGUUAGGUCACAAGGCGGGUUAUACCAGAUCGUUCGGGCAUUGGUCCCACUAAACAAGGACACAAGGCAGUUUUCCCUUGGCUAGGUUACAAGGUGGAUGUAAGGAAGCCCAUAUAUCACUGCAACCCAAAAUUACGCAGUGAAAAAAUAAAAGAUAUUUUUUUCCCUUUUCAGGAUUCGAGUGCUUCGUUUAAUUCGAAAGGAAUGAUAAAGGAACUAACAUUUUAGAUUUUGAAAAUUCUAGCAGGAUUGUAACUUUACGUUUUUUACGAAAAGAAACUAUUAUUGACUGAUGGUGCUGCUUCUAAAAUGAACACUCUUAAUGGUAUCCACAUGAACAUUUCUAUCUGGAGUGCUAGCUCUCUGAAAGGAUGGAUUAACUAUGUGCUCCAAAUCUGCAACACCGAAAACGAUUACAAAAACUUUCCUCACGCUUUUAUAAAGCUCUCAAAGAAGGUGUUUUUUGUUCACUCAUUUUCACUCAAACUUUUUAUUUUCACACUCUUCUUUUCGUAAAAGAAUUGUGAUUAUGGUAACAGGCACAUAAUUGCAGAUACCAAUAUAUCUGUGUAAUAAAUCCUUUUCAAAAGAAAACGAAAAGACCUUUUAUCUGUAACCGUUAUAGAUAGGCUGCAAAUUUUUUAAAUAUUAUUAUCUUAUAAUAAUUAUAAAUAAUUAAUGUUCAUAAUAAUAACAUCUCUUUUAAUAUUAUUAUUAAUUAUACUAACGGGCGCUUAGUCCAUUAAUAUGACAUAACACAUCAAUGACGUUCUUUUGUGUGUGACCUAAUAGGCCCAGUCCAACAAGGCUCAUAAAUCAUAAGUGGCCUCUAGCAAGAUGUUAUGACUACCCAAUUAAUAUGAGGAUCGAUAGUCCGAUAAAACCUAAUAAAUAGAACAUGUAUUAAUCCGUUUGUCACACGAUAUCUAGUUUGAACAUAAGUCAUGGUCAAUGUCAAACUUAUAAUGUCCAAAUUUAUGAUUUCUCGAUCUCUAAAUAGACUGAUAAAACCAAAUGAUAUUGAUCACAUUAUUAAUUCAUUUGAGCACGGCCAUACAUUUCUCAGUCUCACUUAUCGAAUGGCCUAGAAGAUAUCUCUUUCAAAGAGAGGGACAAAUUCUAUCUUGAUUGUUUAAUAUCCUCUACAUAAUUUCUAUUAUGCUCAAUCAUAACCUUUAAGAUUAUCCGAUUAAAGACAAUGUUUGGUUAUGUCAAAAUAUAACAUUCUUUAUGUUGGAAACUUGACAAUCUCAAGUCAAAGGAUUAAAACAUAACUAUCUUGAGAUUCACUUAUAAUAAUAACCCAUGUAGUGAUCUCAAUGUGGGUCCAUCCAAUACUUUGUUCUCAAACAAGUAUCUAUGAUUAUUGAUUUAUAUUAAUAUACACAUAAUCAUCUCAUGAUUAUCAAUCAAUAAUCAUACUAGUCAUAUUUUAUUAUUAUUAUUAUAAUAAUAAGUAACCAAGAAUGUUAAUCAUUAUUAUGUAACAUGUAAAUAAAUAAUAAUGAUAAUAAAACUUUUUUUAUUAAUAAAUAAAAUGACAUACAAGAUGUCCAAAAUAAUGGCCUAGGAAAAAUACACUAACAGUGAAUUCUGCCAGACCAUUCGGGUGUUGGUCCUACUAAACAAGGCCACAAAGCAAUUUUCACCAAGUCAAGUCACAAGGCAGGUUCCGCUAGACCAUUCGGGUGUUGGUCCCAUUAAAUAAGACCACAAGAUAGUUUUUACCAAGUCAGGUUACAAUGCUAGUUCUGUUAGACCAUUUGGGCAUUGGUCCCACUAAACAAGGCCAUAAGGAAAUUUUCACUAGGCCACAAGCUAGGCGUUGGUCCCUAUAAACAGGUCAUAUGCACCAGACAACCAUGAAAGGGGUGAAAAGAUGAAGGUAUCAGCUAAAGAUUAAUGUUAAUGAGGCGAGCCUUAUGAGUAAAAAUAAGAUGAAUAACUAGGUGAAAGCCCCUAUUACAAAAAUGUCCAAGGCAUUUUAUGGUGCCAAGGUGGGAGUCUGCCAAACUACGGACUCAGAUAUUAAUCCUAUUUUACAGAAAUUCUAUAAAGUAUAUUUGAUUAAAACCAAGUGAAUAUAUUUUUGCCUCCAAAUAGAUAUGCAAAAUAUACACUUUCAUUACAAAAGGUUACAAGGGGAUAAAGAGACUUGGACAAAGUCUCUAUUAUAUUAGAAUCUUUUACAAAUCUAUUAUCAGAGACCCAAUUGGCAAGGUUCUUCUCAGCCCCUUGCUCGGUCUCAUCCUCCGAAAGACAUCAUUCAAAAGGUUAUAUGAAUGACUAUCUCCCUAAAUUACCUUCCCGAUCUGGCCCUCAAAAUCAAUCUUGCACAAUCGAAGCCCUCUCUUUGGGGUCGUAGCGUCGGAAAGGCGUUAUAGUCAAGCUGGUUGUAAUCCUUAGAACUAAGCAGCAUGAUACCACCAUCAUGAAGACCCACUCUCAGCUGUCCUUUGUAGAUCAUGAUGAUAUCCACUGCACAUAUCUGAUUAUUCUCAAAAAAAAAAGAAAGAAAGAAAGCACCAUUAUUCAUGUCUCUUGCAGAUGAUAGGCGCAAACAUAAAAGAGAAAGGAGGAUUUUUAUACAGUGGCAUAGUUGGCAAAGUUUUUAUUAUGGCUUGAAAAAUAAGGCCACCAUUAUAACCAAAGGAAGACAAAACAAUGCAAACGGUAAAGGCUAGACAAAUCAUGCCACGUAAUAAAAAGGGCAAACCCUCACCUUUGAAUAUAAAGAAUCAAAGACCAACAAAGAGGACCUCUGAUGUUUCAUAACAAUAGCCCAAAGUAAGUCAUGAGCUGUCACCAAAGAGCAGAGCCACGUGGCAGGAAUGUAACAAGUGAGAAACGCGGUCCAGUAUGAGGAAAGUAAGAACCGGACACCUUAAAUACCCAGCUCAUCAUUAAAGACUCGCCCUUCCCUCAACAGGGCAAGUCUCGACAUGAAGUUACCGUUAUCAAGCAUAGCACAGCAUAACCCCAUAUGCUUGUAAUCUCGGGAUUACUAACCAAUUAGCUGAAUAUAUCCUUUAUCAAGCAGCCGACACAUCAUCGCUGAAUUAUCCAAAAAUGCUAUAUUCAUCUCCACCUUCCUACUGUAUAAAAGGAGAAGAAUCACAGAGGCAAAAGUACACUAUUUUUUAACACUAUUCCAAUUCUAAGCCAUUUAGUGCAUUUUAUCUAUUUUUCAGUAUAUUGACUUGAGUGUCGGAAUGGCUGCUGUAGAUGCCCACUACCGCCUCACAUUCUCUUUUUUGCAGGUUCCACCCAAUCACAACGUAGCUCUAUUCCAACCACGUCAUUAAUCUAAUCUCUACAACAUCAAUAAUCCACUAUAAUAAAUUUUAUAUCAAAAUUAAAUAAAAUUUAUUUAUUUAUAUAUUAAAUCUAUUCAAAGUCUAUAAUUUUGAAAGUUAUAAUAUCCCGAAAUUAUAAAUUACUUUUAAUAAAAAUUAUGUUCUAAAAAUUAUUUUAAUUUUUUUUAUAAGAUAGAACAAAUAUUUUAAAUAUAAGAGUAAAAAAUAGAAUUUAAAUAUAAAUAAAAUUAAAAACUUUAAAAUGAAAUAAACUCUAAAACUAUUUUAUAUAAUAAAAUUUAAAUUAAAUUAAAAUAAUUACUAUAGGGAACAUAUUUGUAUAUAUUAUAGAUUUUAGUUUAUCUUUAAUUAAUAAUUUAAAAUUUACCUUUAUUAUUAUAAAAACCAAAUUAUCAUGGAUACUUUUAAUAAUUAUAGCAUUCUCACUAUUUUCACUUUUACAUAUAUUAUAAAAUGAUAGAUUAAAGAUAAUUUUAUAUUUAUAUAUAUUAUGAAUUAUUAUCUUAAAUAUUUAUUUAAUAAGUUUUCAGUGGACACUUUCCUAAUAUAUUUAGUUAAACUAAAUAAAUAAGAAUACAAAAUUUAUUAUUCCAACUCUAAAUUUUAGACAUCUAAUAAAAAAAAUUAUUACAUAUUUCAUAUAGUAUUAGAGAAUUUAUUAAUUAAUCAUUCAAUUUUAAAAAAUAUAUUAAAAUAUUUUUAAUAUUUUAAAAAGUUUAUCAAUUAGUCCUUCAGUAAAAUAUUAAAUAUUUUAUUAUUUAUAAAAAAUUUAUUAGUUAGUUAUUCAAAUUUUAAAAAAUUUUACUAACUUAUUCUCUUCGUAUCAGAGAUAUUUUAGAUACUUUUAUAAUAUUGAAUGGUUAAAAUUAAUGGAUAGAUUAAUUAGUUGACUUUUUAAAAUGUUAAAAAUAUUUUAAUAUAUUUUUUAAAAUUGAAAGGCCAAAUAAUAAAUUUUUCAUAUUUUAUUAUAUAUUACUUAAUUUUUUUAAUUUAAUAAAAAAUGAUAAUUCAACAUUUUACCAAGUAGGAGUGUAAGUAAAGUAAUAUUUUAUUUUCAAUUUCAAUCCAUGCCAUCUAUUUGUUUUUAACUUUAAUAUUAUAAAACAUUUAUUUAAAUAGCAUUUAGAUUUUAAAAGCAUAUAAACUCUAAAAUAAAUUUAUUUAAAUAAUAAAAUAUAAUAUAAAUGGUUAAGGGCAAUUUUGUCAAUCCAAUUAUUUCCACUGCCCCCUUUCUACUUUUAUAUGUCAUUGAUUAUAGAAUAGAAAAUUGUUUGGUUGUAAUAUUAAGAUUAAAGAGAUUAAUAGAUUAAUUAUAUAUAAAUCGUUUAAUAGUAUUAAUAAGAUUUUUAAAUUAAAAAAUGACUUUUUUUAAACAAAAUUAAUUUAAUUUUUUGAGAAACAGACAAAGCCUCUACGAUGAUUAUUCAAUCGGUUCGAUUCAAAAUUGAUCUGAACUGAAUAAAUCGAAAAUUAAAAUUUUGGUAUUUAUGAAAAUUGAAUCGAAUCGAUUUUAAAUAAAAACUGAAUUAAAUCGAACCGAUAUGAUUUGAUUCAAUUUGAUCGGUUUAAAUUUUUAAUAAAUUUUUUAUUUUUUAUACUUUAUUUUUAAUAUUUUAAAAUUUAAUUUAAUCUCACUGUAUUAUUGAAAAUAAUAUACUAUUAUUACUAAUCGGUUCGAUUUGAUUUUUUUGAUUUUUUUAUUAAAAUUGAACUAAACUGAAAUAAUAAAAAUUUUUGAAAUUAAAAAUUAAAUCGAUCCAAAUCAAAAUGAAUAAAAGACCAAAUUAAAAUUUUAAAUUAAUUAAGUUCGAUUAAUUUUUAUAAUUUUAACAGAAUACGCGCCGUAACGGCAAAAACAAAAGAAAAAUUGUUUUGCUUGCAAGAAAUAUGUAGACUUUUUUUUUUUGAAAGCAAGACGUGUAAUUGUGUUGAAAGCCAUAUUUAUUGUAAUGUGCCUGGAAAAUCUAAGACAUUAAAUGAUUAGUAAUAGCAUAUGUAAUUUUCAUAUAUUCAAUAUGUUGACAAAUGAUGCCUAUCUUCCCAGGCGGCUGCGAGAGUCAAACUCAUUAAUUCACACAUUUAAUAAUUAUAGAUAAUUGUCCUCUUCAAUCUUUGUUAUUGAGCGUUUUAAAAUUUAUUCUUAAUAAUAUAAAAAAAUUUAUUAUUAAUAUCUCAAUUUUUUAAAAAUAUCUAUUAAUUAGCUUUUUUAUUUAAUUUUUUAACAUUUAAUAAAUAAAAUUAAUAAUUAAAUUUUUUAAAUAUAAAAAUAUUUUAAUAUAUUUUAAAAUUAAAAUUUUUUUUAUAUUAUAUGAAUUAAAUAAUAAUUUUUUUUAAAAAAAUAUGUAAAAUGUAGAUUAAAUAUCACUCUAACCUUUUCCUCCUGAUUUCCUUCAUUGUAUUGUGCAGAGUGAUUCUCCUCACGCAAUGAUAAGUCUUUUUCUGUAAAAGAAAAACAUUAAGACAAAAUAAUAUAAUAAUAUUUUUAUAAUAAUUUUCAUAGCGAUGUUGUUGCAUUGUAUUUUUUUUUAGUAUGAAUAUGUAAAGUAAAAGAUAACAUUGGAUGGUUAGCUUUGUAACCUCUUCUAUUUUUAAAUUAAUAUGGAUAUCGAGUCAAUAUUAAUAUAAUACUCUAUUUGUUUCUAACUUUUAUGGAUUUAUUUUAUAUAUAUAUUAAAAAAUAUAAUUUUUUUAUUAAAUUUUCAAUUAUAUUCAUAUUAAAUAUAUUAAAUUUUAUUAAAUAUUAAAAAAUAUUUUGAGAUUUUUUUAAAAAUGAAAUAAAAAUUAAAUAAAAUUAUAAUAAUUAAUUUAUAUGUUAUUAUAGUCUAAAAAAAUAAAUAAUAAUUUUAAAAUAAUUAAAAAAAUAAAUAAAAAUUCUAGGACAAUGGAGUAUAAUGACUAGACUUGAUUAUGAAAGUUAUAAGUUUUUUUUAUAUAAAAUAUUAAAUAAAGUUUGAAUACUAUUAUAAGUGUAUAAGAUAUAUUAUAGUUAGGAUUCUACCACCUUAUAAGAAAAGUUAUAAAAUAAUAAUUAAUGUGAUUCGACUUAUUAAGAUAAUAAUUUAAUAUAUUUUAAUAUCAAUUUAUAUCACUAAAAUUAAAAUAAUUUUUUUAAAAAAAAUCAAAUAUUAAAAUUGAUAUUGUAUGAGAUUCGCUCAAAAUAGAUAGUGAGCUGUCACCAUAAGACGAUACCACAUGAAAAGGUUAUAAUAAAUCUAUAUGCAGUUUCAGUCGUAGAAAAGAAGACUUGAGCGCUUCAAGUCGGCCUCAAGACAUGUUAGCCUCAAGUUGGAUAGACUCGCCCUCUCAACUUUAUAAUGAGGCUCCAUAAUAAAGUUACUGUUAACAGCUACAAUCCAGCAAAUUCCCUUUACGCCUGCGAUCACGGGAUUCUCGACCAAUUAACCGGUGAAGAUCCCUUACCAACGAGCCGGCCACAUCAUCGCCAGAUUAUCCAAAAAUGUUAUAUUUGUCUCCAUCCUCCUAUAGUAUAAAAGGAGAACGAUCACAGAGAUAAAGAUACACAAUUCUCUAACACAAAUAUUCUCAAAUUCUAUAUUUGUCUCAUUCUUCAAAUUACUGACUUGAGUUUCGGAAUGGCGGCCACCCACCACCUUGCUUUCUCUGUCCUGCAGGAUUAGCCAAUCACAGUACAACUCUAUUCCGGCCAUGCCAUCAUUUUAUUCUCUGCAAUAUCAUUUGGUUCCGCUGUCGGGAGCAUUCCAUUGAAUUCUCUCUGUUCAUUUGGAUUAAAACUGAUCUUUUAUCCAUUUUAUCUUAAAAAGAAAUCUCUCGUUAUCUUUAGAAAUGGCUGACAAUUCAUGAGUUGUUGCUAAGGUUGCUACCAAUGAGAAUGCUAUCAUUUAUUCCACUCCUAGUAGUGAACAAGACACACCUUUUAUGGUCAACGAAGUAGAUUUCAACAAUCUGAGCGUCGAGCAAAUGCUCCAAUAUAUCAGAAGGUUGUAGAUUAUUUUUGAGCAAUACAAAGCUUGAAAGAGGCAUCACUCAUGGCUCCUAAAGGGAGGGAGGAAGUUUCUGUAGAGACCUCAAGAACUUGAACAGAGGCAAUCCAGACUUAGUCCAAAGGAAAGGACAAGUCCAAAGAAGAGGAGCCAUCAGAUAAUGUUCCCAAGGACGCUGGUACAGGCUGCCCAAAGGUGCUAGGAAAUAUGGGAAGAGGAUAAAAAGAUGGGUCAGAAGCAAGGCCAAAAGCUAGAGAAACAAGGGUAAGAGGGAGACCACAAAAGUUAUCCGGUCUCCCGAUGAAGGAAUAACUGAGAUAAGUAUAAGAAAUAUACCCCAUUGAACGACUCACGAAUACAUAUUCUAAUGUGGAUUAAAAAAAUGAUAAGAAGUUUAGGUGGCCGCUCAAACUCAACCCUAAGAGAGCUCGAAAGAACAUCAGGACUAGAAAAUGCCCAUAAACUCGUUAAGACUAGAGAAAGCUCGAAAGCACAUCAGCACUAGAAAAUGUUUAUAAGCUCAUCAAGGCAUUACUACAUCACUCGGAUCGAUUUUUACCAGAUAAAAUCUUGGACCAAACUAGUCGGCAGGGCAAGUAAGAAAAAAGUAAGGGCAUCAUGCGCUCAGCCCGAACAAAUAAGCCAUAUGCCCCAGAUCAUUAAGACAAUUGUCACCUUCGAAUCUAAAGAUCGAAGACCAGCGUGGGGACCUCUGAUGCUACAUGAAACUCACCCAAAUUAGCCAGUGAGCUGUCACCAUAAGACAGGAUCAUGUGGCAAGGAUUUGAUAAACCUAUACGUGGUUUCACCCGUAGAAAAGAAGACCAGGUGCUUCAAGUCAGCCUCAAGAUAGGUCGGCUUUAGGUCGGGCAGAUUCUCCCUCUUAACUUUAGAACGAGGCUCCAUAAGAAAGUUAUUGCUAACAACUAUAAUCCAACAAAUCUCCUUUAUGACUACAAUCAUGCAAUUUUUGAUUAAUUAGCCAGUGAAAAUCUCUUACCAACAAGCCGACCACAUCAUCGCUGGAUUAUUUGAAAAUGUUAUAUUUGUCUCCAUCCUCCUAUAGUAUAAAAGGAGAACAAUCACACAGUAAAAUCUAUGUAAUUCUCUAACACAAAUACUCUCAAGUUCUAUAUUCGCUUCAUUCUCUAUAUUACUGACUUGAGCGUCAGAGUGGCUGUUGUGGGCACCCACUACCUCACUUUCUCUGUCUUGUAAGAUUAGCUAAUCACACCACAACUCUAUUCCGAUCACGUCAUCAAUCUAGUCUCUACAACAUAAAAAAUAUUAUUUAAAAUAAAUAAAAACUCAAAGAUAGUAGACGGAUUAUGGUGUAUAAAACAACUUCAAAUUUAGUGGAGAGUUAUGUUUAUAUUUAUAAAAUUUUAUAUCGAAGCACAUUAAUAAUAAUUAUAAUAAUAAAGAACUAAAAUAUCAUUUGAAAAAAAUUUAUUUUUAAAUUAAUGAUUUAAAUUAAUUGUUCUUAAUAAAGGUUGAAAAUAUAAAUAUAUAUGUACUUUUAUUUAAUUAUAAUUAUAAUUUAUUUUUAACAAAUUUGGAUAGGUAGAUUUUAUUACAUACAAACAUAACAAUACUAACCGGACUUGCUCACUAAUGCAUAUAUAUCGUUUGGUAAAUACAAGUUAUUUAUGAUCUCGAAAAAUUAUUAAAUAUUUUUUUAUACUAUUUCAUCAUUUUAAAGCGGUACAUUGCAUCAAUAAAAUUACAAUAAAUAACUGAAAAUGUUAAAAAAUCCACUAAAUUUACAUCACUAUAAAAAGUUUAUACUUUCAACUUAAAUUAAAAUUAAAAUGAUUAAGUUUUAAAUUUUUUAAUUACUAUAAUAUUAUUAAUUAGUGAUUUUACAUAACCAUCACCCAAAAUAAACUAUGAGAUAUCACCACAGGACAGGGUCACGUGGCAAGAGUUUGACAGGUGAACGAAGCAGUCCAACCCAAGGAAAGAAAGAUUCGGGCACCUUAACGCCCAGACUAUCACCAGAAGACUCGCCCUUCCUCCCACAAAGCGAGCCUCGAUACGAAGUUACCAUUAUCACGUAUAAUUUAGCAUGUCUCCGUGGCACCUAUGAUCGUGAGAUUUCUUCUUAAAGACUGGUGGACCCUUGUAUCAAGCAGACGGCCACACCUCCGCUGGAUUCUUAGGAUGUACCAUACUAAUCUCCAUCUUCUCAUAGUAUAAAAGGGGAAUUAUCGCAAAGGUAAAGGUACACUAUUCUCUCACACAAAAGUUCUAAGCAAUUCAUUGUGUUCCCUCUCUACUCCUCGAUAUACUAAUUUGAGCGUUGGAGUGGCUGUCGUAGUCACCCACCACCACCUCACUUUCUCUUCCUUGUAGGCUUCAACCAAUCACAGCACAAGCUCCCUUCCGACCAUGUCAUCAUUCUAUUUUGUGCAACAUCAUUUGGUUCCGUUGCCGGAAUAUCCUUUGGAUUUUCCCUGUUCAUUUGGAUUUUCUCAGUGUACCUUCGGAGUAAAAGCUAGAAAGUUCUUAGGGUAUAUAAUCUCAGAAAGAGGUAUAGAGGUAAACCUUGAGAAGAUCAACGUCAUCCAAAAUAUGAAAGCACCCAAAACUAUUAAUGAAGUACAAUGGCUGAACAAGCGAGUCAUUACCCUAGGUCGUUUCAUAUCAUGCUCGGCCAAAAGGCGCCUCUCAUUCUUCAAAGCUCUAAAAGGCAAAGGUAAGUUUGAAUGGAGGGAGAAGUAUGCAGAGACAUUUGAAAGUCCAAAAACAUUUUUAUCAUACUCUCUCUGUUGCUAAGCUCGCCUGUUGAAGGUGAGGUUUUAUUUCUAUACUUGUCUGUGAUAUAGGAAAUAGUGUGCUCGGUACUCGUUCGUGAAAACAAUGGGGAGUAAAGUCCAGUAUAUUAUGGUAGCCAAGUGUUGAAGGGGGCAGAGUUGAAUUACCCUCCUCUAGAAAAGUUGGCAUUUGCAAUUCUAAUGCAAGCUAUAAAGUUGCGACUAUCCUUUGAGUCACACACCAUAGAAGUCAUAACAGAUUAUUCUUUGCGGAAGGUUCUACACAAGCUGAAGUUGUCAGGACGGCUAUCCACGUGGGCAGUAAUAUUGUCAGUAUAGGAUAUCAGAUACAUUCCAAGAAAGGCAAUGAAGGCUCAGGUGUUAGCUGACUUUGUUGCGAAAAUGACUCCGCCAAUAGAAACUUCAGAGUCCCCUGAAUCAACUAUAGAGGAAUGAAAAGUUUGGGCAAAUGAAGCUUGUGGGACUAGAGGUUUCGAAAUAGGGAUCUUGUUGUAGUCUCAAACCUAUAUAAAGCUUCGCAUAUAAAGCUUUGGUAUGUGUAAAGCUCGCCUUCAACACCACCAACAAUAUGGGUUAAUACAAAGCUGUAAUAAUGACCCUAAAAAUAUCAAAGAAAUAAGUACACAAAAAUUUAUUAUUUUUAGUGACUCACAAUUGGUUGUUAAUCAGUCUUAGAGACAAUUCAAAGUCUGAAAGCCAAAUCUUAUAAAGUAUAAGGAAAAGGUUUAGGCCCUGAUGGAUAGGAUCAAGGAUGGACAGGGCCACUGUGAACUUUGCCAGGUGGCCAGAGGCAACAAUGAAGAAGCGAAUCUUCUAGCCAAAAUGGCAACACCGAGUGAACAACACUUGACCCAACCAUUUAAAUUUGAGGAAUUACACACCCCAGCAACGGAGGUGGAAGAGUCCUUUCCCAUAGUGGAAGAGGAGUCAUGGAUAACGCUGGUAUAUAAAUUAUUAACACAAGAUGAACUUCCAAUCAAUGUGUUAUCAGCUAAACAGUAAUGAGGAAGUCUUCUAAAUAUGCACUAAUCAAUGGUUGGCUAUACUGGAGGUCAUCGACACAUCCAUGGUUGUUGUGUGUUAUAAAGGAAAAAGGCCAGGAAACGUUAAAGGAUAUCCAUGAAGGAGAUUGCGGGAGCCAUGAAGGAGGCCGAACAAUCACCCAGAAGGCAUUCAGGCAAGGGUUCUACUGGCCAAUGAUAAUGUAAGAUGCGAAGCAGCUCAUCCAGAAGUAUCAAAGAUGUCAAAUACAUGCAAACAUUUCGAGGACCUUAGGAGAAAUGCAAGUAGCUAUUGGAAGUCCCUAGACUUUCUUUCAGUGGGAGAUAGACAUCCUUGACCCCUUUUCUAAGGCAUCCGAGUCACGAAAGUUCAUGAUCAUGGCAAUAGAUCAUUUCAGUAAAUGGGCCGAGGCCGAGGCGGUAUAAUCCAUCACCACCCAACAAGCAAUUUUCUUUGUUAGCAAAAGCAUAUUUACUCGAUUUGGAAUAUCAAAGAUAAUGAUCACUAAUAAUAGAACUCAAUUUGCAAGAUUUAAAGACUUCUGUAAGAAAUGAAAAUUUAAUUUAAGGUUCAGCUCGGCCUAUCACCCCCAAACCAAUAGUAUGACUGAAGUGACAAACAAGAUCAUCCUACGGGGGCUAAAAAAAUGGCACGAUUAAGCCAAAGGCAACUGGCCUGAGGAUUUACCGCAUAUACUGUGGGCAAAUAGAACCAUGCCCAGAACAACCACAGGAGAAAUGCCCUUUUCUCUUGUAUAUGGGGCCGAGGCAGUCAUUCCCAUGGAAAUUCAAGUGGGCAGCUUCAGGACACAACACCCUGAAAUAUGCGGGAAUCCUAAAGAAAUGAAAUUCAACUUGGACCAAGCAGAAUCCUUACAAAAGGCCACAAUCAAAACAGCAGUUUACAGAAACAAGAUGACCAGAAUAUUCAACAAUAAGGUCAAACCAUGUGCCUUUAAGGUGGGAGACCUAGUCCAUAGAAGAACAAAUAUAAUAGGUGGUAAUAUCGGGUUUGGUAAGUUGGGUGAGAACUGGAAAUGAUCAUUUAGGGUCUUGAAGGUUAUUCGCCUGGGGUCAUAUAAGCUGGUCAAGUUAGAUGGUUAAGUCAUCCCCCAUUCUUGGAAUAUAUGUAACCUGAGAAAGUUUUAUCAAUAACAAAUUAACAAGGUACUUCCAUAUGUUGUUUUCUUCAAUGAUAAGGAACGAUAGGAUUGUCUUUUCAAAAAGAGACACUAAAAGGCCAUAGGGCAGUAUUUACCAUGCCAGGUCAUAAGGCAGUUCUUACCAGACCACUAGGGUGUUAGACCCACUAAAAGGCCACAAAGUAAUAUUUGCUAAGUCAGGUCACAAGGCAGUUUUUACAAGACCACUCGGCCAUUGGACUCACUAAAAUGCCACAAGGCAGCAUUUGCCAGAUCACUUGGGCGUUGGAUCCACUAAAAGGCCACAAGGCAAUAUUCGCCAGGCUAGAUCACAAAUAAUUUUUACCAGACCACUAGGAUGCUGGACCUACUAAACAAAACCACAAGGCAUUAUUGGCCAGACCAGGUCACAAGACAGUUUUUGCCAGAAUAUUUGGGCAUAGGACUCAUUAAUCAAGAUCGCAAGGUGGGUUCUGCCAGAAAAAUGAAUUCAAGUGCUAGUCCCAGCAAUCAAGACAUCUACACCGGACCUCUGAAAAAGGCAGGUGUACCAGCCUCCAAAGGACAAAGAAUAAAGGCGUCAAACCAAAGGUUAAUGACUAAAGUCCUAGAUCGAGUGAAAGUCCCUUAUCACCAAAUCUCCUCAAGGCGUUUCACGAAAAGGUGGUAGUCCAUCAACCCAUAAGCUCAGGUAUUAAUCCUAUUUUUCAGAAAAUUCUCCAAAUUAUUUUAUAUCUAUUAAACUGGGCGUUAAAACCCUGGAAAGAAGAUAUAAUUUAGCCCUUCUUUGGCAAAAAUGGUGGCAACAAGGGGAACAUAUAAAAACAUACGAAAUACAUAUUUUCAUUAUAAAAGAUUACAAGGUCGCAAAAAGGACUCGAAUAAAGCCUCUAUUACAUCAGAACCUAUCUUAUCCUAUGGGAGGAUACCGUCUAAGAAACCAUAAAAGUGGCUAUCUCUCCCACUACCUUCCUGGCCUUGCCCUCGAAAUCAAUCUUGCACAAUUCAACUCCUGCUCCCAAGAUCGUAACGCAGUGAUGGCAGUGUUAGGCUUGAAACCGGCUUGGCGUCGUCAGACGAAUUGUUUGCGGUCCACAAGGCUAAACCAUAUGCUUGCACCUUCAUACAGACCUGCCUUCAAUUGUUCUUCGAAGACCAUGAUGAUAUCCUCUAUAUAGAUCUAGUUCGCCUUAAGGAUAGAAAAGGAAGAACCCUCAUCCAUCUCUUCUACGAGAAAUUGUUGUAAACCAAAGAAGGGAAAGAAGAGUUCUUAUAUAACAGAGUAGCCAAUAAAACUUUGACUAUAGCGCUAGAAAUAAGGCAACUAGCAUAGCCAAAGGUGAGCAAAACGAAAGGCAGACCGCCAUCUUCGAAUCUAAAGAAUCGAAUACCAGCGGAGAGACCUCUAAUGCUACAUAACGAUCACCUAAGAUAAACCAUGAGCUGUCACCAUAAGACAGGGCCAUAUGGUAGGAAUUUAACAGGUGAGCGGAGCAGGCCAGCCCAAGAAAAGGAAGACUGGGGCACCUUAACACUCAGGCCAUCACCAGAAGACUCGCCCUUCCUCCCACGAGGCAAGCCCCGAUAUGAAGUUAUCAUUAUCAGGCACAACUUAGCAUGCCUUCGUGGUGCCUGUGAUUGCAGGAUUUCUUCUUAAAGACUAGCGGAUCCCGUAUCAAGCAGACGAUCACACCUCUGCUGAAUUCUCAGGACAUAUCAUACUAAUCUCCAUCUUCUUACAAUAUAAAAGGGGGAUUAUUCCAAAGGUAAAGAUAUAUUAUUCUCUCAUACAAAGGUAAAGAUAUGUUAUUAUCUCAUACAAAAGCUCUAAGUAAUUCAUUGUGUUCCCUUUCUACUCGCCGUUAUACAGACUUGAGCGUUAGAGUGGCUACCGUGGGCACCCACCAACACCUCACUUUCUCUUUUUUACAUGCUUCAACUAAUCACAACACAAGCUCUCUUCCGGCCAUGUUAUCAUUCUAUUUUAUGCAACAUUAAUUAGUGUCAUCUCAGCAUUAUGAGGUGGUACUUUAAAUAUAUCAAAUAAUUUACUUUAUAUCUCGAUAUAUCUUUAUACAAAAAGUCAAUUAGAACACUGAUUUUUCGUUAUUAACUUUUAAUCCUUACCUUUAUAAAAGUAUAACUAUUAACAUCUAAGUUUCAUAAACUAUAACUAUUUAACUUUCCUAUAACUAUUUAACUUUCGAAUAUUUACAGUAUAUGUAAAUUAUAUGCGCGUAGGGUUAAAUAAUUAUUCUCUCUAUUCCAUAAUUUUUAUUCAUCUUUUUUUUUUUUCAUUGUUCCAAAAUUAUUGUCCACUUUUUUUUUAUACUAUAGUAACAUAUAAAUUUACUAUUACAAUCCCAUUUAAUUUUAUCUUAGUUUUAAUAAAUUUCUUAAAAUAUCUCUUAAUAUUUAAUAAAUUUUUUUUAACAACAAUAUUUAAUAAAAUUUAAUGUAUUUAAUAUAGAUAUAAUUAAAAAAUUAUAUUUUUUAAUAUAUAUAGAAAAAUAAAAUAAAAAAAAUUAUGGAAUGGUGGAAUCACAUUUUUAUAAAGUUAAGGAUUAAUUUUCACUUUAAAGUGACUUAAAUUUAAUGUAUUUUUAGUUUAAUUACUUAAUUUUAUUUUUUUUCAAAAUAGAACUUCAAUUUUUCGUUCUUUAAACUUUACAAGUUAAAAGAAAUAAAAAAAAGUUUUUUUUUUCUCUUUUGUAUCAUCUACCUUCCACUUUUAUUCACUUUUUUCAAUUUUUUAUUAAAUUUUUUAUAUGUAUUUUACUUAUACAAUUUAUUGAUUAUUUAUUAUUUUCUUUUAAUAAUUUAAUUUAAUGUUUUAUAUUUUGUUUUUAAAUUUACAUUGAAAGAUUUAUUAAGAAUAAAAGUAUUAAUUAGUUACAAAUUUAUUUCAAAUACUAAUGAAUAAUUUUAGAUAGUAAUUUAUAUAAUCUUAUACAUUAAAAGAAUUUUAAAUAAUUAUUAUUAUAUUUUAUAUAAAUUAAAUUUUAGUAUUUAAGUUUUAAAGAUGUUUUUAAAUAUUAAAUUACAAAUAAAAGGAGUAGUGUUGCAUCAUGCAGAAUAUUUAUUAAUUUAUUUGUAAUAUAAUUUAAUAUUUUAUAUUUAAAAUAAUAAUAUAAAACUUUAUUAACACAUAAAAUUAUUUAUUAAUUAUCAUUCUAUUUUUUAAAUGUUAAUGAAUAAGUUCUAAACAGCAAUUUAUAUAAUUAUAUAUAUAUUUAUAAUAAAGUGAAUUUAAGAUAAUUAUCAUUUUAUUUUUUAUUAAACAAGAUUUUAAUUUUAAAAAUUUAUAAAUAUUUUCAUAUAAUAAAUUACAAAAAUUAGGUAGAGAUGCGAGAGAAGAGAAUAGAUGAGAGAGAAUCUAUAAUUUUUUUAUAGGUAGUGAGAAAGAAAAAAAAAAAGAAAAAAAAGCAAAAAUAUAAUAUAAAUAAUAAAAGAGAAUUCAUGUUAACGUAUAAACUUGUAAUUAUAUAAGUGAUGCGGUAUAAAAAUCACUCAAAGUGAGUCAUGAGUUGUUAUUAUAAAAUAAGAACAUAUGGUAAGAAUAUAAUAAGCUAAUAUUCGGUUCCAUAUAAGGAAUACAAAACUCGGACAGCGUCGUUAUAUCUGAUUUUUCAUCAAAAUUCAUCUUCCUCUGAAGAGGUCGAGUCUUGACGUAAAGUUACCAUUAACAAGUUUAAGCCAGUAUAUCUCCGUUAUGUCUAUAAUCGCAAGAUUAUCGACUGAUUAGUUGGCGAAAUCUCUUAUUAAAUAACCGGCCACACCAUCGCCGGAUUUUCAGAAAAUACUACAUUAACUUUAUUUUGUUACGGUAUAAAAGCUAAUUAUCACAGAGACAAAUGUACGUAAUUUUUCUAGUUUACUGACUUGAACGUCGGGUGACUGCUAUAAACACCAACUAUCUCACGUUCUCUUUUUUGCAGGUUUAGUCAAUCACAAUUCAACUCUUUUUUCGGCUGCAUCAAUAAGUAAAAGAGAGUUCAAUGAAACUUAAAUUAAAGAUUGAGAAAUUUUAAGAAAAAAAUUAAAACUAAGCCAUUAAAUAAAAAAAUAUACUAAAAAUUGAGCAAUUAUCAAUGAAAUUUAUCUAAAAACCAUGUAUAUAAAAUUAAUAAUAAAAAAAGGAUGCAAACUCACUUUUUAAGUAAAAAGUUAAUAGCAAAUUAUAUAUUCAGUAUAUAUAUAACCAUGACAUUUUGCCAUAAUAGUAGAAAAAGAAAGGUCACUUAAUAGGUUGAACUACUCUUUCAUUCACUCUUAUAAGCUACUGAAAUGUUUAUUACAUGAGAGGGACAUUUAAAAUUUAAAAUCUACAAAGGAGACCUUAAUUCCAACCAACUGCCUGCCUCUUUUGAUUUUUCAAAUUAACUUUUAUGAGUACUUAAACAUUUCCUUCCAGAAAAAAAAAGAAAGAAAAGCUAAUUUAAUUGACCUGUUAAUAAUAGAGAAUUAAUUAAGGCAUUGAAUCUUUCAAAAUUUCAUCUAUUAAUUAAUAAAAUUCAUUUAAUUUUCUUACUACAUACCAAUAAAUUCAAUUAUAUCGAUUAAUUAAAUAAACAGUUGAUGAAUUAUUUUUUUUUUAUAUAUAUCAUUUGAUAUAUAUUUAAAAUUUAUUAAUUUAACUAAUUCAAAUUUAAGCCAAACAAGAUUAAAAAACAAAGUAUUUAUUCUUAAAUUUUAAGGAAACAUCAUAUUCAGCAUUUAUAUUGAAGAGUUCUGAUUAAUAAAUAAAAUAUUUAUAUUAUUCCAUUUCAACCUUUUAAGGUUAAUUUUCUUUUCUCCUUUCACAAAUGUAUUUUUUUAACUGCAUUAUAGGACUCUACAAGUGCAGUUGAAAUACAAAAACCUACUAAAUAAAUAAUAACUUAUAAAUAAAUAAUAACUUAUAAACAGAUAAAACUGGUCCUGAAAAAAAAGUUAUUUUUUUAAAUACGUUUUUGUCAUAGAGUCUACCAUAGUAUCUGCAGAUCAUCUAAUUAGAUUAAAAGAUAUAGUCUCGAAUUGUGGUCACAAUUUUGAUAUGUCAAUCACAUGAGCUCAGCUAUUCCAUGGAACUAGACUAGGAGAAUGUAGAAGGGCGGAAUGUACCGUGGAUGAAUCUGUCUAACAAAUGAUAUUGUGAAAACCCUGAUCCAAUGCAAACCUAACUACUUCCCUAAGCUCUAAAGCCUCUCUUGUAACGACCCGGAAUCCGGACCGCUACCGGCGCUAGGAUCCAUAUCGGCAUAAAGCCGCCGGGAUCCGUAGCAAGCCUAACAUACAACCUGUACACCUGUUUAAUCCCAUACAUGAUCAACACAUACAUAAAAAUUUUGAACUUUUCUUUUCAUUCACCAAACUCAACCUGAGCAUACACUAUUCAAAAACAUAAUCAUAAACAUUAACCCCUCCUUGGAGUCCUCAUCAAUGCUCCAAUGGGGUGACAUAACAUGUAUUAAGUUUGGUUUACAUAAGCAGCAUUAAAAUCAUGUACUCAAAGGGAUUAACAACGUACUAGGGUCAAGUACAAUGCUAUCCUUAAUAACAUCAUUACAUUACAUAAUUGAUUAAUACUAUUCAUUAUAUGAUUGUACUAAAUAUUACAUUUCAACAUUUAUCAUGUCCACCACUAGCUAUUAAAUGACUAUAACUUUACUCUAGCUGACCUCCUGGUCUAUCCCGUACCUACAAACCUGGGAAAUUAAGGGAGUGGGGUGAGCUACUAGAGCCCAGUGAGCAGAAUAAUAAAACAUUAUAUUAAAAGUUCAUGCUUUCAUGAAAUGCAACACAUCACAAACAAAUCACAUCAAGGAUGAAUUUGUCACCAAUAGCCCUCUACAUUUCUAUUAGUGCCAGAACGUAGAAUGGGUCCUGGUCUUUCUCUUAUAUAACAUAACAUAACAUUCCAAGAUGCCAGGGACGUAGAAUGGGUCUUCCUGGACUUUCUCUUACAUAGUGCCAGGGACGUAGAAUGGGUCUUCCUGGACUUCCAUACCGUAUCAUCAUCAUAUCAUGACAUAACAUACGAGGGCUAAUGGAUCACUCAACAUUCAUCCAUAUCAACAACAUAAUAUGCAAUGCAACAUAUUCGUGAAUACUAAUGCAAACACCCUAACAUAUCACAUAGUAUCCAUGAUGCGUGAAUCAUGCUGAAAUAUUCAUUAUUUACUUUAAAAUAUAAAGAGUUAUUCCACUCACCUCUGGCUAGCUCAGACCAAACACUGGAGCAGCUAACUCACUGCUAGGGUCCUCGGUUCCUUGGGUCCGAACCUACACAGGUGGACUCAAAUGAGGGACCAAACAUACAAGAACAUGACUCUAAAAUACUCCCCAAAAAAAUCCCCCUAAAACACCUCAAAACAAUCAUAGAAAACAUGCAAAGGAGGGCUGCACAGGGCACUUUCGGUGGCAGGUUCGGCGGCCGAAAGGCCCUCUAGAGCCGAAAGUCAUGCACCUUCGGCGGCACUUUCGGUGGCCGAAGGUUCCCUCCAGAGACGAAACUCAUGCAUGUUCGGCGGCACCUUCGGCGGUCGAAACUCCCUUCCAGAGCCGAAAGUCCACUUUCGGGGGCAGGGUUCGGCAGCCAAAGGCUGACCUCCACAGGCAGGUUCGGCGGCCGAAAGUCCCUUCGGCUGCCGAACCUGAGUUCUUCCAAAGGCAGAACUCAACCUCAACUCAUGCACAAAUGCCUCCCAAACUUCACAACUCAACCAAAACAUGCAUAAACACAUACAAUAGCUCCUAGGGGCUUCAAACUAUCCUAAACCCCAACUACAACACAUCAAACACACAUAAACAACCCACAUUGCUCAUAAACAUAUCAUAAACCCAUAAACUCGAAAAUAACCUAACAUGCCUUUCUACCCCAUAGAUCUUCAUAAAACUUGUUUAAAACAUACAAGGAAGGUUGGAUCUAAGCUUACCUCUUGGAGAUCGAGAGGAAAGACGAUCCUAGCUUGGAGAUGGGGAGAAAUCAACUCUUUGGUCUCCAAGCUUCAAAACUUGCUCUUUUGCUCAAAUAUCUUCAAACCAAGUGAAAACUCAUAAGAAAAUCAUGAAGAUUCGAAGGAAGAAGCUCAAAAUCAAUGAGGGACGGCGGAGAACUCACCUUGGCCGAAAACGGGGAGAAAAGCUCACCCGUUCGGACAUGGGGACCCCUUUAUAGGUGGCUGGCCAGGCCACUUUCGGGGGCCUAACGUGCCUCCGCAUGCAUGCCAUGUUCGGCGGCCGAACAUAAGGUUCGGCGGCCGAACCUGGACUUUCCUCACUUAUGCCUUCGGGGGCCUAAAGCACUCCGGAAGUGCAAGCAUGUUCGGCAGUCGAACUUGAGGUUCAACGGCCGAACUUGAGUCUUCCCCUCAAGACUAUUUUCAUUCAAAACUUAAUUUCUUUCUUGCUUAAAACCAUAAAAUACAUUAAAACAUUUUAUAAAAACAUGAUUUUACCCUUUUAGAGAUUUUCGACAUCCGAGAUUCCACCGGACGGUAGGAAUUCCGAUACCGGAGUCUAGCCGGGUAUUACAUUCUCCCCCUCUUAAGAACAUUCGUCCCUGAAUGUUCACCAAACAAACAUGGCAUAGCAUAAAACAUGAACAUACAAAGCAUAAAACAUAAACACACAACAAAACACAUAACACUCACCUUAGAAGAGAUGAGGAUAUUGCUGGAGCAUGGACUCCCGUGUCUCUCAGGUACACUCUUCGAUGUUGUGGUGAUUCCAAAGGACUUUCACCAUCGGGAUUUCCUUGUUUCUCAACUUUCUGAUCUGGGUGUCUAAGAUCCGUACUGGCUGCUCAACAUAGGUGAGGUCUUCUUGGAUCUCCAUAUCAGGCUCACUGAGAACCUUGCCCGGAUCUGACACAAAUUUCCUUAACAUGGAAACAUGGAAAACCGGAUGGAUUCUCUCCAUUGAAGCAGGCAAGUCCAGCUUGUACGAUACACUCCCAAUCUUUUGCAAGAUUUCAAAGGGUCCGAUGUACCGUGGAGCUAGCUUACCUUUCUUUGCAAACCGAAUCACCCCUUUCAUUGGAGACACCUUGAGCAAUACUAAAUCUCCCUCCUGGAACUCUACUUGCCUUCUGCGGACAUCUGCAUAACUCUUCUGUCUACUUGCAGCAGUCUUGAUCCUUUCUCUGAUUAUGGGCACCACUCUGCUGGUGAUCUCUACUAACUCAGGCCCUGCCAAGGCCCUUUCUCCAACUUCUUCCCAACAGACAGGUGACCUGCACUUCCUUCCAUACAAAGCUUCAUAUGGGGCCAUCCCUAUGCUAGCAUGAUGGCUGUUAUUGUAGGCAAACUCCACCAGAGGUAGAUGCUGCCUCCAAGAACCGCCAAAAUCUAGCACACACAUUCUGAGCAUAUCCUCUAUUGUCUGGAUGGUCCUCUCUGACUGUCCGUCCGUCUGUGGAUGGAAAGCAGUGCUAAAAUCCAACCUGGUACCCAUAGCAUUCUGCAGACUCCGCCAAAACCUGGAGGUGAACUGGGGUCCUCUAUCAGACACUAUUGAAACAGAAACCCCAUGCAACCUGACAACCUCAUCAACAUACACCUGCGCCAACUUGUCCACAGAGUAGUUACUCCUGAUAGGAAUGAAGUGAGCAGAUUUGGUCAGUCUGUCCACAAUCACCCAUAUGGAGUCUAAUCUGUUGGACGUUGCCGGUAACCCCACCACGAAGUACAUAGCUAUAUUCUCCCAUUUCCACUCUGGAAUAGGUAGUGGGUUAAGCAUUCCAGCCGGCUUCUGAUGUUCCAGCUUCACCCUCUGACAUACUUCGCAGGCUGACACGAACUGUGCCACUUCUCUCUUCAUAGCUGGCCACCAAUAAACUUUCUUCAGAUCUUGAUACAUCUUGGUGGCUCUAGGGUGAACACUGUAUCUGGCAUUAUGAGCCUCCCUCAUAAUGUCUCCUUUCAGACCUACGUCAUCUGGUACACAUAGUCUAUUCCCAUAGCAGAGGAUCCCCUUGCUGUCAAAGCUGAACUCUUCAUUCUUGCCUGACUGAACAGUCCUGGCAAUCUUCACUAAUUCUAGGUCCUUAUGCUGUUUCUGAGCCACCUGCUCUAGAAACACAGGUGUCACUCUCAUCUAGGCGAUCAAAGCACCUGUACCAGACAACUCCAACUGUAGACCUUCAUUAAUGAGCUCGAAGAACUGCCUCACCACUGGCUUCCUCUCUGCUGAAAUGUGGGACAAACUGCCAAGUGAUUUCCGGCUUAAGGCGUCUGCCACAACAUUCGCCUUACCCGGAUGGUACUGGAUCUUGCAAUCAUAGUCACUAAGCAGUUCUACCCACCUCCUCUGCCUCAGAUUCAGCUCUCUUUGACUCAGGAUGUACUGCAGGCUCUUAUGAUCGGUGAAGAUCUCACAUUUUACCCCAUAAAGGUAGUGCCUCCACAUCUUGAGUGCAAAGAUUACAGCUGCCAUUUCUAGGUCAUGCGUAGGGUAAUUCAACUCAUGCUUCUUCAGUUGCCUAGAAGCAUAAGCAAUCACCCUUUCAUUCUGCAUUAGCACACAAUCCAGUCCCACACGGGAUGCAUCGCAAUAGACUGAGAAGUCUUCAUUACUAGAUGGCAGAGCUAACACUGGCGCUAAAGUCAACCUCUUCUUUAGCUCCUCAAAGCUCUCCUCACACUGGUCGGUCCACACAAACCUCUGGUUCUUCUUAGCCAGUUUGGUCAUGGGAGCUGCAAUUUUAGAGAAGUCCUGAACGAACCUCCUGUAGUAACCUGCUAACCCUAAUAAGCUCUUGAUCUCUGUCACUGUAGUGGGUCUAGGCCAGUUUGCUACAGCUUCCACUUUCUUGGGGUCUACCUCGAUUCCAUUUUCUGACACCACAUGCCCCAAGAAUGAAAUGCUCCUCAACCAGAACUCACAUUUGGAGAACUUGGCAUACAAGCCAUGUUCCCUCAAGGUCUGCAGAACUAACCUCAGAUGAUGGACAUGCUCCUCUGCAUUCCUGGAGUACACUAAGAUAUCAUCUAUGAAGACAAUAACAAAGUGAUCCAGGUAUUGACUAAACACUUUGUUCAUGAGAUCCAUGAAUGCUGCAGGGGCAUUGGUUAACCCGAACGGCAUCACAAGGAACUCAUAGUGCCCAUAUCUGGUCCUGAAUGUUGUCUUCGAUACAUCCUCUGCUCUUAUCCUCAGCUGAUGGUACCCAGAUCUCAGAUCUAUUUUGGAGAAACAACCUGCUCCUGCUAGCUGGUCGAAUAGAUCGUCGAUCCUCGGCAACGGGUACUUAUUCUUGGUAGUGACCUUGUUCAACUGCCUAUAGUCGAUACAAAGUCUAAGGGAUCCAUCCUUCUUUUUCACGAACAGCACUGGAGCACCCCAAGGUGAGGUACUCGGUUGGAUGAAGCCCUUAUCUACCAACUCUUGCAACUGCUCCUUAAGCUCUUUCAAUUCAGCUGGUGCCAUCCUGUAGGGAGGGAUAGAGAUCAGUCUAGUUCUAGGCAUCAAUUCAAUUUCGAACUCUAUCUCCCUAGCAGGUGGUAAACCUGGCAGCUCGUCUGGAAAAACAUCUAAGAACUCACUGACCACGGACACUGAGGUGGGCUCUCUGACAUUACUAUCUAGCUCUCUCACAUGAGCUAGAAAACUCUGACAACCCCUCCUAAGCAGCCUACGAGCCUGUAGGGCUGAUAUCAAACCUCUAGGUGUACCCCUCCUGUCUCCUCUGAAGACAACCUCUGACCCAUCCUGACAUCUGAACUUGACUACCUUGUCUCUGCAGUCCAAGGUAGCUCCAUGGGUAGAUAGCCAAUCCAUCCCUAGAAUGACUUCAAAAUCUGUCAAAUCUAGAACCACAAGGUCGGUGGAAAGGCACCUUCCCUCAAUAAAAACUAGACUACACUGGCAGACUGACUCUGCCACUGACGGGUCACACUUGGGUCCACUGACCCAUAGGGGACACUCUAAUCCAGAGACCAUCAACCCCAACCUCUCGACGGCUCUCAGAGCAAUGAAAGAAUGCGAUGCACCAGGGUCCAUUAAGGCAUAAACAUCAAAACAACCAAUGAUGAGAUUACCUGACACCACUAUGUUUGAUGCAUUUGCCUCCUGCUGUGUCAUGGUGAAGAUCCAUGCUGGAGCUGAUGGACCUUCACCCCUGAAACCCGCUGAAGAAGAGGCUACCCCUCUCCCUCGGCCUCUGCCACUAGCCUGAGUCGCGGCUGGAGCUACUGGCUGAGCCACACUACCCGAAGCUGUCUGCUGGCACUGUGCCACAAAAGCUGCUCUAGGACACUCCCGUGACAUGUGCCCCUCCUGCCCACAUCUGUAGCAGGCUGUCGUCCCAAAUCGACAUACUCCUUUGUGCGGCUUCCCACACUUCAUACAUACUGCAUUAUCUGCACCUGAGCUCUAGCCACUUCCUAAUCCCAGACCGGACUUGAUCUUGUUCCAGAACUUGUUCUUCUUUGACUUUUUGGUGGUAUUGCUCCACCUCUUACUGCCUGAACUCAAAGAAGAAGGGUCUAACCUUCCCCCACCUGGGGUCUUGGAACUAGAAGGCUGUGCUACUGACUGCUUAACUUUCCCUUCGAUGAUUGCACUAGCCUCCAUCCUCCGAGCCAUAUCCACUAUGGCAUGGAAACUCUCCCUCUCUGCUGACUGGAUCAAGGAGGAAUACCUGGAAUGGAGCUUCAUGAUAUACCUCCUUGACUUCUUCUGAUCUGUGUCCAGAUUCUGCCUAGCAAACGGCAACAGCUCCAAGAAUCUGUCUGUGUACUCAUCCACACUCAUCUCAUCCGUCUGCCUCAACUGUUCAAAUUCAAUCAUCUUCAACUCUCUUGAACUGUCAGGGAAAGCCCAUCCUGCAAACUCAUUUGCAAACUCCUCCCAUGAUAGGCUGUCCAACCUCGGGUUCACAUAGUUUCUAAACCACUCACGGGCCUUCUUGCACUUCAGUGUGAACCCAACCAUCUGAAUGGCUCUACAGUCAUCAGCUCCUAUCUCAUCUGUUAUCAUCUUGACCCUCUCAAGGUACACAAACGGGUCAUCACCUGUUUCAUACUGGGGAGCACCCAGCUUCAUGUAAUCGGUCAUCUUGACCUUGCUCCCUCCAGAUGAGCUAGGCUUAGGCAAUUGGGUUACUGGGACAGUAGGUUCUGCUGGUGGUGGAGGAGGUGCAGCAUCUCCCGGGAUAGAGUUUGCUGUACCGGGAUAGAAUGAUGGGGGUGGGUACAUAGGGUACUGUGGGUAUGGUGGGUAGAAAGGUGGGUAUGGCAUGUGAGAGUGAUAAGGGUUAUAGCUGGGGUAAUCCGAUGUACCUCCCAUUGAAUACCCGGGAUUUUGAGAAAAGGGUAGGUACUGGGGUGGCUGAACAAAUCCCGAGGCCUGAGUGCCUCCUUGGGACUCUCCCACAUCCUCUUCUGACAUCACCGGAUUUUUAAAAAAUAAUACAUUAACUUUAUCUUGUUACGGUAUAAAAACUAAUGAUCACAGAGACAAAUGUACGUAAUUUUAUUAUACAACUACUGUCAAGUUCUCAAUUCGCUCUAUUUUCUAGUUUACUGACUUGAACGUCGGGGUGGCUGCUAUAAACACCAACUACCUCACAUUCUCUUUUUUGCAGAUUUAGCCAAUUACAACACAACUUUUUUUUUCGGCUGUAUCAAUAAGUAAAAGAGAGUUCAAUGAAACUUAAAUUAAAGAUUGAGAAAUUCUAAGAAAAAAUAAAAUUAAGCCAUUAAAUAAAAAAAUAUACUAAAAAUUCAGCAAUUAUCAAUGAAAUUUAUCUAAAAACCAUGUAUAAAAAAUUAAUAAUAAAAAAAGGAUGCAAACUCACUUUUUAAGUAAAAAGUUAAUAGCAAAUUAUAUAUUCAGUAUAUAUAUAACCAUGACAUUUUGCCAUAAUAGUAGAAAAAGAAAGGUCACUUAAUAGGUUGAACUACUCUUUCAUUCACUCUUAUAAGCUACUGAAAUGUUUAUUACAUGAGAGGGACAUUUAAAAUUUAAAAUCUACAAAGGAGACCUUAAUUCCAACCAACUGCCUGCCUCUUUUGAUUUUUCAAAUUAACUUUUAUGAGUACUUAAACAUUUCCUUCCAGAAAAAAAAAGAAAGAAAAGCUAAUUUAAUUGACCUGUUAAUAAUAGAGAAUUAAUUAAGGCAUUGAAUCUUUCAAAAUUUCAUCUAUUAAUUAAUAAAAUUCAUUUAAUUUUCUUACUACAUACCAAUAAAUUCAAUUAUAUCGAUUAAUUAAAUAAACAGUUGAUGAAUUAUUUUUUUUUUUUAUAUAUAUCAUUUGAUAUAUAUUUAAAAUUUAUUAAUUUAACUAAUUCAAAUUUAAGCCAAACAAGAUUAAAAAACAAAGUAUUUAUUCUUAAAUUUUAAGGAAACAUCAUAUUCAGCAUUUAUAUUGAAGAGUUCUGAUUAAUAAAUAAAAUAUUUAUAUUAUUCCAUUUCAACCUUUUAAGGUUAAUUUUCUUUUCUCCUUUCACAAAUGUAUUUUUUUAACUGCAUUAUAGGACUCUACAAGUGCAGUUGAAAUACAAAAACCUACUAAAUAAAUAAUAACUUAUAAACAGAUAAAACUGGUCCUGAAAAAAAAGUUAUUUUUUUAAAUACGUUUUUGUCAUAGAGUCUACCAUAGUAUCUGCAGAUCAUCUAAUUAGAUUAAAAGAUAUAGUCUCGAAUUGUGGUCACAAUUUUGAUAUGUCAAUCACAUGAGCUCAGCUAUUCCAUGGAACUAGACUAGGAGAAUGUAGAAGGGCAGAAUGUACCGUGGAUGAACUUGUCUCACAAAUGAUAUUGCGAAAACCCUGAUCCAAUGCAAACCUAACUACUUCCCUAAGCUCUAAAGCCUCUCUAGCUAUCGGUGAAUAACACCAAAUCCUUUUCGCCAAGCUAGUAAGAAAGUCUCUAAGAUGAUUUCUUGCAAUUACAACAAUCACUACCAAAGAAAAUUGGCUCGUCCAAGACAUAUUGCAAUUAAGUUUAAUAAUGCCAACCAAAGGGGGACUCCAGUCAAUUAAGUCAGAGACACAAUGAGGACAAGGCUCAGAAAUACCAGCAAAAACAUAUUGACAAUAUUGUAGUUCCAAGAGACCACUAUUGAUUUGCUUCAUGGUUGCCACAAGAUCCGGUCGAAUAUGUUCAAAAACACAUUUAUUUCUAGCCUUUCAAAUGUACCAUAAUGUCACAGUGACUAUUGCCAUGAUGGAUUCAUAAUGUGGCAAAGUACUAAAGGAAUACCACACAUCCAUCCACCAACACUUAAAUCCAGGAAAACCCACAAUUUCAGGUUUACAAACAUAAAGGCUUAGAAACUAUGAUAUCCGAGCAUGAGGGUACCAAAAAAGCGUAUGCUUCAAUUUUUUCAGGCCUUGAUAACAUAGAAUGAAAACAGACGACACCUGCAUACCUUUACUUGCUAAAUUACUCAAAAUAGGUAUUAAAUUAUGUAGAAGGCGCUAAAUAAAGUACUUAAGUUUCAGAGAAAUUAGUAAAGUCCAUGAUCGCUUCCAAAGAGAGUCUGAUACUAUAUCUGAAUGAGAAGUAGUAGCAUUAGUGGUACCCUGAACAGAGGAUUGCACUAAUAAUUUGUAUCCAAAACGAACCAUAUAUUGAUCAUGCUGCUUAUAAUGCUACACUAAGAUAUCAGGCAUACCAAGAGGUGCUAUGGGAAUGGCAAAAAUAGCUUAAGAAUGAGUUGUUGGAACUAGUCAAUACAUGAAAGACCUUUUCCAUUGCAAGGUAGUAUGGUCAAUCAAACUAGCCACCCUAUUAAUAUGGAGGGGACAUGAGGCUGGAUGAGAAAGCUCAAAACUAACAACUCUAGGCACCCACAGCUCAGACCAUAGAAGAUUUUCCUAACCAUCUCCAAUAUUCAUACAUACCCCAAUCUUUAAUAAGUCUCAUCCUGCCAACAAAUCUCGCCAAAUCCAAGAACAAUGCCUUUUGCUUUGUGCCUUCCAAAAAUACGUAUGAGGAAAGUACAAACCCUUAAGGACCCGUGCCCACAAAUUGGUAGGUUGAACAACAAGUCUUCAACAUUGCUUUGCUAAGCAUGCAAGAUUAAACUUUUCUAAAUCCUUGAACCCCAUACCACCUUGAAAUUUGGAGACACAAGAUUUCUGCCAACUAACCCACCUAAUCAUCUUUCAUCAUUACCUCCCCACCAAAAUUAGAAAUAAGACUAUUCAAUCUAGCACAAAAUUGCUUGGGAUAAAGAAAAAAAUAGCCAUAGAAUAGGUAGGAAUAGCAGUCAACAUAGAUUAAAUCAAGGUCGCCCUACCUGUUUGUGAAAGAAAAUUUUGCAUCCAUGAUUAAGUUUUAGCUCGAAUUUGAUCUUCCACCAUUUGUAGGGCUUGUAUUUUAGAUUGACCUAAGAACACUGAGAGGCCUAAAUAUUUAUUAGUAUCUUGCAUUUCUUACAUCUAAAACAAUGUUAAAAGAUUGUGUCACAAGCCAAUUGGGUUUUUCUUACUGAAAAGUAUAUGAGACUUAUGGAAAUUGAUUCAUUGUCCAAAAGCUGACAUAUAAGAUUGAAGAAGAUGGAGCAAGGUAACAACUUCUUGUCUUGUUGCUCUAACAAACAACAGUGUAUCAUCAGUAAAAAAGACACUCGUAAUAGUUGGAGAAAACCGCGAGAGUUUAAUUCCCUAAAUACUUCCCUGAGUCUUAGCAGUAGUAACCAAAUAUGACAAUACCUGAGACACAAACAGAAAAAGAUAAAGGGAUAAAGGAUCUCCCUGACGGAGUCCUCGAGAAGGAGAGAAUGGAACAGUGGGUCACCAUUAACAAGUAUAGAAAAACUAAAAGUUGAUACACAUUGCAUAACCAACUGGUAAAACCUAUCUGUAGCAAAACGGAAUGCAAGAAAUCCCAUUCCACUUGGUCAUAGGCCUUGUACAAAUCCAACUUCAAAGCCAUAGAAUGUUUUUUACUAUUGGAGAUACGUAGAUAAUGAAAAGCCUCAUGUGCUACCAUGAUGUUAUCUUAAAGCGUCCUAGAGGGAAUGAAAGUAGUUUGAUCAUGGGGGAUGAUAAAAUCCAUCAACGGCUUUAAUCGUCUUACUAGGGUUUUGGAGAUGAAUUUACACACAAAAUUGUAAAGGCUUAUAGGUCGAAAUUGAUUAAGCCCAGCUGGAGUAGGACACUUUGGAAUGAGAACUAUAUUUGUUCGAUUCAUCUCCUUGAACAAAUAUCCACUAUCAUAAAAGGUCUGAAUAGCAUGACAUAAAGCCAAUCCAAUCUCUUCCCAAUUAUUUUGAUAAAAAAUACCUCAAAAUCCGUUAGAUCCUAGAGCUUUAGUACCUCCUAACUCAAAAACUGUUACUUUACCUUUGCCUCUGUCAAUGGAGCCAAUAAUGUUGCAUUCAUUUCAUUAGUGACCAAUCAUGGAAUAAGAGCUGUCACCUCAGAAACUUCCUUAAUCCUACCAGCCGUGUAUAACUUCUUAAAAAACUCCCUGACCACACAUCUAAUCGCAUUUGCUCCCUCGAUCCAACCACUUGAGUCAUUUUGCAACCUAGCAAGGAAAUUUUAUUGUCAACGAUGAAUUGUAGUGAGAUAAAAGAACCUCGAAUUAUGAUGUCCAUCCUGAAGCCAUUGGAUGUGGGACCUUUGUUUCUAAUGAAGUUUAUCUCUCUUCCACAACUCAUGAAGCUUUACCAAUAAACUAGCCUCAAUUGCAUCAAAGGAAGGAUCAAAGGACUGAGAAUAAAUGUGUUCUAACUUGUAAUACCCGGCUAGACUCCGGCAUUAGAAUUUCAAUUUUCCGACGGAAUCUCCGUUGGAAUCCGGAAUCUCGGAUACCAGAACCUCUUAGAUGGUUAAAAUAUGUUUUUAUAAAAUAUUUUCAUGAUUUUAUUGGUUGGUUUUGAGUUAAAGUUUUAAAAAAUGAAAGAAAAGAGUUUGAGGGAAAACAUCAGGUUUGGCCGCCAAAAGUGGUGCUGCCACGGGAGCUCUCCUGUCGGCCCCCGAAGGUGGCCUGGCCAACCACCUAUAAGAGGCCCUCAGCCCAAAAAUGAGAGAGUUUUCUCUCUCCAUUUCCAGGCAAGGUGAGUCUCCGCCACCCCUUGAUGAUCUUGUGUUUUUCCUUCAAAUCUCUCAAGAUUUUUAUGAGUUUUUAUCUUGUUUCUGAAGAUUUUAAGCUUAAUCAAAGAUUUUAAAGUUUGGAGACCUCUGUAGACCCUUUCUCCCCCUCUCCAAGUUUGUGUAACAUCCUCUGGGCCCACACCAGUGAAUAUUGUCCGCUUUGGGUUCACGCCCAGCAUCUUUCCCCUCACGGUUUUAUUCUUGGGUCAAGGGAUUUGAUACCCUGUCUUCCCAAAACGCGUCCACUGGGGUCUCUUGGGGCUUGCCCUUAUAAGGCUUCCCCCCUCCUUACCUCUUUCCGAUGUGGGAUACUUUAAAUCCACCUCAUGGGGUUCCUUCCCCCCAUAAGCCUUGAGCGUCCUCGCUCAGCACACCGUACUCAUGAGGCCCAAGCUCUGAUACCACUCUGUAACGACCCGAAAAUCGGACCGCUACCGGCGCUAGGAUCCAGAUCGACAUAAGGUCGCCGAGACCCGUAGCAAGCCAAACAUACAUCCUGAAUACCUGUCAAAUCCCAUACAUGAUCACACAUAAACAUAAACAUGAGAACUUUUUCUUUCCUUUUUCCAAGCUCAACCUGUGCAUGCACAUAAACAUAAACAUAAACCACACACUGGAGUCUCAUCACAUGCUCCAAUGGGGUAUCUCAUCAAUCAUCAAGCUUGGUUGAACAUAAACAUCAUAAAACAUAGAUCAUGUAUAUACAUGGGAUUAUUCAAACAUACUAUAGUCAAGCACAAUUCUAAUCCUCAGUAUCAAUGUUACAUAACAUGACUGAUCAUAACCUUACAUCAUUUUACAAAUCAUCAUGUCCACAUCUAACUAUUACAAAUCACAAGACUUUACUCUUCUUGACUCCCUGAACUAGCCCGUACCUGCAAACCUGGGGGAUAUAGGGAAAGGGGUGAGCUACUAGAGCCCAGUGAGCAGAAUACUAAAACAUUUANNNNNNNNNNNNNNNNNNNNNNNNNNNNNNNNNNNNNNNNNNNNNNNNNNNNNNNNNNNNNNNNNNNNNNNNNNNNNNNNNNNNNNNNNNNNNNNNNNNNNNNNNNNNNNNNNNNNNNNNNNNNNNNNNNNNNNNNNNNNNNNNNNNNNNNNNNNNNNNNNNNNNNNNNNNNNNNNNNNNNNNNNNNNNNNNNNNNNNNNNNNNNNNNNNNNNNNNNNNNNNNNNNNNNNNNNNNNNNNNNNNNNNNNNNNNNNNNNNNNNNNNNNNNNNNNNNNNNNNNNNNNNNNNNNNNNNNNNNNNNNNNNNNNNNNNNNNNNNNNNNNNNNNNNNNNNNNNNNNNNNNNNNNNNNNNNNNNNNNNNNNNNNNNNNNNNNNNNNNNNNNNNNNNNNNNNNNNNNNNNNNNNNNNNNNNNNNNNNNNNNNNNNNNNNNNNNNNNNNNNNNNNNNNNNNNNNNNNNNNNNNNNNNNNNNNNNNNNNNNNNNNNNNNNNNNNNNNNNNNNNNNNNNNNNNNNNNNNNNNNNNNNNNNNNNNNNNNNNNNNNNNNNNNNNNNNNNNNNNNNNNNNNNNNNNNNNNNNNNNNNNNNNNNNNNNNNNNNNAUCAAAGAAUUCAUGCAAAGGAGGGCUGAACAGGGCACUUUCGGCGGCAGGUUCGGCGGCCGAAAGUCCCUCCAGAGCCGAAAGUCAUGCACCUUCGGCGGCACUUUCGGCGGCCGAAGGUUCUCUCCAGAGGCGAAACUCAUGCAUGUUCGGCGGCACCUUCGGCGGCCGAAAGUCCCCUCCAGAGAUGAAAGUCCACUUUCGGGGGCAGGUUUCGGCAGCCGAAAGCUUGCCUCCACAGGCAGGUUCGGCGGCCGAAAGUCCCUUCGGCUGCCGAACCUGAGUUUCUCCCAAAGUGGUAGAAACUCGGCUCUUAUGCACAUUUGCCUCCCAAAAACCUUCAAUCAUGCAUACAACUCAACCAAAACAUGCAUAAACACAUACAUAAGCUCCUAGGGGCUUCAAACUAUCCUAAACCCCAACUACAACACAUCAAAAGCAACUCAGCAACCUACAUUAUCCAUAAACACACACAAAACCUAACAAAGCUCAACUAACCUAAACAUGCAUUUCUACCCCAAGAAUCAACUUGAAACUUGUUUAAAACAUAUAAUGAGCUCAAGAUCGAUUCUUACCUCUUGAAGAUAGAGAGGAAAAAUGAUCCUAGCUCGGAGAUGGGGGAGAUCGAGUUCCUUGAACCUCCAAGCUCCAAAACUUGCUAUUUGCUUAAAAAUCUUCAAAACAAAGGUGAAAAUUCAUAAAAAUCAUGGAAGAUUUGAAGGAAGAACUCAAGAUCGGCAUGAGAGCGGCGGAGACUCACCUUGGCUGAAAAUGGGGAGAAAAAGCUCACCCGUUCGAACAUGGGGACCCCUUUAUAGGUGGCUGGCCAGGCCACUUUCGGGAGCCUAACGUGCCUCCGCAUGCAUGCCAUGUUCGGCGGCCGAACAUAAGGUUCGGCGGCCGAACCUGGACUUCCCUCACUUAUGCCUUCGGGGGCCUAAAGUACUACCGAAGCGCAUGCAUGUUCGGCGGCCGAACUUGAAGUUCGGCGGCCGAACCCGAGUUUUCCUCCAAUGCUAUUUCAUGCAAAAACUCAUUUUCUUUCUUGCUUAAAAACAUAAAUUACAUUAAAACAUUUUAUAAAAACAUGGUUUUACCCUUCUAGAAGUCUCCAACUCCCGAGAUUCUACCGGACUGUAGGAAUUCCGAUACCGGAACCCCAUGAGGUGGAUUUAAAGUAUCCCACAUCGGAAAGAGGUAAGGAGGGGGGAAGCAUUAUAAGGGCAAGCCCCAAGAGACCCUAGUGGACGCGUUUUGGGAAGACAGGGUAUCAAAUCCCUUGACCCAAGAACAAAACCGUGAGGGGAAGGACGCUGGGCGUGAACCCAAAGCGGACAAUAUUCACUAGUGUGGGCCCAGAGGUCGUUACAGAGUAGUAUCAGAGCCCUAGGUUCAUAUGAUCGGACCUAUAGUGUGUCGGGCUCAUAGGUGUCAUAGAAGGUCAAGCACAAUAGGAUGAUCAUGUCCACUAGGAUAGGAUAAAGAGUCCUGUCUUGAAUGAUGAUGUGAAAUGCCAUGAUUAUAUGCAUGUGCAUUAAUGUUAUGCUAUGAUAUGUGAUGUAUGUGAUGCGGGUUCAUGUGUUUGCACAUGAACCAUUUGAUGCUAAUGUUCUAUGUGAUGUGUACUGUUUUUCAGAAAACAGGAUGAGAGGAACUCAUCGAUCUGCACGAUUGACUGGAGUACCACCCCAGGACGAGGGCACUGAUGCCCGUCCUCCUGCAUUGCCUAGGGCAAUGUCAAGUAGGUCUAGCAGAGAAAGAGCAGUAAGAGACCCUAGAAGGUCUUUGGAUCUGGGUAGAAGCAGAUCAGUGAGGGGAACAGUGCAAGGGGAUAUGUCCGAGGAUGUGGGGGAUCAGAUGGAUGUGGAUCAGAGGAGGGAUGGCAGUCUUGGAGUAAGUAUGUCGGAAGAGGGGAUGGGAGAGUCCCAAGGAGGCACUCAGGCCUCGGGAUUUGUUCAGCCACCUUUCUACCCACCCUUUUCACAUAAUCCCGGGUAUUCGAUGGGAAGUACAUCGGAUUACCCCAGUUUUAACCCUUAUCACUCUCAGAUGCCAUACCCACCUUUUUACCCACCGUACCCACAGUACCCUAUGUAUCCACCCCCACCCUACCAUCCAAGUACAACAAACCCUACCCCAGGGGAUGUUGCACCUCCUCCACCAGCAGUAGCACCUACUGUCCCAGAAACCCAAAUGCCUAAACCUAGCUCAUCUAGGGGGAGCAAGGUCAAGAUGACCGAUUAUAUGAAGCUGGGUGCUCCCCAGUUUGAAACCGGUGAUGACCCGUUUGUGUACCUCGAGAGGGUCAAGACAAUUACAGAUGAGAUAGGAGCUGAUGACAGUAGAGCCAUUCAGAUGGCUGGGUUCACACUAAAAUGCAAGAAGGCCCGAGAGUGGUUUAAGAACUAUGUGAACCCGAGGUUGGACAGCCUAUCAUGGGAGGAGUUUGCAAAUGAGUUUGCAGGAUGGGCUUUCCCUGACAGUUCAAGAGAAUUGAAGAUGAUUGAGUUCGAGCAGCUGAGGCAAAUGGAUGAGAUGAGUGUGGAUGAGUAUACAGACAGAUUCUUGGAGCUGUUGCCGUUUGCUGGGCAGAAUCUGGAUACAGAUCAGAAAAAGUCAAGGAGGUAUAUCAUGAAACUCCAUUCCAGGUAUUCCUCCUUGAUUCAGUCAGCAGAGAAGGAGAGUUUCCAUGCCAUAGUGGAUAUGGCUCGGAGGAUGGAGGCUAGUGCAAUAAUCGAGGGGAAAGUCAAGCAGUCAGUGGCACAGCCUUCUGGUUCCAAGACCCCAGGUGGGGGAAAGUUAGACCGUUCUUCUCUGAGUUCAGGCAGUAAGAGAUGGGGUAAAGCCAAGUCUAGAAGAACAAGUUCUGGAGCAAGAUUAAGUCAGGUUUGGGAUUAGGGAGUGGCUCAAGCUCUGGUGCAGAUAAUGCAGUAUGCAAGAAGUGUGGGAAGCCGCACAAAGGAGUAUGUCUUGUUGGGACGACAGCCUGCUUCAGAUGUGGGCAGGAGGGACACAUGGCACGAGAGUGUCCUAGGGCAGCUUUUGUGGCACAGUCUCAGCAGAUGGCUUCAGGUAGUGUGGCACAGCCAGUAGCUCCAGCCGCGACUUAGGCUAGUGGCAGAGGCAGAGGGAGAGGGGCAGCCUCUUCUUCAGCGAGUUUCAGGGGUGAGGGUCCAUUAGCUCCGGCACGGAUCUUCACCAUGACUCAGCAAGAGGCAAACACAUCCAACACCAUGGUGUCAGGUAAUCUCAUCAUUGGUUGUUCUGAUGUGUAUGCAUUAUUGGACCCUGGUGCAUCUCAUUCUUUCAUUGCUCCGAGGGCCGUCGAGAGGUUGGGAUUGAUGGUCUCUGGGUUAGAGUGUCCCCUAUGGGUCAAUGGACCCAAGUGUGACCCGUCAGUGGCAGAGUCAGUCUGCCAGUGUAGUUCAGUUUUUGUGAAGGGAAGAUGCCUGUCCGCCGACCUUGUGGUUCUAGAUUUGACAAAUUUUAACGUCAUUCUAGGGAUGGACUGGUUAUCUACCCAUGGUGCUACCUUGGAUUGCAGAGACAAGGUAGUCAGGUUCAGAUGUCAGGAUGGGUCAGAGGUUGUCUUCAGAGGAGAAAAGAGGGGUACACCUAGAGGUUUGAUAUCAGCCCUACAGGCUCGUAGGCUCCUCAGGAGGGGUUAUCAGGGUUUUUUUAGCUCAUGUCAGAGAGCUGGAUAGUCAUGCCAGAGAGCCCGCCUCGGUGCCAGUGGUCAAAGAGUUUUUAGAUGUGUUCCCAGACGAGCUACCAGGUUUACCACCUGCUAGGGAGAUAGAGUUCGAGAUAGAAUUGAUGCUUGGAACCAGACCAAUCUCUAUCCCUCCCUAUAGGAUGGCACCAGUAGAAUUGAAGGAGCUUAAGGAGCAGUUGCAAGAGUUGGUAGAUAGAGGAUUCAUCCGACCGAGUACCUCACCUUGGGGUGCUCCAGUGCUAUUUGUGAAAAAGAAGGAUGGAUCUCUCAGACUUUGUAUCAACUACAGGCAGUUGAACAAGGUCACUACCAAGAAUAAGUACCCGUUGCCAAGGAUCGACGAUCUAUUCGACCAACUAGCAGGAGCAGGUUGUUUCUCCAAGAUAGAUCUGAGAUCAGGGUACCAUCAGCUGAGGAUAAGGGAAGAGGAUGUACCGAAGACAGCCUUCAGGACCAGAUAUGGGCAUUUUGAGUUCCUUGUGAUGCCGUUUGGGUUAACCAACGCCCCUGCAGCAUUCAUGGAUCUCAUGAACAGGGUUUUUAGUCAGUACCUGGAUCACUUUGUUAUUGUCUUCAUAGAUGAUAUCUUAGUGUAUUCCAGGAAUGCAGAUGAGCAUGCCCAUCAUCUGAGGUUGGUUUUGCAGACCUUGAGGGAACAUGGCUUGUAUGCCAAGUUCUCUAAGUGUGAGUUCUGGCUGAGGAGCAUCUCCUUCUUGGGGCAUGUGGUGUCAGAAAAUGGAAUCGAGGUAGACCCCAAGAAAGUGGAAACUGUAGCUAACUGGCCUAGACCCACUACAGUGACGGAGAUUAAGAGCUUCUUGGGUUUGGCAGGUUACUACAGGAGGUUCGUCCAAGACUUCUCUAAAAUUGCAGUUCCCAUGACCAGACUGACUAAGAAGAACCAAAGGUUUGUGUGGACCGACCAGUGUGAAGAAAGCUUUGAGGAGCUCAAGAAGAGGUUGACGUCAGCACCGGUGUUAGCUUUGCCUAACAGUCAGGAGAAUUUCACAGUGUUCUGUGAUGCAUCCCGAGUGGGAUUGGGUUGUGUGCUAAUGUAGAAUGAAAGGGUGAUUGCUUAUGCUUCUAGGCAGCUAAAGAAGCACGAGUUGAAUUACCCUACACAUGACCUAGAGAUGGCAGCGGUAAUCUUUGCACUCAAGAUGUGGAGGCAUUACCUUUAUGGGGUAAAAUGUGAGAUCUUCACCGAUCAUAAAAGCCUGCAGUACAUCCUGAGUCAAAGAGAUUUGAACUUGAGACAGAGAAGAUGGGUAGAACUGCUCAGUGACUAUGAUUGUAAGAUCCAGUACCAUCCGGGUAAGGCGAAUGUUGUGGCAGACGCCUUAAGCCGGAAAUCACUUAGCAAUUUGUCCCAUAUUUCAGUAGAGAGGAGGCCAGUAAUGAGGGAGUUCUUCGAGCUCAUGAAUGAAGGUCUACAGUUGGAGUUGUCUGGUACAGGUGCCUUAGUUGCCCAGAUGAGAGUGGCACCCGUGUUUUUGGAGCAGGUGGCUCAGAAACAGCAUGAGGAACCAGAGUUAGUGAAGAUUGCCAGGACUGUUCAGUCAGGCAAAGAUAGUGAGUUCAGAUUCGACAGCAAGGGGAUCCUCCGCUUUGGGAGCAGACUAUGUGUACCAGAUGACGUAGGGCUAAAGGGAGACAUUAUGAGAGAGGCUCAUAAUGCCAGAUACAAUGUUCACCCUAGAGCCACCAAGAUGUAUCAAGAUCUGAAGAGAGUGUAUUGGUGGCCAGCUAUGAAGAGAGAAGUGGCACAGUUUGUGUCAGCCUGCGAAGUGUGUCAGAGGGUGAAGCUGGAACAUUAGAAGCCGGCUGGAAUGCUUAACCCACUACCUAUUCCAGAGUGGAAAUGGGAGAAUAUAGCUAUGGACUUCGUAGUGGGGUUACCAGCAGCAUCCAACAGGUUAGACUCCAUAUGGGUGAUUGUGGACAGACUGACCAAAUCUGCUCACUUCAUCCCUGUCAGGAGCAACUACUCAGUGGAUAAGUUAGCGCAGGUGUAUGUGGAUGAAGUGGUAAGGCUGCAUGGGGUUCCUGUUUCGAUAGUGUCUGAUAAAGGGCCCCAGUUCACCUCUAGAUUUUUGGCGGAGUCUGCAAAAUGCUAUGGGUACCAGGUUGGAUUUUAGUACUGCCUUCCAUCCCCAGACUGACGAGCAGUCAGAGAGGACCAUCCAGACGAUAGAAGAUAUGCUCAGAAUGUGUGUGCUAGAUUUUGGCGGUUCUUGGAGGCAGCAUCUACCCUUGGUGGAGUUUGCCUACAAUAACAGCUAUCAUGCUAGCAUAGGGAUGGCUCCAUAUGAAGCUUUAUAUGGGAGGAAGUGCAGGUCACCUGUUUGCUGAGAAGAAGUGGGGGAAAAGGCCUUGGCAGGCCCUGAGCUUGUUGAGAUCACCAGCAGGGUGGUGCCUAUUAUCAGAGAAAGGAUCAGAACUGCUGUGAGUAGGCAGAAAAGCUAUGCAGACAUCCGCAGGAGGCAGGUAGAGUUUCAGGAGGGAGAUCUGGUAUUGCUCAAAGUGUCUCCUAUGAAAGGAGUGGUUCGUUUUGGGAAGAAAGGUAAGCUAGCCCCACGAUACAUCGGACCCUUUGAAAUCUUGCAGAAGAUUGGGAAUGUGUCGUACAAGCUGGAUUUACCUACUUCAAUGGAAAGAAUCCAUCUGGUUUUCCAUGUUUCCAUGUUGAGGAAGUUCGUGUCAGAUCCGGACAAGGUUCUUAGUAAGCCUGAUGUGGAAAUCCAAGAAGAUCUCACCUAUGUUGAACAGCCAGUGCGGAUUCUUGAUACCCAGAUCAGGAAGCUGAGAAACAAGGAAAUCCCGAUGGUGAAAGUCCUUUGGAACCACCACAAUAUGGAAGAAUGCACCUGGGAGACACGGGAGUCCAUUCUCCAGCAAUACCCUUAUCUUUUCUAAGGUUAGUUUCUUGUAUGUUUCAUGUAUUUUAUGUGUAUGAUGUGUAAUAUGCCUUGCAUGUGCUAGUUGAGGAACAUUUGGGGACGAAUGUUCUUAAGGGGGGGAGAAUGUAAUACCCGGCUAGACUCCGAUAUCAGAAUUCCUACCGUCCGGUGGAAUCUCGGGAGUCGGAGACUUCUAGAAGGGUAAAACCAUGUUUUUAUAAAAUGUUUUAAUGUAAUUUAUGUUUUUAAGCAAGAAAGAAAAUGAGUUUUUGCAUGAAAUAGCAUUGGAGGAAAACUCGAGUUUGGCCGCCGAACAUGCAUGCGCUUCGGGAGUGCUUUAGGCCCCCGAAGGCAUAAGUGAGGGAAGUCCAGGUUCGGCCGCCGAACCUUAUGUUCGGCCACCGAACAUGGCAUGCAUGCGGAGGCACGUUAGGCCCCCGAAAGUGGCCUGGCCAGCCACCUAUAAAGGGGUCCCCAUGUCCGAACGGGUGAGCUUUUUCUCCCCAUUUUCGGCCAAGGUGAGUCUCCAUCGCUCUCAUGCCGAUCUUGAGUUCUUCCUUCAAAUCUUCCAUGAUUUUUAUGAGUUUUCACCUUUGUUUUGAAGAUUUUUAAGCAAAUAGCAAGUUUUGGAGCUUGGAGGUUCAAGGAACUCGAUCUCUCCCAUCUCCGAGCUAGGAUCGUUUUUCCUCUCGAUCUUCAAGAGGUAAGAACCGAUCUUGAGCUCAUUAUAUGUUUUAAACAAGUUUCAAGUUGAUUCUUGGGGCAGAAAUGCAUGCUUAGGUUAGUUGAGCUUUGUUAGGUUUUGUGUGUGUUUAUGGAUAAUGUAGGUUGCUGAGUUGCUUUUGAUGUGUUGUAGUUGGGGUUUAGGAUAGUUUGAAGCCCCUAGGAGUUUAUGUAUGUGUUUAUGCAUGUUUUGGUUGAGUUGUAUGCAUGAUUGAAGGUUUUUGGGAGGCAAAUGUGCAUAAGAGCCGAGUUUCUGCCACUUUGGAAGAAACUCAGGUUCGGCAGCCGAAGGGACUUUCGGCCGUCGAACCUGCCUGUGGAGGCAAGCUUUCGGCUGCCGAAGCCUGCCCCCGAAAGUGGACUUUCGUCUCUGGAGGGGACUUUCGGCCGCCGAAGGUGCCGCCGAACAUGCAUGAGUUUUGCCUCUAGAGAGAACCUUCGGCCGCCGAAAGUGCCGCUGAAGGUGUAUGACUUUCGGCUCUGGAGGGACUUUCGGCCGCCGAACCUGCCGCCGAAAGUGCCCUGUUCAGCCCUCCUUUGCAUGAAUUCUUUGAUUGUUUUGAGGUGUUUUAGGGGGUUUUUGGGGGAUAUUUUUAGAGUCAUGUUCUAGUAUGUUUGGUCCCUUAUUUGAGUCCACCUGUGUAGGUUUGGACCCAAGGAACCGAGGACCCCAGCAGUGAGUCAGCUGCUUCAGUUCAUUAUCAGAGUUAGCCUAAGGUGAGUAGAAUAAACCUUAUGUUUUAAAUUAAUGCAAGUUUUAGCAUGAAUCAUGCAUCACGAAUGCCAUGUGAUAUAAUAGGUUGUUGCAUUAGAAUCCACGAAUAUGUUGCACUGCAUUCUUUGUUGUGGAUGUGGGUGAAUGUUGUAUGAUCCAAUUAGUCCCUGAGGAAAGACCAGGACCCCAUUCUACGGCCUGGCACGGUAUGAAAGACCAGGACCCCAUUCUACGGCCUGGCACGGUAUGGAACGUGAAGACCAGGUGCCCAGAUAAGGCCCUGGGGCAAUGGUAAGUAAUGUUAUGAUAUGACAGGAAGACUAGGACCCCAUUGUACUGCCUGGCACGGAUAUGAUGCUGGGACUAUUUGGUGACAGGUUCACCCUUGAUGUGAUUUGUCUAUGAUAUGAUGCAUUACAUGAUGGCAUAUGUUUUAAAUGUUUUAGUAUUCUGCUCACUGGGCUCUAGUAGCUCACCCCUUUCCCUAUAUCCCCCAGGUUUGCAGGUACGGGCUAGUUCAGGGAGUCAAGAAGAGUAAAGUCUUGUGAUUUGUAAUAGUUAGAUGUGGACAUGAUGAUUUGUAAAAUGAUGUAAGGUUAUGAUCAGUCAUGUUAUGUAAUAUUGAUACUGAGGAUUAGAAUUGUGCUUGACCAUAGUAUGUUUGAAUAAUCCCAUGUAUAUACAUGAUCUAUGUUUUAUGAUGUUUAUGUUCAACCAAGCUUGAUGAUUGAUGAGAUACCCCAUUGGAGCAUGUGAUGAGACUCCAGUGUGUGGUUUUUGUUUAUGUUUAUGUGCAUGCACAGGUUGAGCUUGGAAAAAGGAAAGAAAAGGUUCUCAUGUUUAUGUUUAUGUGUGAUCAUGUAUGGGAUUUGACAGGUAUUCAGGAUGUAUGUUUGGCUUGCUACGGGUCCCGGCGACCUUAUGUCGAUCUGGAUCCUAGCACCGGUAGCGGUCCGGUUUCCGGGUCGUUACAGUUUGGGUCGCAUCUACCCUUGAUCUUCAAGAGGUAAGUUUAGAUCCUUACUUUUUCCUAUGUUUUAAGUAAGUUUUAAUAAGGGUUAAAGAUGCAUGUUAUUGUUGGAUCUAGAGUUAUAGGCUUUGAGUUGGGUUUUUGAUGAAUGUAUGCUUAUGUGAAGUUUUUGUUGUUUUUGUUGGGGCUUAAGUUAGUUUUUCUGCCCCUUAUGCAUGUUGGAGUGAGUAUGCAUGUUGUGGGAAGUUGGGUGUGAGGAUUUGAGAGUUUUGAGAGUUUUGGAGUUGAAAUGCAUGAGGCAAAAUCGGGUUCUUCCAUUCUGGAGAACCUAGGUUCGGCCGCCGAAGUAAGGUUCGGCCGCCGAACCUACAUGGGAGGCAGCCAUUUGGCGGCCUAACAUGCCCCCAAAAGUAUGCACUUCCGGAUCUGGAAGGGAGUUUCGGCCGCCGAACCCGCCCCGGAAAGUCCCUGACUUUCGAAUCUGUGGAGGACCUUCGGCCGCCGAACCUGCCCCCAAAGGACCUUGACUUUCGGAUCUGUGGAGACUUUCGGCCGUCGAACCUGCCGCCGAAAGUCCUCUGCCAGCCUUCCUUUGCUUGUUUUAUAUGCAUAUUUUGUGAUGUUUUAGAGGAUUUUUUGGGGAGUUUUUAGUCUUGUAGAGUUAUGUUUGGUCCCUCAUUUGUGUCCACCUGUGUAGGUUUGGACCCGAGAGACCGUAGAAGCCAGUAGUGAGUCAGCUGCUCCUUUGUCAGUAAAGCGUCAGCCAGAGUUGAGUAGAACUAAACUAAUUUAUCAUUUUUAAGUAAUCAAACUUUUGAACAUGUUCAUGCAUCACGAAUGCCUUGUUUAUAGGAUGUCUGUAUUAGAAUUCACGAAUAUGCUGCAUUGCAUAAUUUAUUAUUUAUGUGGAUGGAUGUUGGAUGACCCACUAGCCCUCGAGCAGGUUAUGAUAUGAUACGGAUACGGAAGACCAGGACUGCCCAUUCUACACGCCCUGGCACUAUGUAAGGGAAAGACCAGGGCUGCCCAUUCUAUGCCUCUGGCAUAGUUGGAUAUGUUAUGUUAUGUUUAAGCGAAAGUCCUGAGGAGCUCUCGUUGUGGGCCGGGCACAUUGGAUUAUGUAGAGGGUUACUAGUGACAAGUCCAUCUUAAGAUGAUUUGUUUGUGCUGUGAUGCAUUUCAUAUGAGCAUAUGUUUUUAAACUGUUUUUACUGUUCUGCUAACUAGGCUCUUGUAGCUUAUCCCUUUCCCCUAACCCCAGGUUUACAGGGUCAAGAUUAGCUCGGGAGGUCGGCUAGAGGCUAGUAUAAGUUUAUGUAAUAGAAUAGUGGUGGACAUGUACUAUGUAAUGGAUUAGAUUUGUGUUUUGCCCUAGUUUAUGUUUUGUACAUCCCUAUUUAUCAUGAACAUGCUAUUAUGUAAAAGUUUUAAAUGAUGAGUUAUGUUGAACCAAGCUUGAGAUAUAUAAUGUUGACCAUACUAGAGCAUUUGAUGAGGGCUCUAGUGUGGGUUCUAUGUAUACAGUUUAUGUUGAAUGCACAGGUCGAGCUUGGUAUAUGAAAAGUUUAAAAUGUUUAUGAAAAUGUAUGUUCAUGUAUGGGAUUUUACUAGGUACACAGGAUGCAUAGUAGGCUUGCUACGGAUUCCGGUGACCUGAAGUCGAUCUGAAUCCUAGCGCCGGUAGCUGUCCGAUUUCCGGAUCGUUACAUAAUUGCUGCUGAAUGGCAAACAAAUGUUGCUCGUCACCACGAAAGACCAUUUUGUGCCAUCAUGUAAGAUGGGUUCUACAAUUUUUCAACUUUGUCAUAAAGGAAAACAUAAGCGAGCCCCUAGUGCGUACCAUCCAAGCCUUCUACAUAAUUUUUUAGUAUUGUGGAUGUGAUAGCCACUUCGCUUCGAAGCGAAACAAAAAAGUUCAGUGACAAAGAGGAGGUUGUAAGAGCAAAAUCAAAGGUCGAUGAUUAGACUCCAACAAUAAUUCAUGAAUCAAAUAUGCCUGUGGAAAACACACUUGCCAUUUAGGCGAAACCAAAGCACAAUCUAGUCGUUGUUGAAUGGCGUAGUUAUCAAACCGCUUGUUAAACCAAGUGUAAGAAGAACCAUUCCAAGCAAGCUCCAUUAGUACACAAGAUUAAAUAAAAUCAUUAAAAGGCUUGGCCUGAGAGGGACCAAAAGCACAACCUCUUAAUUUGUCUACCUGAAAGCGAAAGAUAUUAAAAUCGCCAAUACAACACCAAGAGUUGGAGUCGGAUGACCGAAGUAGUUUCAGAUCACCUCAGAGAAGUGAUCCAUUUCCUCUGACUGGACAACCAUACACGAAAGUCAUAUACCAAAAGCAGGUUGUAUUCACAAUAUACACUCAACAAUGUAUAAAAUUCAAAUACAACUGAACCGACUCUAAUUCAACUGAAUUAUUCCACCAUAGAGACAAACAUUCAGCACGAUCCAUUGGAUCAACAAAAAUAGUAGCAGGAAACCUACAUUGAAUUAUUCCCCAAUACUAUGCAUUUAGAAGAGUCAGAUUUAACCUUUUUUUCAUUUGGGUAAAUUACUUUGUAUUUACUUAAUAAAUGCCAAAAUUAAUACACAUAUAUAUUAAUUAAUUUACUUUUAUAAUCUAACCACUUAAAUUUUAUAUUUUAAUUACGUCUCUUUAAAUGUGCCUUCACUCUUAUCUAAAAAAUAUAUUAUUUUUUUAAUUUAAUAGUUAAAAUAUGGAGAUUAAAUUAUUUAUAUUUAAACGGACCUAAUUAUUGAUUUUGAUAUAAAUUAAAAAUGAAAAAUUAUAUAAAUUUAAUGAUAUUUUAAUAUUUUUUCUGACAAUAGAAAAUUAACAAGUUGGAUGAAGGGAUUUUCAAGCAAUAGAAAAUUAACAAGUUGGAUGAAGGGAUUUUCAACUUUAAUAAACUUAAUAUAUACGAACUAAAUUUUGAGAUUUGACUUGUACAUUAAUUUACCCUUUACUAUCACUUCUGAAUUAAAAAAAAAAAAACAAAACUUAUAAUUUUAAAGAAUGAGUUAAAAGGAAAAAAAAAAUCCUAAAAGAAAAUAUAAUUUCACUGAUCAAAUAUUCAAGUAUGCAGUUGGAUUUUUCGUUUAAUGAUUAUAUUUUUUUUUCUCAACUUAAUGAAUUAUUUUAAAUAAAAACAUUAUUAAUUAAAUUUUUUUAUAGUAACACAAUAAUAAUAAUAAUAAUAAUAAUGCCAAUCAAACUAAUCUUAAAUUUAUUUUUAUAAUAAAGAAACAACACCCUUCUCAAUAUCGAUAGGUGAUUUUGAUAUUAUAUUAAAUUUAGAUCGAGUCUAAUUCAUUCAAAAUUAAUUAAAAGAAAAAAUAUUUAAAACUCUUAUAAAGGGUAAAUUACACUUUGAAUUCAAUAUAAAAAUGCUUCAAAAUGGAGUCUUUUGAUUUAUCUAUUAUAAAUUUAUUUUUUUUUAUUUUUCUUAAAAAAAGAAGAGGGCUAUAUCCAUAUAACAUUAUUAUCCUAUAAUCCUCUAAAAUUUUAUUAAAUAAAAAUUAAUAAUUAUAUUAAAAAUAUAAAUAAGGGCCAAUAUAUUUACACAACUAUAGAAAUAUAUAAAUAUCUCACUAUGUUCUUUUAACUAUAUAAAUAUAAUAACUCAAGCUCUUAAUUAGAAAAUUAUUUAAUAAAAUAAAUAAAUAAACCAAAUCUGUACAUAGUUGCAAAUAACUAAACAUUUUACUUUUGAAAAAUUAUAACAUAUAUUAUUUUUUACUAUGUAAACAGAUUUGUAUUAAAAAGUUUGGUAAUAAAACAAACUCUUACAAAUACAAAGUGACAAAUGAUCUAAAAAACCAAUAUUCUCAUAUAAACUCAACAAUCCAAUCUAGAAUCCAACAAUUCCACAAUCUACAAUCCGCUGAGGCAUAUUUUGGAAAAGACAAAAAAAAAAAAAUCAAUGAUUGUCCUCUUCAUAUUACCAAAAAUUAAAACCCUAGCACCAUCGCCCAGCCAAGCAACUUAGAAAAUGCAACAAUAAUCUCUAACAAUCAGCUCCAUCCAUUGCAUCACUAAAAUAGAAUAAAUCAGACGAACAAAGCAACCACUGAAUAAAUCUACAAAUUCAAAAAUCAUCGAAGGGCCAACGCACCAUCAACUCCAACUGUAACGACCCGGUGAUCGGACCGCUACCGGCGCUAGGAUCCAGAUCGGUUUAAGGCCACCGGGACCCGUAGCAAGCCUACUAUGCAUUUUGUAAACCUGGUAAAUCCCAUACAUGAUCAACAAUUUCCAUAAAAAUUUGAAACUUUACAUCUACCAAGCUUAACCUGUGCAUGCACACAAUCUCUGUAAACAUAAACCCCAUACUCGAGCCCUCAUCAAAUGCUCUAGUUGGGUCAUUAUUUCAUAUCUUAAGCUUGGUCAUCAACAUAUAUCAUUACAAAUCAUGUACAAAAGGGAUUAAUCAGUUCUAAGGCCAAGCACAACUCUAUCAUCAUUAUACAUUACAUGACCUUACAUCAUUUUACAUUACAUGUCCACUACCACUAUUACAUAAGCUUUUCUCCUGAAGCUAUCCCAUGCUAUCUCUGGCCAUGCAACUUGGGGGUUAAAGAGAGGAGUGAGCUACUAGAGCCCAGUGAGUAGAGUACCAAGAAAAUCAAUAAAACAUGCCUCCAUGAAAUGCAUCACAUCACAAACAAGUCACAACAAGGAUGAACUUGUCACCAAUAGUCCUCACACAUGCCAUAGUGCCAGGGCGUAGCAUGGGCUCCUAGUCUUUCUCAUAACAUAAUAAUAACAUAACAUGACAUUUCAUCAUGCCAGUGGCGUAGAAUGGGCCUCUGGUGGUCUUUCUCUUACAUGGUGCCAGGGCGUAGCAUGGGCCUCUGGACUUCUCAUAUAUCAUGCCAGGGCGUAGAAUGGGCCCUGGACUUCCCUAAAGGACUAAAGGAUCAUUCAACAUCCAGCCACAUUAAUAACAUAUAAUGCAAUGCAACAUAUUCGUGAGUUCUAAUGCAAUACAACCUCAUAUAUCCAUGGCAUUUAUGAUGCAUGAGUCAUGCUAAAACCUUUCAUUUAAUUUAAAACAUAGUUCAGUUCUACUCACCUCUAGUAGACGCUGGAAUACCGUUGAACUAGCUAACACUGAGGGCCUCCUUAGUUCCUCGGGUCCGAACCUACACAGGUAGACUCAAAUGAGGUACCGACAUACUCUAGCAUAACUCUAAACAUUCCCCCCAAAACCCCCUAAAACAUCAUAAACAUGCAUGGAAAAACAAGCAAAGGAAGGCUGGAUAGGGGACUUUCGGAGGCAGGUUUGGCGGCCGAAGGUCCCUCCAGAGCCGAAAGUCAGGCACUUUCAGAGGCAGGUUCGGCAGCCGAAAGUCCUUUCCAGAGACGAAAGUCACAACCUUCGGCGGCAUGUUCGGUGGCCGAAACUCCACUCUAGAGCCGAAAGUCCAAGCUUUCGGGGGCGGGUUUAGGCGGCCAAAACAACCUCCUUAAGGGGUUCGGCAGCCGAACCUUGCUUCGACAGCCGAACCUGAGUUCUCCAAGAAGGCAGAACUCGAUCCAACCUUAAGUCUCCAGCCUCCAAAACCUCUCCAAAGCAUGCAUAACUCACCAACAAGCUCUCAAACACAUGCAUAUACCCUUCUCCAUGCAUAUAGGGGCUUUAGAACUAGCUUAAACCCCAAAAACAACACAAAUACACACAUAUGGCUUAUGAUCAACAUAAACCCUACCCACGCAAACCAUGCAAAACCCAUGCAAAAACCUCACUUAAACCCUUCAAACACCCUUAAAACAGUAGAAAAGGUGAGGAUCCAUGCUUACCUCUUGAAGAUCAAGAGGAUUGAUGGUCUUAACUUGGAGAUGCAAGGGAAAAACAGAUCUAGAACCUCCAAGCCUCACAACUUAGCUUCUUUGCUCAAAAAAUUUAAAAGCAACAUGAAAACAACUUAAAACUUGCUCCACGUUAAAGAAAACUAAGAAAUCAACCAAAGGAGGUCAAGAACUCACUUAUACCCGAAAAGAGAGAGAAACCUCACCUCAAAUCCGGAUAAGGGACCCUUUUAUAGGUGGCUGGUCAACCAUCUUCAGCAGCCAAAGCUGCCUCCACAGCUUCACCACUUUCGAAAGCCGAACUUGGGCUUCGGUGGCAACGAAAGUGUGCCAUCUUCGGCGGCCGAAAGUGAGGUUCGGCGACCGAACCUUACAUUUCCCUCCUUGGUCUUUUCUUUUUAAAACUCCAAGUUUUCUUUCUCACAUCACUAAACACAUGUAAAAACAUUUUGAAAAACCUUUCUUUUACCCUUCUAGAUAGCUCUGACAUCCUUGAAUUUCGGAUUCCAACGGAGAUUCCGCCGGAAAGUAGAAAUUCUGACGCCGGGGUUUAGCCGGGUAUUACACCAACCUAGCAGUCAGUGCCAUCCAUCUCAACACCAAAACUGAGUGAAUCAAAUGAAACGAAGUGAGCACCAAACAGAACCACAAAUCCAAAACCAUACAAGGGCUGAUGCAAAACUUCCACUUCAAGAGAAAGGGUCAUCGCUAACGGCUACUAAAAAGAUAACCAGCCUAUGGUGCUUUCAAUAGUCAUGAAGCUACUGAAUGGAAUUGAGAGACUCCGGCGCCAAAUAAUCAUCGGUCAAUAUCCUCCCAAAUUAAAAUAUCAAAACCAUCAAAUAGAAAAAACCAAAAUUCGACAAAAAAAAAAUAGAAAUAGCAAAACAAAAACAAAACUACACAAGUUGAUGACCACAAACUCCACAUCCAAAGGCAUAGAAGCUCGAUGUGUGGCACCAAUAUUGGGUUUUAAUCAGAUUGAAUGUAGUGAAAGAAAUAGAAAAAUAAAAUUUUUCACAAACGUGGAUCACGUUUAAAUAAAAAAAUCAAUAAUAUUUAAAGAAAAAAUAAAUACCUUUUGUUUUCCUUGCAGCAAACUAUGAAAUCGUUUAUUUUGAUUGGAUUGUCGCAAACCACAAACCAUCCAAGUGUUCGAUCUUUAAUAAUAUCCACACAUAAUGACAAUCGAAAAACUUUAGAACCGUUCUAAGGGUUUGAGAAGGAGAGAUAUGUUAGUGUAUAUGCCCUAGGCCAUUAUCUUGUACCUUUUUGUAUGUCAUUUUUGUUAUAAAUAAAAGAGGUUUUUAUCAUUAUUAUUUGUUUGCAUGUUACAUAAUAAUGAUUAUCAUCCCUGGUUACUUAUUAUUAUGUUGAUAAUAAUAAAAUAUAACUAGUAUGAUUAUUGAUUGAUAAUNNNNNNNNNNNNNNNNNNNNNNNNNNNNNNNNNNNNNNNNNNNNNNNNNNNNNNNNNNNNNNNNNNNNNNNNNNNNNNNNNNNNNNNNNNNNNNNNNNNNNNNNNNNNNNNNNNNNNNNNNNNNNNNNNNNNNNNNNNNNNNNNNNNNNNNNNNNNNNNNNNNNNNNNNNNNNNNNNNNNNNNNNNNNNNNNNNNNNNNNNNNNNNNNNNNNNNNNNNNNNNNNNNNNNNNNNNNNNNNNNNNNNNNNNNNNNNNNNNNNNNNNNNNNNNNNNNNNNNNNNNNNNNNNNNNNNNNNNNNNNNNNNNNNNNNNNNNNNNNNNNNNNNNNNNNNNNNNNNNNNNNNNNNNNNNNNNNNNNNNNNNNNNNNNNNNNNNNNNNNNNNNNNNNNNNNNNNNNNNNNNNNNNNNNNNNNNNNNNNNNNNNNNNNNNNNNNNNNNNNNNNNNNNNNNNNNNNNNNNNNNNNNNNNNNNNNNNNNNNNNNNNNNNNNNNNNNNNNNNNNNNNNNNNNNNNNNNNNNNNNNNNNNNNNNNNNNNNNNNNNNNNNNNNNNNNNNNNNNNNNNNNNNNNNNNNNNNNNNNNNNNNNNNNNNNNNNNNNNNNNNNNNNNNNNNNNNNNNNNNNNNNNNNNNNNNNNNNNNNNNNNNNNNNNNNNNNNNNNNNNNNNNNNNNNNNNNNNNNNNNNNNNNNNNNNNNNNNNNNNNNNNNNNNNNNNNNNNNNNNNNNNNNNNNNNNNNNNNNNNNNNNNNNNNNNNNNNNNNNNNNNNNNNNNNNNNNNNNNNNNNNNNNNNNNNNNNNNNNNNNNNNNNNNNNNNNNNNNNNNNNNNNNNNNNNNNNNNNNNNNNNNNNNNNNNNNNNNNNNNNNNNNNNNNNNNNNNNNNNNNNNNNNNNNNNNNNNNNNNNNNNNNNNNNNNNNNNNNNNNNNNNNNNNNNNNNNNNNNNNNNNNNNNNNNNNNNNNNNNNNNNNNNNNNNNNNNNNNNNNNNNNNNNNNNNNNNNNNNNNNNNNNNNNNNNNNNNNNNNNNNNNNNNNNNNNNNNNNNNNNNNNNNNNNNNNNNNNNNNNNNNNNNNNNNNNNNNNNNNNNNNNNNNNNNNNNNNNNNNNNNNNNNNNNNNNNNNNNNNNNNNNNNNNNNNNNNNNNNNNNNNNNNNNNNNNNNNNNNNNNNNNNNNNNNNNNNNNNNNNNNNNNNNNNNNNNNNNNNNNNNNNNNNNNNNNNNNNNNNNNNNNNNNNNNNNNNNNNNNNNNNNNNNNNNNNNNNNNNNNNNNNNNNNNNNNNNNNNNNNNNNNNNNNNNNNNNNNNNNNNNNNNNNNNNNNNNNNNNNNNNNNNNNNNNNNNNNNNNNNNNNNNNNNNNNNNNNNNNNNNNNNNNNNNNNNNNNNNNNNNNNNNNNNNNNNNNNNNNNNNNNNNNNNNNNNNNNNNNNNNNNNNNNNNNNNNNNNNNNNNNNNNNNNNNNNNNNNNNNNNNNNNNNNNNNNNNNNNNNNNNNNNNNNNNNNNNNNNNNNNNNNNNNNNNNNNNNNNNNNNNNNNNNNNNNNNNNNNNNNNNNNNNNNNNNNNNNNNNNNNNNNNNNNNNNNNNNNNNNNNNNNNNNNNNNNNNNNNNNNNNNNNNNNNNNNNNNNNNNNNNNNNNNNNNNNNNNNNNNNNNNNNNNNNNNNNNNNNNNNNNNNNNNNNNNNNNNNNNNNNNNNNNNNNNNNNNNNNNNNNNNNNNNNNNNNNNNNNNNNNNNNNNNNNNNNNNNNNNNNNNNNNNNNNNNNNNNNNNNNNNNNNNNNNNNNNNNNNNNNNNNNNNNNNNNNNNNNNNNNNNNNNNNNNNNNNNNNNNNNNNNNNNNNNNNNNNNNNNNNNNNNNNNNNNNNNNNNNNNNNNNNNNNNNNNNNNNNNNNNNNNNNNNNNNNNNNNNNNNNNNNNNNNNNNNNNNNNNNNNNNNNNNNNNNNNNNNNNNNNNNNNNNNNNNNNNNNNNNNNNNNNNNNNNNNNNNNNNNNNNNNNNNNNNNNNNNNNNNNNNNNNNNNNNNNNNNNNNNNNNNNNNNNNNNNNNNNNNNNNNNNNNNNNNNNNNNNNNNNNNNNNNNNNNNNNNNNNNNNNNNNNNNNNNNNNNNNNNNNNNNNNNNNNNNNNNNNNNNNNNNNNNNNNNNNNNNNNNNNNNNNNNNNNNNNNNNNNNNNNNNNNNNNNNNNNNNNNNNNNNNNNNNNNNNNNNNNNNNNNNNNNNNNNNNNNNNNNNNNNNNNNNNNNNNNNNNNNNNNNNNNNNNNNNNNNNNNNNNNNNNNNNNNNNNNNNNNNNNNNNNNNNNNNNNNNNNNNNNNNNNNNNNNNNNNNNNNNNNNNNNNNNNNNNNNNNNNNNNNNNNNNNNNNNNNNNNNNNNNNNNNNNNNNNNNNNNNNNNNNNNNNNNNNNNNNNNNNNNNNNNNNNNNNNNNNNNNNNNNNNNNNNNNNNNNNNNNNNNNNNNNNNNNNNNNNNNNNNNNNNNNNNNNNNNNNNNNNNNNNNNNNNNNNNNNNNNNNNNNNNNNNNNNNNNNNNNNNNNNNNNNNNNNNNNNNNNNNNNNNNNNNNNNNNNNNNNNNNNNNNNNNNNNNNNNNNNNNNNNNNNNNNNNNNNNNNNNNNNNNNNNNNNNNNNNNNNNNNNNNNNNNNNNNNNNNNNNNNNNNNNNNNNNNNNNNNNNNNNNNNNNNNNNNNNNNNNNNNNNNNNNNNNNNNNNNNNNNNNNNNNNNNNNNNNNNNNNNNNNNNNNNNNNNNNNNNNNNNNNNNNNNNNNNNNNNNNNNNNNNNNNNNNNNNNNNNNNNNNNNNNNNNNNNNNNNNNNNNNNNNNNNNNNNNNNNNNNNNNNNNNNNNNNNNNNNNNNNNNNNNNNNNNNNNNNNNNNNNNNNNNNNNNNNNNNNNNNNNNNNNNNNNNNNNNNNNNNNNNNNNNNNNNNNNNNNNNNNNNNNNNNNNNNNNNNNNNNNNNNNNNNNNNNNNNNNNNNNNNNNNNNNNNNNNNNNNNNNNNNNNNNNNNNNNNNNNNNNNNNNNNNNNNNNNNNNNNNNNNNNNNNNNNNNNNNNNNNNNNNNNNNNNNNNNNNNNNNNNNNNNNNNNNNNNNNNNNNNNNNNNNNNNNNNNNNNNNNNNNNNNNNNNNNNNNNNNNNNNNNNNNNNNNNNNNNNNNNNNNNNNNNNNNNNNNNNNNNNNNNNNNNNNNNNNNNNNNNNNNNNNNNNNNNNNNNNNNNNNNNNNNNNNNNNNNNNNNNNNNNNNNNNNNNNNNNNNNNNNNNNNNNNNNNNNNNNNNNNNNNNNNNNNNNNNNNNNNNNNNNNNNNNNNNNNNNNNNNNNNNNNNNNNNNNNNNNNNNNNNNNNNNNNNNNNNNNNNNNNNNNNNNNNNNNNNNNNNNNNNNNNNNNNNNNNNNNNNNNNNNNNNNNNNNNNNNNNNNNNNNNNNNNNNNNNNNNNNNNNNNNNNNNNNNNNNNNNNNNNNNNNNNNNNNNNNNNNNNNNNNNNNNNNNNNNNNNNNNNNNNNNNNNNNNNNNNNNNNNNNNNNNNNNNNNNNNNNNNNNNNNNNNNNNNNNNNNNNNNNNNNNNNNNNNNNNNNNNNNNNNNNNNNNNNNNNNNNNNNNNNNNNNNNNNNNNNNNNNNNNNNNNNNNNNNNNNNNNNNNNNNNNNNNNNNNNNNNNNNNNNNNNNNNNNNNNNNNNNNNNNNNNNNNNNNNNNNNNNNNNNNNNNNNNNNNNNNNNNNNNNNNNNNNNNNNNNNNNNNNNNNNNNNNNNNNNNNNNNNNNNNNNNNNNNNNNNNNNNNNNNACCUCACCAUGUCACUACUGAAGAACAGCUGGCUGACUUAUUCACCAAGGCCCUACCAGCCUCCCGCCAUAGCACAUUAACCAGCAAGUUGAAUCUUCUGCCUCUCCCAGCUUCAACUUGAGGAGGGGGUGUUAAAAGCUAUGCUAUGUCGUUUUACUGGUUGUAAUUGAUUGGUUAUCUAAACUACGUCGUUUUGUUUAGGUUGAGUUAUUUGUAUGCACAUGUUGUGCGUGUGAUUCAAUUUGGUAUAAACAGGAAGCGAUGCUUCCAGAACUGACAUAACGUCAUUUUCUGAUUUUAAAUAAAAGUUCUGAUUUUCUUCCUCUCUCUCUUCUGUUUCUGCACAUGAUCAACCAACAAAAAUUGAAACUAAAAUUAUUUCUUUAACCAGAUGUUUUUCAUCUUGAUUUUUUCUCUUCAAUUUAAUUAUUUCUUUUUUAAAUUGAUUUUAUUUAUUUCUCUAUAUUCAAAACCUCCCCCCAUUUUAUUUUAUUUUAUUUUAUUUCUUAUUCAUUCAAUAUAAUUAAUUUACUUACCAGUCUUUGUGGGAUCGAUUCUGCUUACCAUUAUCACAAGUUUUGUUUUAAAGCAGGAAUUUAUUUUUAGUGGUUUAGACGCCCAUCAAAUUUUGGCACGUUGUUGGGGACUAGUUCUAAAUUGUUUUAUUAAUUCUUUUUGAAUGACACGUUCUAAUCCUAUAGGCAAACUCGAAUUCAAUCUAGAAAUUGAGAAAACCAUAAGAAAACUGAGAAAAGAGGCCAAGCAGCGGAACAAAUAUCUCUCAUCGUCUAGCAAUCAGGUGCAACUCGCUGUUGAAGAACAAGUUAUUAUUGAAGCACAGGUUGCUGCCGUUGAAGAGGAGAUCGCAAUUGAAUAACAGGUUGCUAUCGCGAACAGGUCGUGAGCAUAUAAGAAACAACAUCUGACACGAACGAUACUUUUGGUGAAUCUAACGUGGAAGAGAAAAUGGUUGAAGAACAAGCAAUAUAGGAUGUUGACAAUGUGGAUAACUCUCAACCCCGCUGCAUCGUCUAUCCUGCACUAAAUGCAUAACUUGAACUAAAGUUAGAAUUAAUUCAUCUCCUAUAAAUUUGUCAAGAACACUAAUUUCUAGCACACAAAAUUUAAUUAGAUUAACUCAAUAAAAAAUAUAAUCCUCUGUUACACUUUAAUCAUUUAAACUUGACUCUGAUAUCAUUGUUGGAUUUCAAUCGAAUUGAAUGCAGUGGAAGAAAUGGAAAAAUAAAACUUUUCACCAACAUGGAUCACGUUAAAAUGAAGAAAAUAAUAAUAUUUAAAGAGAAAAUAAAUAUCUUUUAUUUUUCUUACAGCAAAAUACGAAAUCAUUCGUUUUAGUUGGGUUGUCGCAAACCACAAACCGCCUAAACGUCCGGUCUCUAGUGAUAUUCACACAAAAUAACAAUAAAAAAACCUUAGAACUGUUCUAAGUGUUUGAGGAGAAGAGAGGUUUUGAGUACAAGUUCUCUACCUUUCUUUAGAAUUUCAGUAUAAUAAUAUAUAUUUAUUUAUUUAACUAAAUAAAUAAAUAAAUUAUAAUUAUGAUCACUUUAUACACUUAUUCAUAAAAUAAGCAGCUAUAUAUUAGUUAUAGAUAUCUCAUAUAUCUCAAACUAUAAAAUCAGUUGCUUCAUCUGAAAGAAAAUGACGUAAUAUAUACUAGUAUCAACAGUUGUAAUAAUUAUUCAAUUAUGAUAAGAAUAUCAACAAAGAAUAGUUGGAGACAUUACUUAAAUGUAAUAAAAAUCUCACAAUUAUAACCAUAUUAUAAUUUUCUUUACACAAUAAUAUAGUUUUAUAAAUUUUAUUUUUAUUCGAGAUUCAAUUAAAAUAAUACUAAAAAUAAAUAAUAGUCUUUGUAUAAUAUAUUUAAAUAUUUAAAAUAGAUAAAAAAUAAUAUUCAAUUACAAUCAAUAUAUUAGCUAUAGGUCAUAUUACUAACAAUCAAGUUAAAAUAAUUGCAAGUCAUUUCAUCUUUUCUCUUUUCGCUCUAUUUUUUUAGUAUCAAGAAUAUUAAGAAAAACUCUCCUACAAAGAAAAUAGUGUGUAUAUACAAAAUCUCCUCUUAUUUUGUUAUUAAAUAAUAAUAAUAAUAAUAAUAAUAAUAAUAAAAAUUAUUAUAUAAUCUUUAUAUUAUAAAAAAAUUUAUUAAUUAAUUUGUUAAUUUUAAAAGAUAAAUUAUUUUUUUAAAAAUUUAUUAUUUAAUUUAUUAUUAAUUUUAAUAAUUAAUUAUUAUAUAAAAAUUUAAAAUAUGUUCUAUACAGAAAUUUAAAUAAUAUAUAUUUUUAUAAAAUUAAUAAAAAUUUAACCACUAAAAUUAACAAAAUUUCUGAUUAAGGAUUUUUAAAAUUUUAUGCACGUUUCUAAAAAUCAACUAAAACUAAUGAAUUUUUAAUAAUAAAGGACUAAACACUGUAUUUUUUCACCGAUAAAAAUAAAAAUAAAAGAAUUAGUUGGGGCCCAGACCAUCCAUGAAGUGCAUUGAUUGGGAGUAGUUGAGUUGGCGGCAUGUCUUGGCAGUCCCACUGUUUUCUCAUGUGCGUUCGUUCUCGAAACCAAAUUAAAACAAUUCAAAAAGUUAAACCAACCCAUCCGCCACACAACCAACGAAAGUCAAAAUAUCCUCAAGGGAUUAAGGGUUCACACCUGCCAUCUCUCUCUCUCUCUCUCUCUUAUUUACUUUUAUUUAUUUAUUUUUUAUAUUCAACAAAUAAUAUUGCAUAGUGGUGAAGUGAUGAAAAAGAUGGCUAUCAGUAUCAGGUUCAUAAUCUAUUUCAUCAUCAAUAAUUUCUGCUGCAUUCCUAACGGUGACCUGGUCAGACUAAUACCAAAUACAAAGCCACCAAUUUCUAGUUUUUCUUCCUCUGUUUAUCUUCAAGUCUUCUACCAGGCUACCAUUGGUGUGUUUUUCUCUCUACCCAUUUAUUGAUUCUUUUGUUUGCAUGCGGUUGGAGGGUUUUGCUUGCUCUUUCUUUGUUGGUAUAUAUAUGGGCUUUGUUUAAUUUUUAUUAUUGAAUGUCCGUUGUUUGUUUUUUGUGAGUAGGAAGAACGUUUGGACAAUUUUUAAGGAUUUUUAGUUUUUGGGUAAACAGGAGAUGAUUCAGAAUUCUGGUGUUUUUUCCCUUCUUGGGAUGCCCAUAUCAAGAGUUUCCACUCUUGGAGCUGUUUUGCUUAUGUGGCUGUGUUGGUCUCCACUCCUCAUUGAAGCACAAGAUGGCAUUACUGAUCCUUUAGAAGGUCAUUUUGCUUGAACUUCUGGUCUUUUCUUCUAUUUCCCUUUCUUUUGGUUUAAAGAAAGAGCUUCCCUAAAUCUUCUCUGAAUACUCUGCUGAUAAGUUUUAUCCUGACAAUUAUAAUCUUAUGAAUGCUUAGGAUUAAUAGAUGUGAUGUAAAAGUGCUUGUUACAUCAAGUUCUUAAUCAGACACUCAGAUCAAUUGUAUUAAUGUUACAGUAUUUUAAAAAAUAAGUAUUUAUGUUCUAAUUAAAUGAUUACAUAUGAUAAAAGAUUAAAUUCUGUCAGUACCAAGAUUUAUUUUUAGUGGAACAGUAGGACUAUUGAUUAUAUUAUUUAUUGGACUAUCUUGUAAACAUGGUGUCUUUGGUUUAGCGUUAAUUUCUUAUAAAAGAAAUGUGAAAAGAAAUGAGGAAGAUCUUAUUAUUUCUUCAAUAAUGUUUACUUGGUCAAGCAAAUGUAAUAAUUUAAAUAUUAUAUAUGCUUAAAUAUGCAGUGAGUGCACUGCGUGAUAUCAAGAGCAGUUUGAUUGAUAUCAACAAAAAUUUGAGCAAUUGGAAUCGUGGGGAUCCCUGCACAUCAAAUUGGACUGGAGUUUUGUGCUUCAAUACAACAAUGGAUGAUGGCUAUCUUCAUGUUAGAGAACUGUAUGAGCUUUUCCUUGCAUGAGCUCUUUAAGUUGCAUUUUUCUUUCAGUUACAGUGAAUUAUAUUUUAGUUUGUAGCAAGGAACAAAAUUUUUCAGUUCUGUUUUUUUCAGUUUCUUUAAUAUUCAACGUAAUCAUCCUUCAACGGUAGAACCUAUAUGCUGAAUAUUGGCCAAUUUUUUAAAAUAGAUCAUCAAAUUCUAAUUAAUCAGAGGAUCUAUAAUAACUUUUUUUUUUUGCUGAUUACUGCUUUAAUGUUGCUUUAAAAGUUGACUGCUUCUUAUUGACAAGAUUAUGUAUCAGCUGUGUUCUACUCACAACUGUCAAAACUUUGAAAAUUAGAUCUAGUUUUAGGUACAUUUGCCUACAAACAGAAUGGAGGUUUCUUCAAGGCCUUUUUUUCAAUUAGAAAAUAGCAAGUAUAUAUUAUUUCCUUUAUUUUUUGUUUUUUUGGCAGGCAACUACUUAAUAUGAAUCUCUCUGGAACUUUAUCACCAUCACUUGGCCGCUUAUCCUAUAUGAAAAUAUUGUAAGACAGAUUACUUUCUUUACUGUGAAAUUCUCUACCAGAAUUGUUAUUUUUAUCUCUCUCUCUCCCCCCUGAUGAUAACCAUUCUCUUUUGCUAUUUUGAAGGGAUUUUAUGUGGAACAAUAUAAGUGGGGGGAUACCAAAGGAGAUAGGAGACAUCAAAUCUUUGGAACUCUUGUAAGUUAAAGUACUAUUUUCUUAUCUAACACAUAAUGCAAAUAUGCUCAUCAACUUAAAUGCUGAAAAGUUUUUUAGUCUUAAAUUUUGCCACUUUUUUUUUUUUAAUUCUCGUUGAUUUAAUAUUGAUGAAGCCACAAAUCUGAACAUAGUUAUUUUAUUGUUGCAUUACUGUGCUGUAACGCAUAUAUUAAUUUCUUAUUCUAUGAUACUUAUGCUUUCAGGCUUCUGAAUGGAAACCAAUUAACAGGUCCCCUGCCUGAAGAGCUUGGCAAUCUUCCAAACUUGGACAGAAUACAGAUUGAUCAGAACCAUAUAUCAGGAUUCCUCCCUGUGUCAUUUGCAAACUUAAACAAAACAAAACACUUGUGAGAGUUCUCUGAUGCUAUUUAGCCUAAAAACUAGUACUGGUAUACUUGAUUCUUUUACCAACUUUUCACUUGAUUUGUGCAGUCACAUGAAUAACAAUUCAAUUAGUGGCCAAAUCCCACCAGAACUGUCGAGAUUACCAAAUCUUGUUCACUUGUAAGUUGGAAAUUGCCUAGUCUCAUGUGAGAAGUGUGUCAUUUUUUUACAGCUAUAACAGGGUCUGUGAACAUCUUUGGUUCAGUUAAAUGCUAGCUUUUAUUGUUCCAGCCUCUUACUUCGCUCAUUUGUUGUUAAUUUAUUUGCAGCCUUCUAGAUAACAACAACUUAUCUGGAUAUCUUCCACCAGAGCUUUCUGAAUUGCCGAAGUUAUUAAUACUGUAUGGUUUCUCUACUUCCCUAUAGAUGAAGCAGGAAUUCAUGUUUUCUUAUGUCAGUUCCUCUAUAAUAGAUCUUAUGUUUGUAGCUUAUGUGCUAACUAUUUUAUGUUGCCUUGAUUUCUUUUCUGCUUUUUCAGUCAACUUGAUAACAACAACUUUGACGGGGCAUCAAUUCCAGAUUCAUAUGGCAACAUGACUAAACUAUUGAAAUUGUAAGUUCCAAAUGCAAUCUGUUAUUUGGAAGUACUUUUACGAGCCUAGGAUGCGGAGCAAUUUGCUAGCACCUAUAUAUUAAUUAUGAAUGAGAUUAACUCUUCAGGUCACUGGACCAUUGUUAAAAUGUCAAAUCUCAAAUUAUAAAGCUUCAUUGUCAUGCUUGAAUUGAUUAACACACAGCAUGAGACCUAUAAACAUAAUGCAUGGGAUGGCUUCAUUAUCAAGCUUAGGAUUUUGAAUUGAUUGUAUUUUUCUACCAUAGGAUGUAUUAUGAGGGCCUCCCCAUAAUUUGAGGCUUUGAGCCUUUGGAUUGAUGGGUUCUCCAAUGUGGCAUCAAAGCCGCUUCACUUUAUAGUCUGUUCAGUUUAUGGCAACUCAUUUCUUAAUUCUUAUCUUCUUAGUUAAAAUUUUAGUGCACAGCCAUAGGGGUCUAAGUAAACAUGUGUCUCAUUCAGUGAAUAACUCAUGCACAAGAUUGUUAGUAGCUCCUUUUUUUUAUCUAUAAAGUUAGACGAAAGGAAUAUAUUUUUAGGUUCCUUUGAUAAACAAACAAAAAUUUGCACAAUGAAGCCCAAUUAUGUUCAUGAACACGCACAUUUAUAUUUGCUUUACAUCUAGUUUAAAGCUUGAUAUGGUGCUUUUUUCCAAAAGGGUGCAUGUGGGAAAAAUAUUUCCAGAAAAAGCAAGUUAAGAUUAUUUCUCCAGUAAGGGUGAAUUUGACCAGCCAGCAGUCAAGUUGUGAUUCAAAACACAACAUAGUACGUGGACAAAAUUUUACACUCACCACUUGAG
rnacentral:lncRNA from 1 species